rnacentral:lncRNA from 1 species
GGCUAAACACUUGUUAGCCCCCUAUAUUUCCCGCUGCGUUAGUUGGAAAUAAUACCUCAUUUGAGGGAGUUACAGACAUUGCAGGGAGAUUAGGUUCCAUUGCUCAAGGCUCUUAGCAAUUUCAGAGAGAGAGAGAGAGAGAAGUUAACGUUACAAUAUUGGAUGAAGGAGAAGAAGUAGGAGGAGUGCUUUAUUGAAGAAAGGAUUUCUAUUUUCUUUAUAAAUGGCGCAAUUCGCCUUGCUGAUUAUGACGUCGCUCUGCUUUUCUGUUCCAUUACUUCCAAAAUAAUGUCAUUUCUUCCUUUCUUUUAGACGUCACAUACAUAUCAAUUUAGUUGCUCGAUAAAAUCAUGCUAAAGUUAAGUUGUUUUGUUUUUCACCUUUAGAUUUACAUCUAACGGUGAUUGACUAUGAUUUCCCUUUGUCACUAGGUAACCAUGCAGUGGCGUAGCCAGAAACUUUUUACAAGAGGGUCAAAUUUUAGAUAACUUUUCAUAUACCACAUAAAAUUCUAGAUAAUGGAUUCUUAGACAUAGCAGUCAUUCUAGAGUUAUUAUUGAGGAGGAACCUGAAAAAAAAAUUCAACAACAAAGAAAAUAGGGCUUGAGAUUUAUAGUUGAUCUGGACCGCUGUAUUACUUAGUCCCAUAAUCUUAAUUUAUUUUGCAUGGGUAGUAACAAUUUUAGCUAAACCUAAAUUAUGGGAAAUGGAAUAGAGACGAAGGUUGACAUGUGACGAUGUACGUAGUCUUGGAAUAUUAAGAUAGAAAAAUAAGAAAAAGAUGGUUGAAAAUAUAUAAAAAUCAAGAAAAGAAAAAAAAUACAUGAUAGAAUUUAGCCUAUUAGGUAGAUUUGUAAGUGUUUGCCAAAAGACGUCUUUGUGUCAUAGGGGUCAGAUAUGUAGUGUUAUGAUCUAAGUUGCAUGGACAAAGACACGGACACGGCGCGACACGGCGACACGGCAAAACUCAAAAACUGAGUUUCCGACACGGCAAACAGAAUUAUAUAUUUAUGUAUUUUUAAUAAAUAAAAAGAUACUAAAAUAUAAUUAUACACAAAAUUUCAUAUAAUUUUACAGGAAAUAAAGAACCUAUCGAUUAAUUUCUUCGUCUGCGACGUUUUUUGACUUUCCUCUCUUUGUUUGUGUGCAACUGCGCGACGGACCUCUAAUGCGCUCAUUUAUUUAUUUUUAUUUUUUUUAAGUGAGAAAAGCUGACGUGGCGUGUUGUAAAUAGACGUGUUGGGCUGGUCAACGUGUCGGAAAAGCCAAAUUUUUCAGAUACGUCACGUGACGUGUCGGACACGUUUUUUACCAUGUCGGUGUGUCGGGUGUGGAGCGUCCAUGCAACAUAGGUUAUGAUAGUAUGUACGAUAGGAAGUAAAAAAUUCAACCAAUGAGAAACAUGGUAAAAACUUGAGAAGGGUCAGUUGACCCCUUUGGCCCUAUAUAUUGUGGCUACGCCACUGUAACCAUGUGAACACCACUGAGUAGUUAUAUGUUUAUACAAGCAACAAAAUCAUACAAGAGUCAAGAAAUUGUAUGUGCACUCCUAGGAUCUCGUUUGCUUAAUAUUGUUGUUAUCUGCUAUCUUUAGAAGUUUAGACAACUCAUAAGUGGAAAAUUCUAUAAUGUGUUAACGUAUGUGAAUGAUGUGAUGUAUCAACUUUGUAAAUUAAAUCCUCAAACCAGUAAUAUUAGUCCUUGAAGUUGUAAUAUGAGUCUUUAAUGUUGUAAAAUUUUCUAGUUACAACAUUAGUAAUAAUCAUGAGUCUUAAAAAUGGUAAUUGAGUCCUUAAAGUGAUUAAAAAAGUUGUUACAAUUUUCAGGACUCAUAUUACAACUUUGAGGACUCAAUUACCACUUUAAGGACAAAUGAGGACUAAUGUUGUAACUAAUUUUUUUUACAACUUUAACGACUCAUAUUACAACUUUGAAGACUAAUAUUACUACUUUGACAACUCAUUUUACAACUUGACGACAAAAUUGAUGCAUCACAUGCAUCAACACACCCUACACUUACCCCUCAUACGUUGGCUAGAAGUUUAGAAAACUCGAUGAUUUUGAUCAGUUCCGAAACCGUACACAUCAGCCAACUUAAUAUGAUCGAUAUGCAUAUUGUAUGGUGAUCGAGAAUACAAGUAACAAGUUUGUUAACCAAGAAACAUCCACACUAAGCUAGGUCUUUCAUAUCAUAAUUGAGGCCGUAUCAUAAGAAUAUAGGCAUAUGUACGUACGUAUAUUGAGAAGUGAACGUACAUAUUCCAAUUCUACGUACAAGUUGCAUAAACUGUGACGAAGAUGAUGGAAUGGAGCAUAAUGAUCAUUACAUAUGAUGGAUGAAACUUUAGAUUAGUGGAUACAAGAGACGCAUAUGCAGUGAUCGAAUUAUGAUGUUUGCAGGGUAUGGCAUAUUGGCAUACAUGUACAAGUAGGGUGACUUUAGAAAUUCCAAAACGCCGAAUUCUCAGGUGCAAUAACAUGUACUUGUAACUGCAGAAGGCUUCUUCCCAUUCUAAGUUUAAUAAAUUUGUUCUCUUUUAUUCAACACCACUGUCAGAUAGCAUGCCAGCUUCUGGGGUUCAAACCUCUACAGCUGCACUCUGCAGGAAAUUUAAGCCUUAUAGAAUGGUACAUAUAACAAUGUUAUGGCUCUAUUGGAUAUUUGGAUACUAUGGCAUUAGACGAUCGUUUGAUUCGUUUCAUUUAAGACGAUAAUCUAAACAUUUGGAGUACGUUAUAGAAGUGUUUGCUUGAUAGAGUUAAUUGGAAGACGAAAAUGUGGAAAUAGCUGGUAGCAUUGUCGGAGAUGAUAAACAACUACUGGCUACUGUUUAUUGAUUUUCGACAUCUCUAGUUCAUUUUUUUUCUAAACUUAAUGUUUAAAUCUCUAACUAGCUAGUAACAACAACGUUACAAGUAUUAUGGCACAAGUAUAUAUGUAGAUGUAAAAUUGUGGUACACAUUAGGAUUAAUUACAAAACACCACCCGAACUAUGAUGCUAUUUUCAUUUUCAUACCUAACUAUCAAAAACUUGCAUUUUCAUAUCCGAAGUUUCGUUCCGUUAGCAUUUUGAUACCCUGACCACUAAUACCGUUAAAUUUUGAGAGUAUUUCCGUCAUUUCAAUAAAUAUAUCAUUUUUUACAUUUACUUUAACAAAAUAAUUUAUUUUUUGAGGUUAUCAAAUACAAAAUUAAAUAGAACAAUUUACUUUAAAAAAAAAAACUCCAAAAUUAUUUUAUCAAAUUUUAUAUAAACAUGUUUAAUCUAUUUAUUUUGGUUAAAUAUACCAUGUUUAUAUAAAAUAUGAUAAAAUUUACAUCGAUAUUCGAUAUUUUCUCGACAUGAUUUUAUUUUAAUUUAUUUUAUUUUGUUUUGNNNNNNNNNNNNNNNNNNNNUUGUAUUUGAUAACCUACAAAAAUAAAUUUUUGUUAAAGUAAAUGUAAAAAAUGAUAUAUUUAUUGAAAUGACGAAAAUGCUCUCAAAAUUUAACAGUGUUAGCGGUCAGGGUAUCAAAAUGCUAACGGAAUGAACUUCGGGUAUGAAAAUACAAAUUUUUAAUAGUUAGGUAUGAAAAUGAAAAUAAUAUCAUAAUUCGGGUGGUGCUUUGUAAUUAAUCCUACACAUUAUAGUGCUACAGCCAUAAAAACAUGCAGCAGAGACAUCGAUAUUGCUCAAAUCAACUAACACCACAUAAGUGUCAAACAAGAGAAACUAGCUUACAAUAUUUCUUUUCUUCACCUUUCAAGUCCAAGGGUAGACAUACUUAGCGGCUUAGUGCAACUUCACCAAAAAGCACACAAAGUAUACUUCCAAAAUUGCAUAUUUUUUUUCGGAAUGAGUAAAAUCCACCGAUCACUUUAACAUCAUAUUUCAAUUCUAUGCUCGAACGUGCAUUUUAGUGCGUCGUCUUUCUAUCUACAUUGUUAUAAGUCGAACUUAGAAACUUGCUCUUUGAAAUUGGCGUGUUGCAAAUGAUCUGAUUUCUCGUAUCGCUGAUAGUAAUGUUAUGCAAAUUGCCUUAAAGCUGCUUCAAUGUUUCAAAUCUAUGUUUCUUUUUUCAACUUCUCUUCAUGCUAGUCACACACCUACUAAUAUAAGAUGGAGACCUCCUCCCUUCAAAUUUUAUGAACCUUAACUUUGAUGGCUCACUACUAAUUAGUGCUCAAGCUUUGGCAGGUUUUAUAAUUGGAAAUGAUCAAGCCGUUUUUGUUGUUGCUCUGCAAAGUUACUAGGUUAUUCAAAUGUCUUUGCCGCUGAAGCCUUUGGUCUUAGAGGUGGGCUACAAGCUGUUUUAUUCCACAACAUUACUAAUCUCAAGGUUCAGGGAGACUCAAAGCUUCUGAUAGAUUCAAUCAAUGUAAACACUCAUGUUCCUUGGCGUAUCAAUAACCAGUUUCCAUUCUAUCAUAUUACACAUGUUUGGAGAGAUGCCAACUUUGUUGCGGCCCUAGCGACUCUUAGUCAUCAAAUUACGAAGGGUGUUGGACUACUACUCUGCUUUACGUUUUGAUAUUAAAGAUGUCAUUGGAGUUUCCGUUGUAACUUUUAUCUUGUUCCAUAAAGAAAAAGUCAAAAAACCGAUAGCAGUGAAAUGACCUUGGUAGUUUUGUGUUGGUGUCAAGUGUCAACGCCGUAAAAACACCUUCGGAGCUACAACUACAAACUAGUACAAAAACCCCAACACACACACACACACACACACACUGAUCUGUACUUGUACUUGACGACUUCACAUCCCAAACAUAAAAGCCCGCAACAGUCCAAUUACCACCAGAAGCCGCCAAGCCAUAACCUCCCAACGGCGAUGAAAGGUAAAUCCACCUGACGGCGAUGGAUACAAAGCAAGCCCACCUUCCCAAACGUCCCUUUCAUCCCCAACUCGCUCACAUUCUCCUCAACAACAACAUCAAAAAUAUUAUUCCAUUCCCUCGUCUUCUUCAAGCUUCUCUUCUCCCUCCUCCUCUUCAUAACCCCUAGAUGUCUCUCACCUCCACUCUCUCCACCCCUUUCAGCAAUGCACCACCGCGCCGGUUUCAACCUCUCUCGCCUGAUCCAAUCCCCGCCGUCCGAUCCCGACUCCCUCCUCUUCCUCCCUGGCGGGUUGUUCCUCCACCCUGAUGAGACUUUUUCUCCUAACUUUCUUGCGGUGGUUCCAUCGAAGACACGUUCGGGGAGGUGUUUCAGUAAAACGGUGCGUUUUGGGGGCCGGCGUGGAGGGCUGUUCUUGUCGGUGAGCUUGUCGGAUGGGAACGAGGGGUAUGUUAGGGAAUCGGGAGAUGAUCUGGGGCAGAAUGGGAAUAAAGGUUCGGCGGAGGAAGAGACGGUUGUGUUUGAGAAGGAGAAGGGAUCAGGUGCUAUGAAUACCACCAAGCAUCUUUGGUCUGGAGCUGUUGCUGCUAUGGUUUCAAGGUUUGAGUCUUUUUUUUUUUUAGCUUUUAAUUGUGAAUGAAUAUUUGUAUUUGGUUGUGAGUUGGAUUAGGAGUAGAAAGUUUGAGUUUUGAGAUAUUGGAGUUUUGAGUUUCUGUAAUGUUGAGCUGACCCAGACGAGUGUGUGACUAUAUGUUGAUACUUGAUACAAUGAUGCACUAUAUAUGUUGAUACUUGAUACAAUGAUGCACUAUAUGUCAAAAGUUGUAUGUUUUGUUUGGAUCUUGAAUAUUGGAAAUGAAAAACUCAAAUGAGAUUUUCCCUUUUGUUCUGUUAUUAUGAGGAAAAUUGAAUAGGACUAUGUGAUUGUGAUUGUGAUUCUGAAUUAUUUGUUUUGGCUUGAAUCGACAGUUUGUACAUUAUGUGCUUUUGUUUGGCUCAUGCAUUAUUAUCAUUCUCAGUGUUGGUAUUUUCUGUGGUUGUAUUUAGGACGUUUGUGGCUCCUCUUGAGAGGCUAAAGCUGGAGUACAUAGUACGUGGGGAACAGAAGAACUUGUUUGAGCUGAUCAAGACGAUUGCAGAGUCUCAAGGGCUGAGAGGAUUUUGGAAAGGGAAUUUUGUCAAUAUUCUUCGCACAGCACCCUUUAAGGCUAUCAAUUUCUACGCAUAUGAUACGUACAGAAACCAUCUGGUGAAGUUAUCGGGGAAUGAGGAAUCCACGAAUUUUGAGAGGUUUCUUGCUGGUGCUGCGGCUGGAAUUACAGCUACCUUGCUCUGCUUGCCCAUGGACACUGUAUGCCUCAACUCACAACUCUUAAUUCCUUCAUUUGAUUUCAUGUCAUAAGCAUACUGGUGUAAUUGUUCUUAGAUUGUUUGAAGUAAUUUAAUAAGGGGAGGGGGAAGUUCUUUCUGGGCCAUUUAGUUAGUGAGUAGAGACUAGAGAGCUACUCCUGCAAAAUUAAUUUGAUAUCGAACUCAAAUUUGCUGCCUGUUAUGUUUGCGCUUUAGAGGUUGGAGUAUACUGGCCAUUAGAUGCUAAGAAAGAUGAUUUUCUUAGCCAUUUAAGACCGUACUUUUAAGACUCAGAUGGAAGUAUGUAGUGUGAACUGGUACUCUUCUACUACAAUUGCUUUGCCAAAUGUGACAAGUUUCCUAACCGAUGUAGGCAUGAUGGAAAGCCUGUAGAAGUAUCCUUGUGCGGAACAAAAGAUUCUAUGAGGCUGAAGUAGGUUUUCUUGAGCUCUUGUGGUUACAUUAGUUUUUCUGACAUUAUGUAUUCAGACUUCAACUAGUUUAACUUAGUAGAAUCCAAAUUCUUGAAGUGGGAAUAACAAGAAUCAUCAGAAUCUCUAUAGAUUAACUGGUACAGGCAUGGCGAUGGCUUAGCACAUGUCUUAAUUAACAGGGCACUUGGAAGAAAUUUAUCUGUUCUAUCUAUAUGCAAACAAUUUGGUUACUCCAAUUUCCUUAAGUCAGAUAGUUAUUAGGUUUUUUUCAGCUAGUUAUUAGGUUUUUUUUUUUUUGUAACUUGAAUGUGCCAUUUGUUAAGGCUUCUUAUUGUAAUUAUAUUUUUGAAACGUUGCAAUCUCAUUCAAACCGUCAAUGAUUUCAGAUCAGGACGAAGAUGGUAGCUCCUGGUGGAGAAGCAUUGGGUGGUGUAAUUGGUGUUUUCCGCCACAUGGUCCAGACUGAAGGAUUCUUUUCUCUUUACAAGGGCUUACUACCCUCCAUUGUCAGUAUGGCACCUUCAGGUGCAGUUUUCUAUGGCGUCUAUGAUAUACUAAAAUCAGCUUAUCUGCAUUCACCUGAAGGGAGGGAAAGACUCCGACACAUGAAACAAGAAGGUGACAAACUGAAUGCUCUGGAACAAAUGGAGUUGGGUACCAUUAGAACAUUACUAUAUGGGGCAAUUGCCGGUUGUUGCUCUGAAGCUGCUACAUAUCCUUUUGAAGUUGUGAGGAGACAGCUCCAAAUGCAAGUUCGGGCAAAUAAGUUAAGUGCAGUUGCAACUUGUGCGAAGAUUGUUGAGCAAGGAGGUGUUCCUGCUCUUUAUGCCGGAUUGAUACCCAGCUUGUUACAGGUAUGGUACUCUGAUGAUUCUUAGUUAAAAACACCUUAGCGGUAGUAGAGGAAGUCAUGCAUAGAAAUCUCCUAAACAUGUUGUCUUACUUUAUUUCGCUAAGACUAUCCUUUUAUAAUUUAAAACCAUUGCUUCACCAUAUUAAAUCCGGUUAUCAAAGAACUGAAUUAAUUUAUUUUCUUGAUUUUCAGGUCUUACCAUCUGCUGCCAUCAGUUAUUUUGUGUAUGAGUUCAUGAAGAUUCUUCUCAAAGUUGAGUCUUCAUAGUACUUUUCAGUCCUCAUCACAGACCAUAGUUUUCCUUUCUUUGUAAGAGUUCCUUAGAAUGUCUUCCAUUUACAAAAUGGGAUGUGGGAGUAAUCCAAAUUCCUGCCAUACCUCAUAUUAACACAGAAACUUCAGUCUUUUGUAUGUGUGUUCCAGUGGUAGUUUUCCUUUCUUUGUAAGAGUUCCUUAGAAUGUCUUCCAUUUACAAAAUGGGAUGUGGGAGUAAUCCAAAUUCCUGCCAUACCUCAUAUUAACACAGAAACUUCAGUCUUUUGUAUGUGUGUUCCAGUGGCAUUUGAACAGUGUCUGAGUAAUUUCAACGUCUCAGCUGGUCUUAGUGUGAUUGAUAGUUUCCGGGCUAGCAACGCUAAUGGUUAUUUUUUCUUUGGGUUUCAUAAAUUAUCAACAAGACAAAGGUGAUAUUGUACAGACAUAUCAAGUGUACGCAAGCAGAGAUGGGAAACAUUUAUACAAACUCCAGUACGCAACUACAUUUUUAGACAUGAGGUUUUGCAAUGGAACUGCUUCAAUGGAUGAUGACCUCUGAGUGGAGCUGAUCUGUGCUGCUUGUUCUUAGCUGAGCUUGCGCAAAAGAGGGCUGGACUUUUGCUGAGUUUAGAAGAAAACCACAAACUUGCGUUUACACUUACACAGUAGUUUCUAUGAACAUGAAACUCUGCCCUCUCCAUAUAAACUCGUUUGCUAGAUCAACACACUACGUAGUCGCAACAACUGUGGAAUCUGGAACUGAAUUGUAAAGCAAGAAAUGACUCCGAUAGGUAACAAAGUAAGCAUAAUAAAUCGCCCCCCUAUAUGUAUCCUUUGUGUUUCAGUGAAACAAAGCAACAUAAGCAAUAAUGCCGUGGUUGGCUUAGUCUCUUCAUGAUGAAUGGUAAAGGUUACAGAAGAGCUUGCCUGGUCAUUGUUCAAUGAGGUUUUUGGUCAUGAGGCACAGAGAAUAAGGGCCGGUAAUAAUGCCUUGAAGUCAUUUUCGGUCUACUGGAACAAAGAACUAGAGCAGUAAAGCUUCAGGAAGGAGGUUAUCAUCACUGAUUCACUUCUACAGUUCUACAUUGAAAGGAAGGAUUUCUACACAGUUUGUAAGAAAUGAUGUAAAAUCAUAUGGAGGGUUCUUUUCACAUCAUCCGAAUGGAAUAUAAUAGUAAUGGAAAUAUAACACACUGAAUUCCAAAUCGUCACAAUUUAGUAGGUUAGCACAAAUGGAACAAUUGCCACGUACCUUUAGUGUUCCUAUAAACACUUUAACAUAACCUCAUUACACAAAUGGAACAGAAAGCACUAUGCCCCUAAACGAUACAACCUCAAAACUCAAAUCAGAUCUAUGUUGGCUGAACAUGAAUUAUACUAACUGCUUCCUCUUUGUCUUUUCAGUAAAAUGAAUAGCCUAGCAUGCACAACCUCCUCCUUGCUGAUCGGCGUUGGAUGAAUUAACAGUGGGCUUCAGGUUUACAUCAACCAUAUCUUCCUGUUUUGUGGAGGAAAGGGUUUCCAUCCCCGGCAACGAAGAAGCAAUCUUACGGAAUAGAGGCUGCAUUAUUCAUAUGUAGUAACAAAAACAAUAUGAGCAACCGAAGUAAGGUGAAACAAAUGGAGUAUACUAGCAUUAUGGUUUAGAAGUAGAUGGUGCCUGAUUUGAGUAGGACGAAUGGCAUGAACCUGAGGCAUGAGGGGAGUUUAUGUAUUUAUACCUUGAUAUUGAAUCCUGCUUUGGCGCUGGUUUCUAUGAACAUGACUCCAAACUCCCGAGAUUUGGAAUCUCCUUCCUCUAUAGAAACUUGUCUGUUUGAUCAAUCAUACUUGGUUAGAACAACCUUGAAAUUUGAUAAUGUAAGUAAAUGAACUUUUGUGCAUUGUAUAGGAAAUUGGGUGAACUUGAUAAACUCGCUAACCAAGUCACCAUACUGCUACUCCUAUAUUGCAAUGUAAUUUUUGUCUACUCCAGGGAUCCCUAUUCGGGCUAUUCCAGACACAAAAGGGUGCUCUACAGGUGCCAUUGUCAUAGUCAAUGGUAAGGCCACUUACCAAAAAAACCUAUUUAGUCAUUGUUAAAUGAGAUUUACUUUUGUUUUAUAUAACAACAAAGGAGAUACAUAUAUCACAUUUCUAUAAGAUGGAAACAUGGUGGAACUAUUAAUCAGAACGAGUAGUGUUAACAAGAGGGGGUGCAUUACUCACCUCUUAUCUACAAGAUCGGUUUUGUUCCCAACAAGCACGAUAAUGACAUCAGUACCCCGUUCUGUCCUUACUUCUUCAAUCCAUUUAUUAGUGUUCAAAAAUGAUUGUCUAUCUGCAUCACAACAUUUCAGUCAAGGGAGAAGGAUAUGUGCAUACAAAGAACAAGAGCAGAGACUAGCUAGGGUCAAUUAUGCAUUGAUCAGUAUGUUCCAUAGAUGAAACAAGACUGGAGAUCAACAUGGUUUUUUCUUAUCAGCUUGUGUGAACCAUCCAUUUAGCAAUUCUCUUAUUAAAACAAGACCGAUCAGAGUUUUCCAACAGAGAUGGCUACUGAGUCAUGACAGAAUUGCUUUCUAGUUUGGUAACUUCUAGUUUCUCAACUCUGGAGUAUGAAACCAAAUUGAAAAAGGAAAGUUUUAAACAUAAAUCACUAUAUUAGGACUUACUAGCUACAUCAUAGACGAUUACAGCAACAGAAGAAUCCCUGAUGUAGCUUGGAAUGAGACUCCUAAAUCUCUCUUGCCCUGCAGUAUCCCUGUAAAUUCCAAAAAGCAAUGUGCCGGAUCAAUAUAAUGUGAAUUGCAUAAACGAAUAUAUACAUCAAGUAGACAAAAGAUGAACUGACAAAACAACAAGUAUGUUCCAAUAACAGCGUUAAAACACUUUAAGACACCCAUGCUCGUCAAGAGAAUCAUAUACAGCACCUACUGCAGUCAUCCUAGCCACAAGAACAAUCUUUCACAAGGUUCACAAACAACAGUACAACUAGACGGUGGUAUAAAGAAAAAAGAGAAACAAAGUCCCCAAACUUUUUGAAAAAAAUGUUUUACCAACGUAGAGUUCUGUUAUUUCAAUCUAGCAGUAUUGCCAUUCAUUUUAUGGACAAACAACCGUUUUUCAUAUUCUAAUUUUCCGAUAAAAUACGAAACAUUCUUCAAAAUUUUGCUUAAACCUUGUGAUCAGAUAGAGCUGCAACAUGAUAUGAUUCAAUAAUAAAUGGAAUGCAAAUAAUCUCUCACCAAAGCUGCAAACGAACUGUCCGAUCUUCAAGGUACAUUGUUUUGGACAGAAAAUCAAUUCCAAUCGUAGCCUGCAGCAUUAACAUUAAUCAAACCCUAGCAAUUCUCAAAAUUGGGCCAAAUGAAAGAAACGGAUCGAAUGAAAUACCUGAUAGGUUGUGUCGAAUUUGUCAUACAUGAAGCGGGUGAUGAUGCUGGUUUUGCCGACGGACUGAUCGCCGAGGAAGACGAGCUUGUAUUUGGCCAGAGGGGACACCGUCGCCAUUUUCGAGAUUCUUGAAUGGUUUUUUUGGAUCUGAAUCUCAGAGCUUAGAGGAACAAGAAGAAGAAGAAUAUGACUCUGAAAAGAAACCGUGUCUUUUUUGUUUUUUGUUUUCCGUUUUUGAGUUCAAUCUAUUUAUAUAGGAAGGCGAGGAGAAACCGCCAAGCACGACGAAGACGGCAAAAGUCAACAUAUUGUACAGUUCCUUGCAUUUCUCAAUUUACCCCUUCUUCGUUGUUGGAGAACCUCGGAUCUAUUCCGAUGCAUGUCUACUAAAAUGGUAAAAGUUGGUUAACAAUUCGGUGAAGAAGACUAGAAAAAACACCGAGAAAAGUCUUUAGGAUCACUAGACAAAGUAAAAAGAUCGAUAAGUUUAUAGGCUUGUAACAAAAUACUGAUAGAGCAUCCACAACCGGAGGUUUAGUCUCCAUAAUAUUUUUCCUUACCUAAGAACCAAGAAAUGGCAUUUCAGUCUUCUAUUAGCACAGUUUCAAACAGUUUGUUUUUACCUAAAUGCCUACUAAUGUCUUUUUUUGCCUAUUAUUGCUUUGGGAUGAACAUAUGCGUAUCUUUCUUCUGGUUCUUUCUUCUAUUAAUAUAAGUAUCCUGUACUAACUUCUAUGAAAAUUUCAGUCUUCUAGAGAGUUGUGCACGCAUUUAAGUUGGUGUGCACACUCAAUGAUAUGCGCCCAGAGUAGUUUAAUCUCCUACUGGUAGAGGUUGAUACCUAUUAAGGCUGGUGAUAAUCUUCAGUGGAUGUUUCUGUGUAAAUAAUAUUGUUUUUUUUUUUUUUUUUUAAAGUCAAGAAUAUGGUUGUAGGGAUAUGUAAAAUUUAAUAUAUUUAUAUAUUAUAAAAGUGAGGAAACGUGUAACAUUCUUACCUCCCGUAUGACACAACAAAGUAAAAAUGAAUGACUGAAUGUACAUAUACAAAACAUAUUUCAUAACGAAAAAACACAAACGCACGUGCGAGCGCGGCCAUUCCGCACGCGCAUCGCGCGUGCAGGAAAGCUAGUAUUUUUCCUUACCUAAGAACCAAGAAAUGGCAUUUCAGUCUUCUAUAGACUGAAAAAUUCAUAUAGAAGUCUGAUAUUUUCAUUGUGGAAGGUUUCCUUAGAACAAUGUGACAUGUUCGAGUUAUUCCAAACAUCGAUUCAUCUUAGUAAAUGGGAACCUUUCAUACUUUAUUAGUUUUGAGAUUGAUGAGUACGUAUGUAGAUGAAUGGUUUGAUUUCAUUUAGCAGUCAUUCGCAAAAUUACACACAAGACACAACUAUUCAAGUUUGAUAAAACGUGAUCUCCUUUCUCUUUCACUACUAUUCCUUCAAUUUCACAGAAGGCAUGCACAGACUUCUACCAAAUCAAAUGGGUUGGCUUUUGAACUUUCAAACUUUCCUUCAAGCUCAAAGAGAAAAGGAUGCAUUAUGUAAAUAUAUUGUUCACCAACAUGUGCAUAGAUAUGUCACUACAUGCAUAAACAAGUUAGAAGCACAUGCAGAGCUUCAGUUUACCCAUGAAAGUAGGAUCUUAGGGCAACUCCUCCUUUCCACCAUUGAAAAGGAUCGAGCUUCUUUGUGAAGCAAGCUUUUGAGAAACCUUAGGAUGCAAGGCAGAAAGGAAAAAGAUGACAGGCACCCUUCUAGGCUUUUAGCUGUUUACGUAAGCUCAACCUCUAAUACGCAGUUUCUCAAUGACAAGGUGCCCGAUUUGGCAGGGGUGCCAUUUUUAUCUGGUAUUAACAUAGAACCAUCAACCGGAGAAGGCCUAAGAGCAAAAUUUUGAGCACCAUUCUUGUACCUACCAUAAUUUUUUUUAGACCAAUUUGGGAUUCAAAGACAAGAUUGAUACAUCUUUGAGAAUAUUAUCUAUAUUCAUAGCCACAGAACCAUCAAUUGGUUACUUCCAUAUCUACAUGGCUAAUAAUUUGACCUAUCAUAGCCCAAAUUCUCCAUCUCUUUCAAAACAUUCACCAAAUAACUCUCAUGUCACAAUCAGAUUAUGCAACUGUUAGAGGACAUUUCACCUACCCUCUUAAGACUACACUGAUCAUAGCCACAGACUCAAUUCUCAUGCAAUAACUCAGGACAGCAUCCCAGUCUCUUAUAUCAUACUAUUCAGAGAAACAUAGUGUCAUAUAUUCACAGAGUCAUAUCCAGCCGAUCAGUCACCAUGAAGAAGUCUCUAACUACAACACAAAAUCCAGGAAGUCAUUACAAUCGCAGUGAUCAACUUCACGACCAAAGCAUUGUGAUUCCUGCGAAUCCUUCCAAACUCAUCAAUCUAGCUGAUAGCUUCGAAAAGAAAGAACACUCCUGGUACUAUACUAAACUUACACCUUACAAUUGACAAGAAAACUAGUAACUUAUCAUUGUAGCCAAAUUUCAGCUGCAUUUCCUCAUCAACUGUUUCUCAUCCCUGUCACUUUUUUCUUUUGGUGGUUCCAUCCCAGGUUCAUCACUUCUCAUGUCCCAACUGACCUAACAGUUCAAGUUCAAGAAAUCACCUUUAAUGUUCACAAGGUAACUACAGAGAAGAUUGUUCAGUAACUUCUGUUUAAUAUCACAGGCAGGUUCAACAGCAGAUUUUUGCACGCAGACAUGUGAGUGACUCGCAUGUCUGCAGAUGAAAAUGAAUGAAAUUAUACUGUAAAAUACCUAAAAAAGCUCACCAUACCCUUCUUUACUACAAGUUAUAGGACAUUUCAAGCAAACCAUUCCUUGUUAUCUAACAAACUAUAUAUCCAAAGAAAAAAAAAACAAACAGAUGGCAAGUUAACGUAUCAUACUUGUCCUAGUAGAGAGGAUGCUCUUGCAUAAGAGAAGUACAUAAUUACUUUUCUUUUUUCAUAACAAAACAAAAAAAAUUUCGAUAUGCAACACCAUGAUUCUUGUCUUGCCUCUUGAGUUUCUUGUCUUUGGCAUUGAACAUAUCAGAGCUCAUUUCAUGUUUCGUUUCUCUUUCUGUAAACAGUAUCCUUUGGUAUCAAAAUGUGGCUACAUAGGUCAAUUGGAAUUUCAGCCUUCGAUCUCAGAUUUUGGCAAUGACUUAAAGGAGUUAAAGCUUGAAAACUUCCCAGGUGGACCAGAAACCUUCGAAAUGAUUCUAAAGUUCUGUUAUGGUCUCCCAGUGGACCUAAACCCGAACAACAUAGCUCCACUAAGAUGCGCAUCAGAAUUCCUUGAAAUGACUGAAGAACUUGAAGCAGGAAAUCUGAUUUCCAAGACUGAAUCUUUUCUCACAUUGGUUGUCCUUUCUUCUUGGAAAGAUACCAUCACUGUACUUAAGUCCUGUGAAACUCUAUCUCCAUGGGCUGAGAAUCUUCAAAUUGUGAGAAGAUGCUGCGACUCAAUUGCUUGGAAGGCUAGUAGAGAAAACACCACUAAGAAUGCUGACGGUGAACAAUGGUGGUUUCGUGAAGUGGCCACCUUCCGGAUAGAUCAUUACAUGAGGGUUAUCUCGGCAAUAAAAGCAAAGAAUACAAGGCCAGAGUUUAUAGCUAAAUGUAUAAUGCACUAUGCAGAAAGAUGGUUGCCAGGCAUAAAUGUGGAGUUUGAAGGACUAAGAGGAUAUGGAAUUGGAAGAAAUGACCUGCAGUUCAGUAUACUGAGUAACAGGAAAGAGGAAGGCGGUUAUGGACACAGCCAGGAGCAAAAAGCAAUUAUCGAAAGCCUCCUAAGCGUACUUCCACCUCAAAAUGAAGCUGUCCCAUGUAAAUUCUUAUUGCAGAUGUUAAAGAUGGCAAUGAUGUACUCGGCAUCGCCGGCUUUGAUAUCAGAGCUUGAAAAGAGAGUGGGGAUGAUGUUAGAAGAUGCCACAGUCAAUGACUUGUUGAUACCAAGUUAUAAUAGUGCAGACCAAGGGAAACUGGUAAAGUGAGUACUCCAUAUUCUCUAUUUACUAUAUCUUGGCAAGAUAAUCACUAUAGAAUUAUCUUACUGAAGAGGUAUGUGUAAACAAUUUCAACUUUCCCAUAAUUUUCAUAUUGUCUACUGCAGGUCACCAGAAGAACGAACCAUGCAUGACAUUGAUGUUGUGCAAAGAAUUGUGGAAUAUUUCUUGACGCAUGAGCAUCAACAGCAAGAGAAGACGGGUAAAAGCAAUGUCAGUAAGCUAUUGGACAACUACCUAGCUGAGAUUGCGGGAGACCCGAAUCUCUCCAUAACCAAGUUUCAAGUGUUGGCUGAAUUGCUACCUGAAAAUGCUCGAGCAUGUGAUGAUGGUCUUUAUAGAGCUAUUGACACCUAUCUGAAGGUUACUUACCUGUUCAUCUAGUUUUUACUUCAAAGACAUUUUAAAACCUAAAACCAAACCAUUAUUUCAGACUCAUCCUUCACUGCCCGAGCAUGAUCGAAGAAGGCUGUGCAGGAUAAUGAACUGUGAGAAAUUAUCACUUGAUGCAUGCAUGCAUGCGGCACAAAAUGAUCGACUGCCAUUGAAAACCAUCAUCCAGGUAACAUUUAUCAGAUUCCCAGUCAAUGUCACACAAGAGGUUAAUAACAAAAUUUAUAUCGACUCAUUCAUGCUGAAAACAGGAGAAAAAUGUUAAGGAAUCAGUUAUAGCAUUAAGAAAUCUAGGUCUUUUGAAAUGCAGGGGUUUCAACCAGGGUAUAAGUAACAAACAUUCAAAGUUGUGGACACAACAGAAUCAUCAAUGAAACUGGUCAGGUUGGCUUUCAAGAGAAAAAACAAAGAAAUAUAUAGUUACAUACAUACAGAAGAAAAUCAAGGAAGAAAGAUGGAAACAAUGAUACAGAUUGAAAUAAGUGUGUCAUAUUUUCUUUGAUAGCUCAAUAUUUUAUACACGCAAAAUCCAUACCACAGACAUAAAGCUAGAGUAUUCUGAGGGUGGAAGAAAAAAUAACAAAACAAACGUUAACUCAUAAAAGAUGCAUGUAACAUUGCCACUAGAUUGCAAUAUACAGAAUACAUUUACAGAAACCCAAGAAGCACCAACAAUAAAGAGACUGCCUCUGGUAUCUAACAUCGUGUGUGCUAAUUGUUCGGUACUGCCACAUAACUCGAAAACCAACCAGGUAUUAUCCCAAUCGCAUGCUGUGAGAAUUAAUCGCACAUAGACAUAAUAAACCUAUCACCUGGCUAAGGCUUUUAGAAAAGUUAUCCAGGCAUGCAAUAGGGGUGAGGGCAGGUUUCUAGUAUAGCAAUUGAAAGAACGAACUUCAAGUCUUCAACCUCACCUAACCACCUAGAACCACCAUCUGAACAGUACAUGUGUAGAACAAUCUCUUUUACUAUAGAAGCUAGAAAUGUGAUUACUGUCGCUUCUAAAACCCAAAUUAGACCUCUUAUUGAAAUUAAAAGGCAACUGUUCUUAUUAGUCAUAUGUAGCAAAGACUAUCCAAAGUUCACAGUUAAAAACCUCUCUCAAUAAGUCAAAUUAGAUACCUCGGUCUUGUAUAUGCCUACAAAGUUCAUAAAUGCAGAUAUUUGAAGAAAAAUUAUUUGGAUCAUUUUUACAUAGAAAGCUGCUUAAAUCAUCUACUGUUGAGGAAAUAGAAAUACCUCAAAAUAUUUUCAAUAACAGUUUAAAAUAAACGGAUUCCAAAAGAAUGCAUUCCUUUAGAAAUGGAAAUACCACGAAUAAUCUAGAUUUAAAAAGCUUGUACACAAAGAGAGACAAUAAACUGAGAAUUUAAUGACUAUUCCAGUGCAAACCACUAUGUAGUCCACAAAAGUUUACAUUUUCUCACCAGAUGAUUAGACUAUAAACCCUGUACAGGUUCUGUUCUCAGAGCAAGUAAAGAUGAGGACAGCAUUGCAAGGGAAAGAAUCAGCACCAAAUGGCAACAACUCUGAGCAAGAAGGAAACCACGCAUCAACAGAUGCAGAAAUUAAGAAUCUUAAAGCGGAACUUGAGAAUGCAAAGAAACAGAUGGCUGAGCUGCAAAGUGACUACUCUGAGCUGCAACAGGAGUAUGAAAAGAUUUCCAGCAAGCAAAGGAGUGUGUCAAGUUGGAGUUCGGGAUGGAGAAAAAUCAAGAAAUCUUUCCAUACAAAAUCUGAAGCCAACGAAACUGGAGAAGGCCAACAAAGACCCAACUCAAUUGGGGGCAGAUUCAGCUUCAGACGAAGGUCAUCGAUGUCCUAAAUUAUUUUAACCCAACAAUCUAAGAUUUCCAGCUUAAGAGGAUAGGGGACCCCGGAUUAUAUAUGCCGGAGUGAGAUUUAGCCCUUCAAGGGUACCAUCUGUAUGAAAACACAAGCAGAAAACUAUAUUUUUUAUUUUUGGACCGGGGGUGGGUCUGAUAUGGCAAACUAUACAUGAUGUAUCAAAUUAUCAAUGAGCCUUAAAGACAAUAAACAAGGACACAUUUUCUCUAGUUUCCCUAUAUGUAAGCGAUUACAAUAUUCUACAAAACGCAUGCUCAGUUACUCACAUAGCGCAUCCAGCUGACUACAUCCUUUUCCAAAAGAGCAAACCUACAAGAUUAACCCUCGAGUUCUACCCUCAGUAAACAUAACCAUGCCGAAUCAAACAAGAUUAACCAUCAAAAGUAUCAGCUUUAUUAAUCGAAAAGCUAAAUCCUCCACUGUCCACACAAAUUCAUCAAACUACUAGUAACUCAAUAUUUGAUCAAAUAGUUCUACAAAACAUAAAUUUGACAAUCAGAGCCAAAAUUACCUACCGGAACCUCAUAUUGCUCCAGGGAAACUUCUCCUUGCCGUCGCCGAAAACCGGAGAGCCAUCAAACCUCUUCCUUCUCACCUUCUCCUUCUCCUCCCCAUCCAGCCAAUGCUUCUUCCCCUCUCCCUCCUCCACCACGCUCGACUUGCUCCCCUUCUUCCCCGCCGCCGUCGCCUUCCUCUCCUCCUCCACGGCUCCGAUCGGGUACAGCUCCGGGUUCAGCGAGAGCGGUGACCUGAGCGUGACGUAGGCCUUCUUGUAGGCGGGCUUGGCGAUCAAGAGGCCGCCGCGCUUCUUAUUCUUGCCGUCCAUAUUUAGGGUUCGGACUUUCUCGAUGUCGAAGCCGUAGAGGGACUCGAGGACGCGCUUGAUUUCGAUCUUGGAGGCGGAGGGGAUAGUUUUGAGUGCGAAUUCGGUGAUGUUGGUGAAGGUGGUUGGCAUCAGGAGUUUGAUUGGGAGGUUCGGGAAGUGGACUACUCUGCUCCCCAGUCGGCUUCCCAUGGCUGCUUCACUCUUCUCUGUGAUUUUGGGUGUUUGGGUUUUGAGGGGUUUUGCGACUUAUGGGAAAUGAUGUGCCCUUCACUUUUUUACUUUGUUUCAAUUUUACCCUUAUAUAACAAUUUUUCACCUUUCUUUUUUGGACAGAGUCACAAAGCUACUCCAUGGCUAAAAGUCAAGCAACCGAACAUUAAUAUAUCGAUACAUCGAAUUAACUAGCUUCACAAUCUUAUGAUCAGCUGUCCAUUUGUUCAAUACAUUCAUUAAAAUUUACAUAGGUGAUCUCUAUAGAUUAAUUCAACUUUUGAACAGUUAAGAUUAUGAUUUACAUCAGUAAAUGUACGUAAAUAAGAGAGAGUCUAGACACACACGUACAUACUAGUCCGAACACAAGUAUUUUCCAACGCAAAACAUAAGCUGAAUUCAGAUUUUUUUUGUUUUAUCCAUGUAGACUGAUCAACAGGUUUAUAUUAAACAAGUGUACAUGUUAUCCUGACAAAAGUAGAUGUUGCAGUGAUCUUCACUGUCCAGGACUAUGUAAGAAGCAUAUCGAACCCUCAAUGAUGGUUAACAUUCGGACAUAGCUCGUGUACUGAUUGUUCACUCUUACAACAAUUGAAGAUUACAAUUUCCUUCAUAUAAUGGUUCUGACAAAGAUCAAAGAGAUCUCUGAACAAACUAGAACCUCAUUCAGAAGUUUUUUGGCACCUACAUACAACUUGGUAUUGAAUUCCUUAGCUACAGCAUAAAGUCUUGGAUUUUCUGAUAACUCUCUAUCAUCUAGGCAGCUACAAGUUCCAAUAUGUCCAACUAAUGACAACUCUUUGUGAUCAGGGCCAAAAUAAGAAGCCCCUAAUGUCACAAUGGUUAGGAUUUUACGAUUCUUUCUUUUUAACUCGGUAAGGAUAUUUCUGGUAUAUCGAAAUGCUGCUAACCACGAGGGGAAGAGAUGCCAGACAAUACAAUGAAGGUGGUUUCCCUUCAAAAAUGAACUGCAGCAAAGCCGUAACAAGAAGUGCAGAAACAAUAACAAACCCCUGCAACCAUGUUAUAAAACUUCUUCAGUAAGUACCUUAAAAACAGAAUCGCAAUUCAAUAAUGAAAAUGCAUACAAAACUUAUGGAAAGGAGUCAUAUUUGCAGCCGUUCCAACCAAUAUGACUGGUCCCAAAUACCAAGUGUACGCAUAGAACAGUUUACCAACCAUUUGGCAUUCUUAUCAAAUUUGUAAGGAAUAAUAAAUGAAGAUCUUAGCAUGAAACUUAAACUGAAGAGAUCAGGUUCAGCUUCCUUUACAUGUUCCACAUUUAUGUAACCAAGCCAUUAUAUCCCUGAAGUUGUUAUGUUGAUUCAAGUGGCCAGAAUCGCAAAUAAAAAAGUAAUAAAGUAUUUCAGGGUUCUACUCAUACUGUCUAUUUGCAAGAAAAGACUUGAGCUAAUAGUGUGUUUGGGAUAAUCUGAUCACUAGUUCACUACUGUUGUUAUCCUUAUAUAAUGUUAAAGUUGCCUUUGUAAUUCAUGCUAAAAGGAAAAAGAAAAAAGAAAAAAGAAAAACUUGCCUUUCUAACCCCACCAGCAUGGGUUGUGACUAGGCCAACAAGGAUUCCACCCAAGGCAUUGGACAUGACUGGGAUCUGAAACAUGGAGAAAACGCAAAGAGCCACAUUAUAAAGCCUGCAACAUCACAUUCUUUGCAAGUACAUAUUACAAAGAGCGUCACUCUUCUUUAAAAUGAAUGAAAAGUUUUCACUCAUUGCACAUUUUCUCUACUUUCUCUUUUCCUGGUAAACUGGGGUGUUUCAAAGACAAUAGAAAAGAAAAGCCCCCAGUGCAACCUGAGAUUACAUCAUAUAAACGCCAAUAGUUUGUUAAUGUGAGAAUGUUACCCACAUUUAAAAUCAUAUUAACAAGAAAAAUAGUAACCGUUUCAAGAGCAAAGCAAAGGGACUGUCGUUAGCAGGCUCAUGUUAUAUAGAAUAAAAGAAAGAAAAUUGUAGAAUUGUGGAACCAACAUAAGCUGUCCUAACUGAUUAUAUGGUAAGACAGACCAGAAAAGGUAAGCAUGAUCAUCCAAAACAUUUUCCUUCAAACGGAAGUGAGUAGCUGAACACAAACACUAAUAUCUCCAUAUUAACUAACUGACUUCCAAACUAAACCAACGAUUCUAGUGGUUCUGAGUAUACCAAUAAAGUAAACACCACAAGAGUCAAGCCAAAAAACAAAAACUAGUGGGAAGUACGGGAUUCAAUAGAUCAUUACCCAAGUCAGUAUAGUCCAUCCAUAGAAAAGUCCAUGCUUUCUGAUAGCUUCUCCAUCGGGAGACUUAGCGGUACUAGCCAGCAUGCACAAACUUCCGACAAUAGACAUCUCUACAGUCAUCAAGUACGACGAGUGCUUCUUAACCUACAACACAAGACAAGACAACUACGAUCAAUGUCAAAGACAAAGAACUUCCACAACACCAUAAAAUAGUUCCUUCAAAGCACUGAAACUACAACAUUUCACUAACCUGGGAAGCCCACUGACACAGAGAGGACGCCAAACCCGAAAGCACAGACGCAACCAACACCGGAAUAAUCCCAUUAAACCAUAUCUGAUCCGAAUUGCCACCACUAGACCUCUUACUCGACCCUUCCCCGAAACUUAGAAGAACAGCUGCAAUAAUCAAUAAGAAAAGCGCCCCGACUUGCUGAAUCGAUUGCUUCUGCCUACAUUCAUCACAUUCCACCCAAAAAUCAGUCCAACAACCACAUUCCAAACCCCCAAAAAAAUCGAAACACGAUUAGCCGUAACUCACAUUUACCUCAAUAUCAAAUACGUACACAUAGCAGUAAAAAUUAUCUUAGUCUGAUUAAGCAUUGAGAACGUCAAAGAAUCAAGAUUCUUAUACGAAAUCUGAAGCAAGCUAUUCUGCAGAGCAUAAAUGGCAGCCGGAAGCCCAGAAGCAGUCAACGCACCAAGCAAAGUCCACUCUUUGUAAACCUUCUUCAAGCUCCCGUCUCUGGCCAUGAAAACUAGGGCACAUAUCACCUUCGCCACCUCACACGUCAGCACCGAUGACGUGACGAUCACUUCUCUUCUGCAAUUCUCAGUCGUAUAUGGAAGAAUGAGUCUUAGGGUUACAAACUCAGAGAUGAUUUGGUGAAAUUUGGGAGAGAAUUUAGAGGGGGAUCGGAGUACCUGAUGAAGCGUUUGGAGAUGAGAGGCUGAGCUCCGUAUUGGAGAGCGAGAAGGACGGAGUAGAGGAAGACCUUGGCGUUCAUUUGGUCCGAGGUCGGCGGCGGACGUUUCGGCUUGGCGGCGGCGGCGGUCGCGGUCGCCAUUUCCGGCGACCUACAGAGACUGUUGGGGAAUUUUUGGUUGCUUCUCUCUUUGGGUUUACUUUAAAGCAGUCUCUCUUCUCUUUGUGACGGUUGCCCCCAAACCUCUCGGUCCUCUCCCUAAAAUAGUGGGGCACUACUUUGGUGUGUGUAGGAAAUGUCCCAGAGUUUGAAAUAGUUUAACAUUUUCAACUAAAAGUGAAAAAAUAAUUACUGUUGAAGAGCCGGUAAAUUGAGUAAUUGGUUCGUAGUAGAAACAACGGCACUUCGAAACCGGGUUUUUUUUUUUUUUUUUUCCCCGUCUAGAUUUGUGGUCAAGGCCUUCGCCUUUCACACGAGUUAUCAAGGUUCGAAAGCCGGUAUAGUGGUGGUGGUGGUAACGGUGGAGCUUGUUUGUUCCUCAAACCCAAAAACCAAACAGAAGAAAAAAAAAAAAAAAUGGUACUUCGAGAUGGUCUUUAAGCUGUUAUAUUUUAAGUUUUAAUUAACGGCGUUUUUGUUUGAGUAAUUUUUCUUUGAUGAUUCAAACGUUGGAACCUUAUCAUUUUAGUCUUCUCCCGUCUAUUAAACGAAUGUAAGUGAUCAUCAACUAAAUUAGCUUAUCUGAAGACACAUGACAUUUCUAAUAACAGUUAUUGUUUUCAUCAUCUCCCCUUUAAUAAGUGUUGGACGUUUUGUUUUGGAUCCGUUAGAAGAGGGUUGUGAUUGUGUUUUUGUCUUCCCCUUCAAUGUUUGUUUCUCGUUACAAAAAAAAUCUAAUAAAACCAAGUAACAAAAUAUAUACAACACAACUGACCCUUCCAUAAAAGGGUAUGUAUGCGAUGAAACUGACCCUUCCAUAAAAGGGUAUGUAUGCGAUGAUCGAGCUAUUAUUAAGUGCUACAACUCCAAAAAUACCUUUAACCAGAACUUAAAAUGACUUAAUAAAAACCGAAACAAACUAACCUUGACACUGCCCGCAAAAGAAUGGACCAUGCCAAGUUCUAAUCUCAAUUUAUUGCAAAGCUUGACACACCAUACAUAGAUGUGACCUCCUUAAAGGCAAACACUAUUAUCGAACCCUAGGUCCAAUAUCACCAUCACCAACCUUAGAGGCAUUCAGAGCAUUGAUCAUAUAGAGGUCGGUAAAUCCCCGAUAAGUAAUAUCAUCUAUAUGUCACCGAUAAUGUUAUUACAAUACAAAUAGUAUAUGACAUUUAGCUCGUUAGUAACUUUUUUAUUAUUGUUGCUAGUAUGCAUAGAAAAUGCCACGGUGGAUAUGGGAGUCACUGACUCUCGCUCCUUAUAGUCGUUGCUCGAUGAAUCCAAUCUCAAGCAUUGCCCUCAGCUCUAAGGAUCAUAUGAUCCAGUGACACGACUCACCCCGAAUUUCACCCUGAAACCCAGAGUAAGUCGUGCGGGGACCACCUCCAAGGAAAAUUUACUGAAAAGAUUAAGAAAAUCUCCCUUGCAGAUGGACAACCCUAACUCGAAAAUUUAAAAUUACACUCUUAAUUUAUCACUUCUGAACAUCGCAUAAUAUACAAAAAUUCUAAAGUAUUCAGAGCUACUAAACACAAGCGGAAGCAAGAAAACACGAGUAGGUUGAACAGGUAACCUACUGACGAAAACUGGCAGAAAUGCGGGUGACUAUGCCUCGUCUCCUACUAGAUCCAACCCGAACUCUGCAGACUGGGCGAAUUUAAAAACGUAAAGGGGNNNNNNNNNNNNNNNNNNNNCUAUAUGCUACGCCUAUUAAGGUGGACAGACACAUAUGGCUAGCUAGCUAUUUUAUAUACAUACUCUCUCAUAAAUACAUAUUUAUAUCCACCGAAAAUCCCAUUUUCGGUAUCUCUCCACGAGAAAUAAAAAUCGUCAAAAAUUAAAAUGACGUCAAAAUACUCCACGACAUUAAUUAUUCAAUCGUGAACUUUAGCAUGCAUUUAUUUAAAAUAAACGUCCACUCACAAAUUAGGCCUAAGCCUGCUGUCGAUCUGGGGUCUCGUCUGCUCGAGUCUCCUCACGUCCUGUUCCAAAUAAAAUAUUAAUUUCCCAACCAAGAAUCCAAUAUUUAAUCAAAAUAGGCAAAAUUACCCGAGAGCCAUAAAUACGCUCAUCAUUGCCUAACUUCGAUAUUCUUAAAUCGGAACGAUCCGAACUUAAUUAUCAUACUCAACAGUCGUAAAUACCACCUCCUCAAAAUACGACUUAAAUCCUACGGCCGGAUUCUACAUUAAUUAACCGCCAAAAAUAUCAAACUUCGAAAAUUCACAAACCUAUCCAAAUCUCAUCCAAAAAUUCCAUAAAUCACCUCAAUAAUAUCCUCUUAAUAUUCUACAUCAAAAACCACAAAAUUUCCCAAAACAGCGGCGGCGCCGGCGGCGGCUCCGCCGGCAGCGGCGGCCGGCGACCAACUCCGGCGACUUGCAAAAGCUACCAAAUUUUAACAGAAUCUUCCUCUCAAUCUCCUCUACAACUUUCAUGACUAACACAUCACCCAAUUCCAAGCCUAACUAGGCUAAUCGAACGAAAACAACUUAAACACCAUAAAACUUCCACCUCAAAUUUCUCCUUACCUAGCUCAAGAGGGAGGGAGCUGUUUGGAGGGGUUGUUGCACGGGAGGAGGGCUACAAAACCGUACCAAGCUUGCCCGGAUUGGUGGCCGGAGGAGGAAGUUCCGGCGAAGGGAAGUUCGGGACAGCCUUUGUUUUCGGGCGGCACCGCUCUCUCACGGCGGCGCUAGGGGGGCUGCUACCGGCCUAGAAUGGAAGCUGGGUUGGAGGCCGUUCGAUUGGGACCGGUGCGGCGGCGGUUGGUGGCCGGACGGCGGCGGGAGGGCGGCCGGAAAUUCUUCUGGGUGUAGAGAGGGGAAAACCGGGUGGGAGGAGAGAAAAUCGGGAGAGAGGGAGAAGAGAAAAAGGGUUUUGGGCCUCACCCCAACCCAGUCCACAACACUUAACCCAAACUUCCAAAAAUAAAAACACCCCGAAAAAUAAUACCCGAAUAAAAAUUACCUUUUACUAGCUAAAAUUUACCAUUUUUACCGUCGUCGUAUUUUCCUCAUACGAAUUAUCCUCCGCACAUAAUCGUCCCCGAAACCCCUCUAGGAACCAAUUAAACUAUUUACUCAAUGAUCGGGACGGUAAAAUUCUUAUUAUAAACACGCUAGUAAAUAAGGUAAAAAUAUAAGGGUCGGGAUGUGACAUCCAGAGCCUUCACUAAAGCCGCAUAACCCAACUCUCCGCUUAGAAAAGGCGGAACACAAUCAACCUUUUCCAAACUCGACCCAAUAGCACAAAGCCAAUACCAACGCCUUCAUGCCCUCACUCAGGUCAAAAGCUCGCGUCACCAAGCUCGCCAUUAGUAACUUUGGUAUUUGAUAUUUUGAAAAAAAUAAAUGCACAUAUAUGAUGUAGUGAGAUGUACACAAUGGACUCACAAUCACCGAUAGGUAGAGGUAUAAGACUAGAUGCAUAAAUGUAUAAGGAGGGAGUUUGUAAAUAUUUAGUUAGGACUUGUUAAAAGUGAGUGUACCAAUAAUUUUAUUAGUUUGUUACUACAUAAGUUAGGUCGGUUUCUUUCGUUUCUUUCUUGCUUAUGUAAAAUAUCUAGACUAUAACUUCUUUGGAGGUUUUGAUUUAGCCAUUUCUCCUCUCAUGAGGACAAAGACCCCUACAUGAUAUGAUCAGAGGGUUCCUCUUUUUCUUGACAGACAGGUACACCGUUGUGUCUUUAGGCCUCAAGUUAAUGUUUAGAUUUUUGAUUGUGUUCAUGUAGGUUCAUUGUUUUCUAGUUGUAUUCGUCUACCUUUUUACUUUUUUGACAAUUUUUUGUGGUUUAUUUUUUCAAUUUUAAUGUAAGAGAAUAAAAAGUUUACUCUUGAUCUUGUAUUGGAAUUCACUACUGUCUGACCUAACUAUAAUUGAUCUUAUGGUUUAAUGCCAAUAAAGUUAUUCAUUUACCUAAAAAAAAAAAAACUAUAACUUCUUUGGUGGCUAUUAUCAUUAAAUCUUGAUUUUAAAGAAAAACUGGACUCAAGUUCCAAUGUCACAUAAACAGUGAAUCAGUGAUAAACCUUCCCCUCCAAAACUCUUACUCGUUGCAACUUAAAAACCCCCCACUAACCAUCUUUUUUCCUUCAUAUUCUCAGCUGCACGCUCCAGUCCUCCCCACUCAACACUACUCUAACGGCUUUCCUCCGUUUCUAUGUUAAGCCACCACCGCAAUGCCCUCAGACACAUCCACGCGCCACCGCUAUUCUCAAUCCCCUCCCUCCCUCUCUCAACCUCCACCGCCACAAUCCCAACUCACCCUCACUCCAAUCUCCUCACACUCAUCUCCGCCGCCCAAACCCUCCACCAAACCAAGCACCUCCACGCCCUCUCUCUCCUCACCGGCCUCCUCCCCGGCAGCGUCUCCCUCUGCGCCUCCCUCAUCCUCCGCUACGCCUCCUUCAACUCCCCCGCCGCCUCCCGCCGCCUCUUCGACCUCACCGUCCCUUAUUCCCGCACCGCCUUCCUCCACAACACUCUCAUCAGAGCCUUCUCCAUCGCUCAAUUCGACGAUCGCUUCCGGACUUACAAUCACAUGGUCCGCACCGGCGUCCGCCUCGACGAUCACACCUUUCCGUUCGUCUUCAAAGCCUGUUCGGAUUCCAUGGAGGUCAAGAAGGGGCUGGAGGUUCACGGCGUAGUGGUUAAGCUAGGGUUUGAUUCGGAUGUUUACGUAGGGAACACGCUUCUUUCGUUUUACGGCAACUGCGGGAAACUAGGGGACGCACGGAAGGUGUUUGAUGAAAUGCCUGAGAGAGAUGCGGUGUCGUGGAACACGAUUAUUCGGGUUUUUGCAGUGAAUGGGGGAUAUGUUGAGGCCUUGCAUUGUUACAGGGAGAUGAGUUUGGGGGUUUGGUGUAGGCCGAAUGUUGUUAGUGUUGUUAGUGUGUUGCCGGUUUGCGCUGAGCUUGCGGAUGAGGUGAUGGCGGUGCAGAUACAUUGCUAUGUUGUGAAGUCGGGGUUGGGUACGCAGGUGACUGUUGGAAAUGCGUUGGUGGAUGUGUAUGGGAAGUGUUGGAAUGUGAAGGCGUCGAAGCAGGUAUUUGAUGAGAUGAGUGAGAGGAAUGAGGUUUCGUGGAAUGCAGCGAUUACUGGUCUUUCUUAUGUGGGGAAUAAUGCAGGAGCAUUGAAGAUGUUUAGGUCGAUGAUUGAUGUAGGGGUUAAGCCGAACUCUGUCACCAUUUCCAGCAUGUUGCCAGUUUUGGUGGAACUAGAGUUAUUUGGGGUUGGUAAAGAACUCCAUGGUUUCUGUGUAAAAAUGGGUAUUGAAUCAGAUGUUUUUAUUGCCAACUCGUUAAUUGAUAUGUAUGCCAAAUCAGGCCAUUCGUAUGAGGCAUCCAAUGUGUUCCGAGAGAUGGAUGAAAGGAAUAUUGUUUCUUGGAAUGCCAUGAUUGCUAAUUUUGCUCAAAACAGGCUUGAGUUGGAAGCAGUUGGACUUGUGAGACAAAUGCAAGCUGAUGGUGAAAUUCCCAAUUCUGUCACCAUCACAAAUCUUCUUCCCGCUUGUUCAUGGUUGGGUUCACUUCGGCUUGGGAAAGAAAUUCAUGCAAGGACAAUUCGCAUGGGAUCUGUCUCUGAUUUGUUUGUCUCUAAUGCUCUGACAGACAUGUACGCAAAAUGUGGCUGGCUAGAUCUUGCUCGAAAUAUCUUUAACAUUUCCCUUAGAGAUAAGGUGUCCUACAACACACUGAUAAUUGGUUAUUCCCAGACAACAGAUUGCUCUGAAUCUCUAAGUUUGUUUUCAGAAAUGAAGCAGGUGGGCAUGAUGCAUGACACUGUUUCAUUUGUGGGAGUUAUAUCAGCUUGCACAAAUCUGACCGCUAUCAAGCAAGGCAAAGAGAUUCAUGGAUCUGUAAUAAGAAAUCUUUUUGACUGUCAUCUCUUUGUUGCAAACUCACUUUUGGAUUUCUAUACCAAAUCUGGCCGGAUUGAUCUUGCUACUAAGGUCUUUGACCGCAUUCCCAAUAAGGAUGUAGCCUCUUGGAAUACUAUGAUUUUGGGAUAUGGAAUGCUAGGUGAGCUUGACACUGCAAUCAGUUUCUUUGAAGCAAUGAGGGAAGAUGGUGUAGAAUAUGAUUCAGUUUCAUACAUUGCAGUUUUGUCAUCUUGUAGUCAUGGAGGGUUAGUUGAAAAGGGCAAAAGAUACUUUGAGGGGAUGCUGGCACAAAAUAUCGAGCCUACACAACAGCACUACGCUUGCAUGGUUGAUCUCCUUGGCCGAGCUGGCCUCAUGGAAGAAGCAAUAAAACUUAUUAAUGGCAUGCCAAUUGUACCAGAUGCCAACAUUUGGGGUUCUUUACUUGGGGCAUGUCGAAUCCAUGGGAAUAUAGAAUUGGCGAGUUGGGCAGCCGAGUAUCUAUUUAAGUUAAAACCUGACCAUUGUGGGUACUAUAUACUGCUUUCUAACAUGUUUGCAGAAGCAGGUAGAUGGGAAGAUGUAAAGAGGGUGAGGGAAUUGAUGAAAUCAAGGGGAUUGAAGAAAAAUCGUUCUUACAGCUGGGUUCAGAUUCGAGAUGAAGUCCAUGCUUUUGGAGUUGGAGAGAGACUGGAGAGACUGAAUUCAGAUUGCUUGCUGGCAGAAUCCUAAUACAUAUGAUACUGAAAUUAUGAUUUGAGGGACUGCUGAGAUUUUUAGAAGAUCAAUUUGGAACAUUCAAAGAAAAGGAGUUGAGUUCUUCUAAUUGCUAUCAAUGAAGUGGAACAGGUAUCAUCAGCCUUUACUCUGAAUUUUUUUGUAUAUUUUCUCUCUCAUUGUUUAAUUAUUCCAGUACUGAUGUGGGCACUUUUAUUUCUUGGUGCAUGUUUACUAUGCUAGUCCUCACAACAGAAAGAAAUAAGCAUAUUUCAUGAAUAAAGGAAGAUUAUAUAUAUAGUACAUCUGUCUACUUUUCUGCUCUGUGUAUGAUACUGAUGAGAAUCUUGCCAUUUCCACAAAUGCAACUAGAGUUGUUUAUGUGUUGUGCUUGUAGGUAAAAGUUAUACAUAUAGUGUAUAGUUGUAGAUGUUAGACUAGAAAGCUUAUUGCUGCUUUAGAUGACAUGCCCUUAGUUUACUAUGAUUCAUUUUAUGAAUGAUCUGACAUGGAGUAAAAGGCCAUUUUGGUUAGUAGUUUUUCACUUAAGGGCCAGCUUGCACAAUCAGAAGUAAUGGGAUCAAAAGCUCCUUAAAAGCUCCUUACCUCCUGGACAGGACACUAUGUCCUGUAAUGAGGUCAAGACGGCUCAUGGUGUGUCUUGAUGCACAGGAUUAGUAGUCUAGUAUAUUGAAGAACCAUUCAGCUGCUGAGGCUCAAGAUUAUUUCCCAUCUAAGUCUCUACUUGAAAGACAUUUUUUUCUCAUGUAAUCAUGUCUGUUAUUUCUAGGGAUCUUCUCACACAUAAAGAAAAAUAGCUUGCAUGUUCUCUGAGUCAAGUUCUGCAGGUAUAGUAGGUAAUGCUCUAGGAACUGAAGAUACACAAGCUGGUAAAGCAGUGGUGUAUGUCCUCCAAUAGAAUAGAUUAUUAUUUGCAAGGAAAAACAUGACGAUUGUAAGAAUUUUGGUCUUGAUGAUUCAUGUUCAGGGCAAAUAAAUACUCACAGCCAAGUUGCAGGCUGGCUUACAUAUUGAGUAAACCUCUUUUCUGGUUUAUUUUACUGUUUCCUGUUUGGUGUCACCUGAAGUUUUUCUUUACGGUUUAGAUAACUGACUACUUCUGUCUGUCUUAUGAGACACAUGAAAGUCAUAAUGGUCAUUUGUGUCACAAUUCAGUACUUUUUAAAGUUUCGUGCAGUGCAGAUUCACAAUACUUUUCUUUCUGCCUUAAGAUGACCUUAUCACAUCAGAGUAUUAGUUUUUGUUUCCCUCAAUUAUUUACUCAUUUCAUUGCCUCACAUAUGGUCAAUCAAGCAUCCUUAAUAGGUUCAAGGCUUCCUCUCUAAGGUGGCUUUUGCAAUAGGCUCGGGAGACGAGCACUGCAUUUCAUGUCAUCAUAUGAUGUUAGCAUAUAUAGUUAAAAGAAUUAAUUUCAGUUUACACCCCUGAGGUUUGGGGUUGACAUCGUUUCACCCCCCAUACUUUUAAUUUUGAAAAUUUACCCCCUAAAGUUUUCAAUUUUCAUAAAUCAAGCCCAAUUGUUAAAAUUCCGUCCAAUUUGGAGGUUAAAUGUUAGCAUGAAAUUUUACAAAAAAAGGUAACAUCUCCAGCAGUGUAACUAAAACUAUUGUUAAAUUUAGCAAUAAUUAUGAGAUUUAGCAAUUGUUAUAAGAAUUUGGCUCUAGCAGUUAUUGCUAAGUGUAAGUUAAAUAAUAUUUUUAACAAAUUAUAAACUGACACGUGGAGAAAAAAAGGAGGGAAAAUAUAAGUAUUUCUUUAGCAAUUCAUGGCAAAAUUGACAAAUUUAUCAAUUUUGUUUAGCAAUUCUUAAAUUUAGCAACCAUUUAGGUAUACUGUUGGAGCUCCUAUUCAUUCGAAAAGUUGACAAAUUUAAAAAAAAAAAUUGAUUUAGCAAUACUGCUGGAGAUGCUCAAAAGGCGAUUUAUGUUGUUAUAUGACUAUUUUAGCGAUUUUAGUGAGUUAUGAAGUUAAAAUUAACGUCUAAAUUAUAUGAAAUUUCAGCAAUUGGGCAUGAUUUAUGAAAAUUUGAAACUUUAGGGGGUAAAUUUUCAAAAUUAAAAGUAUGGGGGGGGUGAAACGAUAUCAACCCCAAACCUCAGGAGGGUAAACUGAAAUUAAUCCUAGUUAAAAGUAUGAACUCCGUUUCAGAUUGUCAAAUGUUGCAUGCCAUCUUCUGUUCUUUACAUAUGGGUUUCCAUUGUUUUCUCUUUGUUUGUUCUUCCUGCUGCAGGACCUUUUAAGGCCUCCUGUUCUAGCCUCACCAGCCGCAUGAAUAGAAUCCAAGCUUCUUAGGACAAUGUAGUCGGAGCCGAUUCAUCAGCUAACUAGAUCGUGGCAAUUGUGAUGUUCUCAUGGUAAGUCAUUUGAUGUUGCUUUAUUAUGUUAUUCAUUUAUUUAUUUAUUAUAGAUUGACUUUUUUAAAUGAGGGAUGAACCUAGGAAGACAAGAUGAAAUUUUAUCUUACAAUAAUCGGUAAAUUACUUUAGUGAUAAAAUAGAGACAUUGAUUUGUUGAUAUGCAAUAUAUUAUGUCAUUAAAAUAAUAAUAAAUGAUAAUAAUUAUAGUAAAAUUCAAUCAAUUAUUAUUCUACGAGCAAGAACAGAAUAAUACGUCGAAUUUGCAAAAAACUUUAUGAUUGAAUGAUGACUAUUAUUUUCCGAGUAAAAGACGAGUGAGAAUGACAUGGCUGUCCCUUGUAUUUACCAACGGCGCCAACACUUGGUGCCAAAAUAAAGAAUAAAUGCAAUCAAUAAUUAUUAUACGGGCAAGAAUAGACAAUAAUCUGUCGAAGUUGUAAAAAAAGUUAUGACUAGAUCACGAUUCUUUUAUUUUCAGAGUAAAAGAAGAGUGAGAAUCACACGUUUAUAUCCCUCAUAUUUUUCAAUGGCGCCAAGACUUGGCGGCAAAAUGAAGAAUUUCCUGCCCUAUUGUGUGGUUGCUCUUGUUUGACAACCAUUAUAAAUAGUGGAAAAUAGAGAGAGAGUUGAUCCUAUUAUGAGGAAACAAAUGGAACUUAUGAGAAUUGGUUUCUGCAGCAGCUGAAUGCAGUCGCUUUCUUCGCAACCAAAGGUGCGAAGAGGAUCAAAUUACUCGUCUUCCUCAGGUAUUUCAUCCUCUCAGUUGUCCAUCUGAUUGCUGCAUCUUAAAGAAUGUGAUAAUUAUUUCUAAUUUUUAUCUUGUCUAUUCAUUUGCUUGGUGUCUUAGAUCUGAUUGGUCUUCAAGUGAAAUAUCAUAGCAUGAUGUUUUGUUUUAGGUUUUGAUAGAUUUCUUUGUACUAUGUCUUUGACAUUAUUUAUUUUGGUUAAAAUGUUAGUUGACUCUUCAUUCGGUGAAUUAUGAAUUUAUUACAAUGGAUUUAGCCAAAGACAUAUAAUCUUCAUUUUUCUCUAUCAUGAAUCUUAGCAAAUUAUUCACUACUUGCUUCAUCAUGAGUUCUGGAUUGAAAUUCCUUUUGUCUAUGAUUUCAUCCAGUUUUAAAAGAAACUUUGAGGAGAAAUCGCUGGAUCCUCCUCCAUUGUCUUAGGCCAAUUCUGUCUUUCUUUAUGCCUGGUUUUGUGUUUCCCUGCUUAUAAAAUAUUUUGCCUGAUUUUCUGGAGAUUUGGUGAUAGGAUAGUAAAUAAAAAAUGUGGAGGAGGCUUCCAAAAGGCAGUGGCAGCAGAAGCAGCCAAUCUCUUGGAGGCCACAGGUCCCAGUGGGAUCAAACCAAGUGGUACUUUAAAGAUAUGUUUAGAGGAAGAGAAUGAACUGAAAACAGCAGGUUCAUCAAUUGAUGAAUCUGAAGAAAAUGAGGAUGCAAAGUUUGCAAGACUAUUGCACGAAGAAUACUGGAAAUCGAUGAAACAAAAAAAAGAAACCUCUACCACAUCCGGAGGCAUUGGUGUUCACGUCCCUUGAGAUUACGCUACAAUUAUUGAUGAUGUACAAAUGUGGUGACAUGGAUGAUUGCAUCUCAACCACUGAUGUUGCUGAAUUAGAUGCAUCACUUGAUGAGAAGGUGAAAAACGAUUUGCCACUGCCAGGAACUUAUCAAUGGAGGGCCUCCCUAUGGUGGUGUUCUUUCUUGUUUUUCUUCUGAUAUGAACAGGUUCAACACCAGUACAAUUGAGUUCAGUAUGAAAUGAUACUGGCAUUCUUAUCGAGGUAGGGAAUUCGAACUUGGACCUGUACCACCAUUCUAUGGGAGAGUAACGCCUUAUAGUGGUGAAGCUUUUCUCUUCGAUAGAAUGCAGGUAGAGGUCCAAGUGUGAUUCCCACUUCGGAAUUCCCCAAGUGUUUGUAUUCAUUUCAUUAACUUUAGCCUAUGAACCCAAUUUGGAAAAUCUUACUACGUUGAAUCUUGAAUGCAAUAUUCCUUAUCAGAUUACUGCUCGAUCAAUUGAUUCAGUGUGUUUGGACACAAAUUACAGAAUGUUUAUUGUGGUUGAUUUUCAGAAAUUGAUUGUAGCUAUCAAUUACGGAGAUAAAUUUAUAUUUAUGUUUAUUAAAAUUUAAUUCCACCCCACCAAUUUGAUGAGAUAUGAACUCAUUAUGCAUCCAAAAAUGAAUACAAGUACAACAAUAAGUUAUUUUUUUGAACAUUGAAAAUAACACGAUCUAUUUGCAUGUCGUGCAUAGAAGAAUUUUCUAGCAUAGAUAAUAGGAAACUUCCGACGGAAAGUUAGUAAACUAAAUAAUGUUGAUCAAAUUUGUAGCCUAAAAUAGCAAAUUCAUCUCUUAAAAAGUUUGCAUAUGCAAUAUUUGUAAUAAAUUAGCGAAUCACAACUUUGACCAAUUUACUGGACGGCCUCAACAAGAAACGUCGUAUGUAGUCUGCCAUGUUAUGUUUAUAAGAGUAUUAGAACAACUUUACCAUACUCUAUAUUUUAGCUUUUAACUAUUUUAGAGAGCGUAUUUAGCUUUUUUUGAUAUUUUUAGAGCUCCAGCAAACUACCAAAGUUUAGCUAUUAUAACUUUUAGCUAUCUUGCUAGCUAAAUAUAGAGAGCAAGAUGACUCAGAUUAGGCUAGCUAUAAUUUAAUACAUUUCUUAUGAGAUAUUUUAUGUGAUAUAUAAAUAUAUUUAAACUAUUUAAUCUUUAUUUGAAGAAUAAUGUUGAUGUAAUGCUAGCUAAAAUAGAGAGCAUUGAUGCAGCCGUAUUUUUAAAGUGGCUAGCCAAAAUGACAUUUUAGCUAAUUUAACUAAAAUUUAACUCAAAAUAGCUAAAUACUUGUAAAAAUUCUUAGUAUAUACAAUAUCUGUGAAUCUGUAAAUGUUGAAAAUUAAGACGCUCUGACCAUAUCAGUCCAUAAUUCAAAGUACAACCCUAAAUUAAUGGAAAGAUUCCGAGAUUCAUUUCUUACAUUCCGGAUUUCCAUAACUAACCCCCAGAAUCUUAGACCAAGACCCUACACACGUGUCAGCACAUCCGUGAAACCCUACAUUGAAACAACCUAUAAAAUCAGGAAAAGCCAAACAUUGCCAAAAAUAAUAAAAUAUCAAAAAAGGACAGAAGCCUCGCCAGCUCUCAAAUCUAACGGCUGCGAUGGCAACAGCAACGCCCCCAGCUUUAUAUAUUACAAAUUCCCCGAAGAUUCCUUUUCCGCAGCCUCUACUUUUGAAAAUCUGCCACUCAAUUUUAGACUCUCGUUUAGAAAGAAGCUACAGUCCUCCUCUCCGCCGCCGCGACGUCGCCGCCAUGUGUGGAAUUCUCGCCGUCUUGGGAUGCGUGGACCACUCCCAGGCCAAGCGCAGCCGCAUUAUCGAGCUCUCCCGCCGGUAAAAAACUUGAUCGCAUUUUCUUCAAGAGUAAUCGAAUUGCUUUUUUGAUGUAGUUGAUUGUGGUGAUGAGCGAGUUUGUGAGGUUUGAUUUGAUUUGUGUGUAGGUUGAGGCAUCGCGGUCCUGAUUGGAGCGGCUUGCAUUGCCAUGGAGAUUGCUACCUUGCGCAUCAGCGAUUGGCUAUCGUGGACCCUGCCUCAGGUGAUCAGCCACUCUACAACGAGGACAAGACCGUCGUUGUCACGGUACUCUCUCUCUCUCUCACUCUUUCGGCUUCGCAUUCCGGUUCGGUGUUAUUCAGUGUGGUUUGGAUGGAUGAGGAUUAGUUUGGAUUGUAUUGCGAAAUAGAUGACAAUUUAGAGUUAGGAAUCAGGGGCUGUAUUUUGCUGUAUGGUUAGUUUGAUUUGAUUCAUGGUUAUUGGUGUAUCGAAAAUUAGAGCAUUGCAUGUGCUAGUGGCAAAAACUAGCGGCAAUUGGUUUUGCGGUUGAGUGAGCAACAUAAAUCUGUGACUGUUGAUUAGCUUUGAUAGUGGAAAACAUUUUUUCUUAGGCUUUUUACUGAGCCGAGCGGGGUUUAGAGUUUAAAAUUUGGUUUUUGGAUUUUUGGUUUGGUGAUCUGCUUAUGUUAGUAUGUUGAAUUAAUAUUGUGGUUGAUUAUUUGGAGCUGUGCUUUCAGGUUAACGGUGAGAUAUAUAACCACAAGGAAUUGAGAGAAACAUUGAAGGGUCAUCAAUUCCGAACUGGUAGUGAUUGUGAAGUGAUAACGCAUCUUGUAAGUAUCAGUGACUUCACCCAUGAUUGAAUGACUACCUUUUUGUCUGGAUCUAGAACAAAAACCCUGUUAAACUUCCCUUACUUUUCUGUUUAUUUCUAUUCUGCCAUAUCUUUUUAUCUAAUUUAACGUAUGUUUUUGGCAGUAUGAAGAACAUGGGGAAGAAUUUGUUGACAUGCUGGACGGGAUGUUCUCCUUUGUCCUCCUUGAUACAAAAGACAAUAGUUUCAUGGCGGCUCGUGAUGCUAUUGGCAUAACCCCACUGUACAUGGGCUGGGGUCCUGAUGGUAGGUCAAGUGUAGCGAAGGUUUUGUUAUUGAAAAAGCAACUGAUAUUUCUUUAAUUGAUUCUAGUCAAACCAUUUGCUUGAUUCUUGCUUCAUUUUGUUCUUGCAUGUGUUAAAAAGAAAUUUGUAAAAGCAAAUGUGACCAGCAUUGAGAUUUAGUCCACUCACACUGCUAGUCUGCUGCUUCAGAAAUUCUUUGCACUAAUAAAAAAGUCUGGCUUAUGUUUAUAUUAUAGUGCUAGUUACCUCCCUCCUAAGUCAUAAUGAUUCUUAAUUAAUAUUUGAUCAGUUCCAGUUUCAAAAAAAAUUAAUAUUCGAUCAGUAGAUUUGUGGAAGCUUUGAUUAUCUCAGAGCAUUUAAGCUGUUUCUUUUUUUCCCUCUUUCCAGGAUCAAUUUGGUUUGCUUCAGAAAUGAAAGCUCUAAGUGAUGAUUGUGAAAGAUUCAUAACUUUUCCUCCUGGGCAUCUAUACUCUAGCAAACAAGGUAAGUUGAAUUGAGCUCUAGAUACUGAUAAGGAUUUUGGUUCGUGAGUUAAUUAGCAGCCUGUUAGUCUGCGAAAGCUUCAAUAUAAAUCUUUUUAGAUCAGCAUACUUCUUUUAAGUUCUUCUUAUGAUAUUAUCACCCGUUUGACAGCGAUAAAGAAGGAACAGAUGCUUCUAUUAUUUCACUUGAAAAUAAAAAAACCAAAAACAUUAUAGCAAACUGUAUCAUACAUUUUAUACUUGGGGUUUUGGACAUACUUUAUACGGAAAUAUAUAAUUUUGAUUGAUAUCACUAGCAAGACUAUGUUUCUCUUAUUGUAAUUCGGAAAACUCUUGAGCCUGAGUCAGAAGUUUCUUUCUUUUUGUAUAUUCAUUUGGUUUACUAAUAACUUUCAAGAUGCCUUCUUCUUUGUUCAUCACAACUUUGUACAUAUGUAUUUACGAUUUUGUGUGUAGGAGGGCUGAGAAGGUGGUACAAUCCACAAUGGUUUUCAGAGAAGAUACCAUCGACUCCUUAUGAUCCCAUUGUUUUACGCAGGGCUUUUGAGAAGGUAUGCAUUGACGUGUACCGCUUACAAUCUUCCUUCUUUUCUAUUUGUGUUUUCUUUAUUUUCCCAGUCUAAUCGAUUGGUUGCAACCAUCACGAAAGAAAGUAAACUUCAUUCUUGCUUUUAAUUUUGUUUUGAGAACUGUGUUAUUGAGACUACUAUGUUGAUGAUUUUCUUUUGUUUACCAAAACUUUGUUACAUCGGGUUUUUUGUGUGGAUCCUGUCAUUGAAAAAAAGUCUUUAAAAGGAGUGGUUUAUGCCACUUUUGUCUCUGCUAGUUAGUGUCCGGAGUCAUUUACUUGGUGUGCAACCCUGCUAGUUGGGUGAGACUUGUGGAACUUACUGAGACUAUUAUAUAGAUCAUUCCUUUUGUUUACAAAAACCUUGUUGUUAUACUCAGAUCUUUGUGUGGAUCCUGGUAUUGAAAAGGAAAUCUUAAAAGGAAAGGCUGAUUGAUGCCAGUUUUUUCUAUGCCAUUAUUAGUGUUGGGAGUUCUAGUUUUUUUACUUGGUGUGUAGCUCUACUAGUUCGGUGUCACUUGAGGAACUUCCUUGAUUGGAUCUUUGAUGAGGAGGACUUGCAAUUGGUUUUUGUUUUUGGUUGUAUACAGUGAGAUCGGAAUUUGGCAUACUUUAUAGUCUCACUUUAUAGUACAGUGUGUUGAAUGGGCAAUGUUACAUUUGCAUUUGGAGGCCUUAUUAUCUUAUUAACCGAAGGUGGUAAUUAGGCAUGGUUACUAGAUAAUAGCAGAACCCAUGGAAGAGUUGAUGAAUUAACUUAAAAGUUGAAAUGAAUAUGUUAUUUCAAAGAAAGGUCACUUUGACUUCACUUGAGCAAUGGCUUCUGAUAUAUAUUAGUACUUAAAUUGCAAGAUAUAUUCCUACUUUUUUCUUUUCCCUCCUCAUACUUUAUGUCUGUUAUACCCAUUGAAAACUUGCAUAAAGCACAUCCUUUCUAUCUGCCCACCUUAAAAUAUAAUAUUAGUGUAGCAGUUUAAGUAUUUAACUAUUGCUUCAUAGUAAUGGUUUCUAAUGAAAAAUAUAUAAAUAUCAAUUCAGCGUCUAAACUAUGAGUGAUAAUCAGAUAUGUGGUUUGUUAAGAGAGAUUUUGAUUGGCCCCUGUGCCUCAUUCCACCGUCAGUCUGUCACUAUUUAGCUUCAUACAUAUCCUUACAUUAUUCUUCUUCCCAAUCUUGUAGGCUGUGUUGAAGAGACUUAUGACAGAUGUACCAUUCGGUGUUCUUUUGUCUGGAGGGUUGGACUCAUCACUCGUUGCUGCUGUGGCUUCUCGCUAUUUGGCUACAUCAGAAGCUGCACGUCAGUGGGGAUCACAGUUACAUACCUUUUGCGUUGGCUUGGAGGUAGUUAUACUAUCAUAUAUGAUAACAAAAUCUGACACGUGAUCAAAUGCAGUUCUCUUUUAUAUAACCAUAAUGUCAUCUUCAGUCCUCUUCCCUUCCCCUCUAUAGCUUAGAAAAUGCUACCUACACCAUUUUUUCAUUUUACAAACAAGAGAUGCCUGUUCAUAAAAGUAGACAACCUGAAUCGCCUUUAAAGAAGUAUAAAAUUCAACUAUGGCUGGGUUCUUGUUGUUCAGGUCUAAUUGCAAAAAGUGUGAUAGAAAGUUGUUAAGUUGGUAUAUUUAAAGGUUAAGCCGUUAACGGAAAGGUUCUUGGUGUCAAUGUUCAAUAGCCUUUCCAGUGCAAACUAUGGUACUGGAAUGGUUUAGAUGCACCCUCUUGUAGUCAAUUUUUAACAUAGAUGUUGUCUUUAUGAUACUUAUUCUCUAUGUUUAAAUGCUUUGCAUUUUCAAACUUCAGGGUUCUCCAGAUUUGAAAGCAGCAAGAGAAGUUGCAGAUUAUCUUGGAACUCAUCAUCACGAGUUUCACUUUACUGUUCAGGUAAUGUAUAAGGGAUGCAAUUAGAAGAAUAGUUCAUUAAGAGGGUCAAGGGUGGAAAUUAGUUUCUUCAAUUUAUUAUUUAGGUAUUCUUGUGCAAUUUUAGUUUCAGCUUAUUAAAUAUCUAAGGGUUGCUUGAAAUAGGAUUCAGACUAUUUAUAUUGAAUGGGGAUUGGAAAUAUAAAUUGUGUCACCCUAAAUUUCUAGCUCCCACUCAUUCUAUUUCUUCGUUGUAGUCCUCUCUCUCUCUCUCUCUCUCUCUCUCUCUCUCUCUCUCUCUCAUUCUCUUGCUUUUUUUCAUCACUUUUUUUCUACACCAAUAUUUUCAGUUUAGGUCUGGACUCUAGAUAUAUAUUAAUUCCAAGAACUAAUUUGUUUCUUUGAUUUGAUAUCUCAGGAAGGCAUAGACGCACUUGAAGAAGUUAUCUACCAUAUUGAGACAUAUGAUGUGACCUCUAUCAGAGCCAGCACUCCAAUGUUUCUCAUGUCUCGUAAGAUUAAAUCUCUGGGAGUAAAAAUGGUCCUCUCUGGUGAAGGUUCAGAUGAAAUCUUUGGUGGUUACUUGUAUUUCCACAAGGCACCAAGCAAGGAGGAGUUUCACCAAGAGACAUGCCAGAAGGUAUUCAUACACACUAUCUCUGGAUUGUUCUCUGCUUCUAGUGUUGCUGGAUUUUGUUUUACUACCCUUGAGGGUAUUUUUAUUAUCGACAUUUUGUGACUAUUCAACAGAUCAAAGCUCUUCAUCUGUACGACUGUCUGAGGGCCAACAAGUCGACUUCAGCUUGGGGUGUUGAGGCUCGUGUACCGUUUCUUGACAAAGACUUCAUCAAGACUGCUAUGGACAUUGAUCCAGAAUGGAAAAUGGUAGAAAAUCAUUAAACUUUCUCUUCCUCCAAUUUUUUCAUGUAUUGUAGUGAUUUAAGGCUUACCGACAUUUGGCAUAGUGAGAGCUCAUUAUAGGACUGUUGGGGUAUGAAUAUCGUCUUACGACUAUGAAAUGAUCUACUACAUGUGGACGUUGUUCCUAUUAUUGAUAUUGCCUCACAGAAGUUAUUUUUCUAAUCCACCAUGACUUUUUAUGUGUUGUGAACUCCGUCAUUUUUCAUCCGUUUUAUGCUGAGGUGUCGGUGUCAUACAUAAUCCUGCUAUGUCUAAUCUAAUGGACGAUCUAUGGUAUACUUAGUCUUAUUAGAUUAUAUCUUCAUUGGUGCAGUGGCAUUACUGGGAUUGCCUUGUUUUCGUGCCAAAUUUAAUUGAAAGCAAAAGUUAAUAUUUUAUUCAUACAUCUGAAUAAUUGCAUUUGUAACUGCAGAUCAGGCCUGAUCUUGGGAGGAUCGAGAAGUGGGUCUUACGCAAAGCAUUUGAUGAUGAAGAGAAGCCAUAUUUACCAAAGGUUGCUACCUUUUUGCCCAACCAUUUCAUUUUGCAUAUCCUUUCUGUUUUAGAAAAUUUUCACCUUCUUGGAUACUUAUGCACAUUUCCACUUUUUCCUUGUGGGUUAUAGCACAUAUUGUACAGGCAGAAGGAGCAGUUUAGUGAUGGUGUUGGUUACAGCUGGAUUGACGGCUUGAAAGAUCAUGCCAACAAACAAGUAUGCUGCAUUUUCUACUUGCAUUUAAUUUUGGACAGAAAUGUUCUCUUUCCAACUAGUCUCAUAUAUAAUGUUUCCAUGCUCCCCAACCAGGGCCGUGGUUAAAUUGAUUCAAGCUUAAGUGUGUUCCAUAUUAAGAUUUAUAACCCAAAUUUUGCAUGAUAAAAUUUCUUGUUCUAUGAUAUAUUUCAUGUUCGCUAGUUCAAAUUAGAGGUGCAGAAUCUAAACAACUCAGCUAAGAAGACACUUGAGAUACUGCUUCUUCCUUAGCUGCAUAGAAUUAAUAAAAUCUUCAUUUUUGCUUCUAACUGGACAGGUAUCAGAUUCAAUGAUGAUGAAUGCAGGCUUUAUCUACCCUGAAAACACUCCAACCACAAAAGAAGGAUACUACUAUAGGACUAUCUUUGAGAAAUUUUUUCCAAAGGUGACCUACCUUUCUCCCCAUCUCUUACAAUAUCAGUUGACUGAAUUAGAUCAUUGUUUGUUUAGUAUGUUCAAAAUUGCUAUUUUAUGGACAGAAUUCUGCGAGAUCGACAGUUCCUGGUGGUCCAAGUGUGGCAUGCAGCACAGCAAAAGCUGUGGAGUGGGAUGCAGAAUGGUCCAAGAACCCUGAUCCAUCUGGUCGUGCUGCCCUUGGUAUACAUGCAGCUGCCUAUGAGGAGUCAAAAGAUGUGAAGACUGGAAGUCUUGUGAGUGACUCUCCACAGAAACUUGUAGAAGGGGUUGCAGGGAAAGUGGUGGGAGUAGUUUGAAUGUUACAAAUGAUCGAAAGGAACUAGCUAGAAUGUUAGCAAAUGUCAAAAAUGUUACAAAGGUACUAGAAUGUUACAAAUGCUUUUUCUACUGUCGAAAUUACAUUGACUAUGUUCUUUUGGAUUAAUGGAACAAUGUCAGAUAAGAUAUACUUUAGAUUGAUAUUUAAUCUGAUUCUGUGGCAGAUGAGGACCAGAAGGCCUUGUAAGGAAUUCCUCACGACUGUUAGUAGUUUACUCAACUAGGGCCUUGCUAUUGUCUCUUAGAUGAGACCAGACUACUUGAUGCUUAUAUAUUCAAUUUGUAAUUUUCUUUGACCAGGAUACGAAUAUGUAGUUGGUUCAGACAGUUUAGACUUUAGACAGGUUGCUAUGUAUACUAUGUUUCUUAAACAUGCAGUUCGGCUUUUCCUUUAUUUUCUUAAGGUCCAUUCUUCCUGUUCGACAAGAAAAUUUCAAUGGUAAAACUAGAGCAGAAUCCAGAUUCAGUAACUUUGUUGUCUGAUCCGGAGUGCAUGUUAUUAUGGAGACAGAGAUUAUAAGAAGGAACACAGUUUUUUCAAGAAAUGGAUGCCAAUUUUAUUGAGAAUAUCAAAUACAAUGAGAAACAUAAGCAAAAAGAGUACAACUUAGAAGAGUAUCCUUUGGAAACUCCAUGAACAUAAUUACAAUUGCUAUUUCAGAUAUUUACAUUGUCAUUCCCCUGAUACACAACUAGAUUCAAGAACAAAACAAAACAUUUGGUUGAGGACAUGAGCAGCUUCUUUCCCAUUGCACUUGAGCCCUGAAACUCAAAGUUAACUCCUCCGUAGACGUUUCUGACUAGUCUCCGGGCAGCAUUUGGCAUGGACUAUAGGACCCAACUGUGACCGAUCCAUCUCCGGCGCUGGUCCCUGAGGCGCAUUCAAGUACACAGCACCUUUGUACAUCCACUCAUCUGUGUCAUGGCUAUAAAACUCAACAAAAGCAUCAGUGCACAAGGCACAUUUACUCUGAUCCUCGUCGGCAGGAACAGCCAUUUCUUCAUCACUACACUUCCUCUUCUUAUCAGCAGCAGGCAAAGCUACUCCAGAAACUAAUACCUGAGCCUCAACCUCUGCAUCAUUAACAAGCCACAUGCUUGUAGUUGCAUAAAAGUUACGAGAGCGUUUAUGCUUGCUCUUCUUGGACAUGCGGUUCUUCUUGACAUGCCAAUCCAUAUGGCUGCUGUGCUCUUCUUGACACUUGAACCGCAGGCCACAGCUUUUGCAUUGCUUUGGCAGACCACUCUCAUACAAGGCGUUUAGCACAGAUUCGCGACGCAGAUUUAAAUCAAGGCCAGAAAACUCACAUCCCACCACAGCAUCCUUCUCCUCUUUCACUACCGGGAUUUGAUUCUUCAGCGAGAUCACACCUUGUGCGAGGAGAGAAUCAAUCAAACUAGGAAGCACUAUUGGAACAUUAGUACUACUGUUUGGAACAGGCAAUGAGUUUAGUGAACUAGUAGCCUCCUGUCCUCCUCCGCUUUGGUUUUUCAAUGAGAUCACACCUUGUGCCAUUAGAGACCCGAGUAGACCAGAGACUACUGGAGUCACGGCUUGCGGUGGUAGACGAUGAGGGACAGAAGUAGAACCACAGGGACCUUGAAAAGUGUACCCACCCGAUUGAUAAGGCGGCACUGGGGUUUGUGGAGAUGGGUAGAAACCUGGUCGAGGUGGGACAAAUUGGGGCUGAAAAUGACCGACCGGCGGCACCUGGUUGCGGUGAUUAGCCGGAAAAGGCAUGUAGCGUGGCUUACAUUGCAUCAUCUUGACAAGUUUCUGUUGUGCCAAGAAUUCUGGAGAAACAGGAAAGAGGAUUGAGAUAUGGAAACUUAAGAGGACAGGGGUGUGUCUGUUUUAUAAGGUUUUGAGAAAAGGAAACUUGAUGAGGAAUCCUUGUCGAGUUCGGAUUCGAGGUUUCCGAAUCCUUGUGGGCAAAGGAUUUGAAGGAUCUUCCAACUCAGUUCCGACUUGUACAGCUGUACACGGAUAUUUUUUUUUUUCAUAAAUUAAUUUGACUUUGUCAACUCUUAUAGGAAAAGACAAAUAAGGACAAAUAUAUAACUACCAAAAUGAGGAAAAUAAAAAUAAUUAUUGUAUACAUGCCUCUUUUAGGCCCUGCUCAAUUUGACGGAGAACCCAGAAAAUUUCUAGGGUAUAUCUUCCACUUCUGAUCCACACCAGAAAAAAAAAAAAAAAAAAAACCCAAAAAAGCUUUCAUUGUUAGGAAGUAUGAAAAAAGAGUAAAAAAAACGUUAAAUUAAGAAGACAUGGUGCUAGUCUUCAACUGGGAAAGUGAUGCAUGAUAUAUAUGGUGCUAGUCUGAGAAAGUAGAUUAAGAAAAUAUAUGGUGCUAGUAUAUAUGAGACAGUAGAUUAGGAGGAUGGAGGUCAGUCAGCACAUUAGUUUUCAAUUAAGGUGGUAAGUGGACAGCAAUUUCAAUUGUAUGUUUUGAAUUUUGACACAACAGAGUAGUGGGUUUUGAGUUUGGCAAUUGCUUCCCUUGAAUUGUAAUGGACUACUGGCUUUGCAAAUUUCAACUGCUUAAUUGAGUUGGUUAUACAUUCAUAUGAAUCAUCUAUAAACUAAGGACUAUAACUUCGAUGUUACAAGUGCUUCUACUUUUACCAAGAACUAAUCUUUUGAUCCCUAUCCUAAUAUAUUGUAAUAGACGGUCUUUGAUUAUUGUUCCAAUUCUGGUUUCGUACGUAGGUCAUUAUUGUUCAUCAGAUCCUUUCUAUGGCUUCUCAAGAGCAUGAUCAACUUCAUUCCUUAUUGUUUCCUUUAUGGCUCAAGGCCACAUGAUCCUUAAGAUUGCCAUUGGUAGACGAUUGGCACAAUGAGGCACGAUGGUCAUCGUUGUCACCGCACCGCUUAAUCCAGCCCGUUACAAUCCAGCUUUGAAUAACUGUGAUGGAGGAGAGAACAACAGAGAAAGUAAUUGUAAUUUUUUUCGGGGAUAGAAAAAUAUAGUGAUGGCAUACAAAUUGGUAGAAAGUUGGAGGGUAUUUUAGUAAGGAUAAAGAGGUAUACUUAGGUAUGUAAGUAUGUUAAAAUGUAAAAUUGAGAUGUAUUAAGCAACGAAGGUAUACACAAUAAAUUUGGAGGUGUAACUAAAAUCCUCUUUUUUUCUGUCAUGAAAGCCCAUUUUGUCAUGAGAAGUACCUACAUAUAUACGUCUACUCUGAUGUUAUUCAUGUGUUCAAGACUAUCAUCUCAAGAGACUUACCGUUGGAGCUUCCAAAUGUCUUAGAUCCUUCUUGCAAUCCCAUCCAACUAAAACAAGUUAAAGGUGACCAGAAACGGGAGAGUGGAAGAAGUAAGAAUAAUACGCAUCUUAAAUACCACAGCGGAAUCAUAGAAUCAUAGAGAGAACAAGAAUGGAAAUCAUCCUAUUUUGUCAUACCACAACGUCAAUGGUGGCAGUGGUUCUGAGCAGUUUAAAACUCUUUUUGGUGGCCAUCCGUUUAAAACUCUUUAUUUUUCUUAAUUGUAUUACGUUUUAUUUUAUUUAUAAUGUAACUAUCAAGGAGUUUAUUCUUACCAGAUAAAAGUCUAGUUCGAGAAAAAAAAAUAUAGUAUGAAUAUCUGAAUUGAUUAAAGUUUGUCAUAAUAAUUACUCAAUGUUCUUUAUGUAAGUCAAGUUCCCAAUAUCUUUGGGUAUUCUUCCACUGAAUCUGUUACCACCUAAAAUACAAUUCUUGAACGUUGGGAAGAUGUCGCCACAUAUUAUCGGGGAUGCUACCGUUCAACUCGUUAGCCCCCAACUUUACUUCAAGAAAAUGUUUACAUUGCCAUGACUUCUAUGCAGUGGCGGAUCUAGGAUCCGGUAAGUGUCUAGGCUAAUUAGAUGUGCAAAAUUUUUCUAGAAUUUCUUGAACCAAAUGGUAGACUCAUUAAAAGAAAUUUAUUGUAAAGAAACACUAACGGAAGUGUAGGAGUAUAUGAGAUAACAAUUUUUUUUUUUUCCAACAAAAUACUAAGAGAAAAAUAGAUUAAACCCAAAAAGGAAAGUGAAGAAAACGAGAAGGAAAAAACAUGCAGAGUGAUGACCCAUUUGGUUUGUAGUCACAAAGAAUAGAGAAAGAAGAAUAAUAUUGGAAAACUAGAUAAAAACAUGAGAUUGACUCCAAGAGGAGUCAAACCUUAGACAAUGUAAAGGUCAAGUUGGACAGAUUGCCAACCGAACCAAAGAAAACUUUGUUUACCAGCUGGUAUUCACAUGCUAUGGGCUGCAGCCUAGACAACUCACUACAUGUAUCCGCCCCUGCUUCUAUGGAAGUGGACCAUUAAACUGAUUGGCACCCAAAAUUCAACACUUGAAUAUUAGGAAGAUGUUGACAUAUAUUGUCCGGAAUUCUACCAUUCAAUUUGUUUCCAUAUAAGGCUAGGGUAGCCAAAUAUGACAUGUUGAAGAUAGUCGUAGGAAUAUGCCCUUUUAAGGCAUUUUCUUUGACAAACAAUUUUUCUAGCCGACUUGAGGUGCCGAUAUCAUUUAGAAUUUCUAGAAAAAAAAAAAAAAAACACGGUUAAUUGAUACAAGAACUAUGAUCUACUAUGUACUAUUUCAUUAAAAAACCUUUUAAAAAAAAAAAAAAAAAAAAAAACCUAAAUUUCAUAAGAAUUUGAAAAUAUACUAAUACAUAGUGUUUCACAAAGAUUUUGUUUUAAUAAAAACAAAACAAAAACAAAAAAACAAUAUGGGGCAUGCGGUGUAACAAAAUAUCCAUUUAAAACAACAAAGUUCAUGAGAGUCAUACCUUCAAAAUUAUUAUUAUCAAGGUAGAUCUCCUUCAACGUAGUUAGAUUCCCAAAUACUGUAGGGAUUCUACCUAUGAAGAACUUUUAAUUUUAAUUAGAAAUCAAUCUCUUUACCUUAAGAAGCUUGUUCGAGUUGUUCAAACUAGAGAGUCUGCUAAAUAUGUUUAAGAUAGAUUAAAAUGGCUACACAGUAGAUUAAGAUUCCAGAAAUUUUGCUAGCUAUAUGUGUUAGCUUGUACCUGAGAGUUGGUUAUAACUCAGAUCAAUUAUUUGCAGAGCAGAUAAGUUGAAGAAUGUAGCUGGUAUGGAACCUGAAAAUUGAUUACCAAGUAACCAGAAUUCUUGAAGUUUGGAUGAGGACCCAAACCAUGGUGGAAUAAGUCCCAUAAACUACUUGUAUCCCAAGUUAAUAAACUUCAACCGGCGCAGGCGAGCCAAUUCUGGUUUCAAGGUAUUGUGGAAACUGUUAUUUCCGAAAUCCAAAUCAACAAGAAAUGAUAAGUUGCCUAGCUCGGGAGGAAUGGUGCCGACGAGACCAAAGUAAGAGAGGUUCAACUCUGCGACUCAAUGAUGGCGUUCACCACAAGUGACGCCAACCCAGUUGCAAACAGGGGUGGUGGUUGACCAGUUGGUCAAGAUCAUGUUUUGGGGUCACUGUUGAUACUGGCUUUGAGAGCAAGAAGAGCAGACUGGUCAGUGGUGAUGUUAAGGUUGGUUUCUGCUGCCAUAGUUAAGCAGCUAACCGUGCAACAGAACAAGUAUACCAGGAAGAACCAAGUAACUGCUUCCAUUGUGCGAAUAAUGGAUAUGCAAAGUGGGUGGAAUUUGUUUUUUUUUUUUUUUCGUAUACAACAGAAGAAGGGUGGGAUUGUUACCUGAGAGAGAGAAGAGUCACAAGAGGAACUGGCUGGAUAUGUUGUAAUAAAUAUAGCCAAUUAGCCACCCUACAAAUUGAGAGAGGUCAGCUCUCUGCAUUCUUCAUUAAUCAGUAUUGAAAACCAAAACACGUUCUAAGACUUCACUAAUUAUGAUUGAGGAGGAAAUGUGAAUGGAUGGAAUCAUCAAAAUCCAAGAGAUGGUUCAUAUCAAGAUGGAAGACAAGCUCAAAGACUAUUAACAACAAAUGGACCCAUUUAAGUACGACUUCGAUGAUAUGAGACUCGUUAAAGUAGUAUCAUGGGUAUUCAGAUCAAAAAUACAUAUAUUUUAAAUAAUAUCAAUUUUAUCUGAAAAAUUAACAGAAAUUAUAUUUGUUGAAACAAAGCAUAACUUGAGAUACCAAAAUGUCCUCUUCUAAGCACUAAGGUACCGUAACAUGAAUUUACUGAUGAUUUUAACAUACCAAUGAACACAUGACAGAUAUGAGCUUAUAUAGUUCAACGUACUUGUAUCAUCAACCAGUGUAGGGGAUUUUCUCUGUCAAGAAAUAUAUCAUCAAAAGUAUUAGCCUUUACAAUCACUAUCUAACCAAAAUUGCUUGCACAUAGUGCUUAUGUAUUCUUUAUGUACAUGGAAGACUUGUAUUUACAAACUCCAAAAGGAAAGUCAUCCAUAUAAUGCAACACCGUUUGCAUCCAGCUCCAGAAACUAUAAUAAGCGUCAGCUAAGGUGGUUAUACUAACCACCAUAUCAAUUUGAGGUCCAGAGGGUACAUUCACCAUCGGCAAAUACCAGGUGCCUCCAUACGGCUUUGAGCAAGUACUUCCUCAUACUUGGUAGCAUACACAAAGCCCCAUAACUGCAUUACACUACUAUCAAUUAAAUGACUGACAUUUUUCUUUUACUUUGGAACAAAAAGAGCACUGAUUUGAUAACAUAAAUGCACAUUCAUUUGUAUGGGUGUAAGAGUGCUGUGGAAGGUGUGUGUAUGUUGGUGUGUCAGUGUGCUACUAAGAGAGAUAGAGAGACAUUGCGCACACCUCUACUUCUUUCACAUCAAAGUCUUCUGAGUUUGCAAGACAUGGAUUGCCAUAGGUUUCUGAAACUGAACUUGAUCCGCUCAAACUUGCACAAAGAUAAAAAUAAAAAAUAAAAAAAUAAAAAAGUUAGAAAAUACAGUAAAUUUGAGUAGAUAAAAAAGGCUCACUGAAAAUAAAGAACGCGAAGAGGCAAAGUUCUCACAGAUCACUGUUCAAAUAGAGUGCGAAAUGACCACCCCCGCCAAUAGCUAAAAAGUCAGUAGCGCACAAUGUGAAGUAGCGGUUGGCACCUGUAUUAACAUUAAUUCCAAACUAUUUAGUAAAAGAUAUUCCAUUCAGGUACCAAAGGAAAAAAAAAUUAUCCACCGGUUUGUUUAUCAAAAGACAGUUAUCUCAUAAAUGACAGACACAUGCAUAUUUCAACCGGCAACAUCCAAGUUGAGUUCUCAAGCAGUAAUUUUCUUUGGACGUAACAUAGUUGCGCAAGUAAAAUCUUAAUCAUUGCGCAAUUUAUGCCAAAGUUUUAAUUUUGCACCUACCCUUUGCUCGAAUUUCCUUGCAACUAUACUUCAAAGAAGCAAGGGGCUAAUUGGUGCAUUACGAAGGGAUAUAUUAUAAAUAAAUAUUGAUAAUCCAAGUUUAUUAUAGAAAACAAAAACUACAAAGAGGAUAUAUACAGAAGUACUUUAGAAGUAGUAUCUAUGAGUUUAUGUCCGCCAGUAUCAUGUAUUACUAGAAAUUGUGUAGUUAGAUAUUAAGCGAUUACUAGUUACGAUGUAUUAUGCUAUGACUCUUGUGCAGUAUUUUGACGAUUCCAAACCUAAGGUUUCAAAUAGGCCCUGAGGUUUGAAGAUAUAGUUCAGAAAGUAAUUACUUUAUACAAGCACUACAUCAGCAAAAUGAGGUGGUGAAACAAAGAUCCUAUGAUUGCAUUAUGUACAGGCAGUAAAGCUCUACCAAAAUCUAAAAGAUGAUUGAUAAAUAUAUUUUGUAUUAAAUUCUCUUCUACAAAGUUUGAAGGAGCACAUCCUUUACUAAUCACCAUAGCAUUUAGAACUUGCAGGAUACAGUAAAAUUUUCCACUAAUUCCAAAUAAUGAUCAAGUCAAAAACAUACAUUUUAAUUUUUAAAGUGGAUACAUAUGUAGAACCUACAGCAAGCAUGAGUAAGCAGAAGGUAUAAAAACUGCCUUCACUAUCUCAUACAUAUAUGAAAACCAUUUCAAGGCAUGCAAAGAGCUUCCACCUAGGCAAUCACAAAUUGAUGAUAAAUCAGAAACUGUGUUCCCUACGAAGCAAAAAAGAUAAAUUUGUACCUGUAGGGCGAUAUAUAACAGGAUCGCCAGAUGUAUUUGUGAAAACAAAUGUAUCAUUUGUUCCCUGUCCAAAACACCAGCAAAAAUCUAAUUAUAAAAGGGAAUAAUUGCUAGAUGGAUUCAUAAGGACAUAUCUGUUUCAGCAGGACCUGAUACUUCUUGUUGGUUGGUCUUAGAGGUGCCUCCACCAAGCCACCAAAAACUGCACCUUUACGGUCUCCAACAACCUGAACAAUUGACAAUGUAUCAUACAAAUAAUCAAGGCAAUUCUUUAAUGUACGGCUCAAGGAACUUGAUACAUGUUUGUACAUUAUAUUUUAGGCAGUAAUAGACAAUAAAUAAUUUUAUUGGAAGAGUUGAUUGGAAAUAAUUUUGAAUGGACUGAUGCUAACAGUUCCUGAGCAAUUACCAGCAAACUGAGGCCAGGCCAAAGCAUACUCCUUCUGUAUAGGGUUGAAAGUGAUAUGCCAUGCCUCCAUGUACUGCAAAAUAAGAAGAAUAUCGGUGCCAUUUGUAUAAUAAUCAGUUCAUUAUGAUAAAGAGACUAGAACUUCCAAAAUAUAUAACUAUGGAACUCCAAGUUUCUCUACCUAUACAGUAACAACCAUCGUCUUCCCUGAACUAGCACCGGGAAUGAACUGUAAAGAGCAACUCUAGCUUUCUCAGUAAGAAGUAAAGAAGGCUCUGAGAUGUCUGGCAGAUGAACCAAUGCCACAGGCUUCUGUGCUUUCUGCAAAUGCCUCAUCUCCACUCCAGCAAACUCAGACUCAUUCCCGUCAUCACCUUUCACAGCAAUACUACCCUUCCGCUCUUGACCCCGGUAACCGCCAAAUCUUGCAGCCUGGUACAUAGCUUUCCCAAGCGUGUGCUUCCCCUUAGAAAAGAAGCUUCUCUUCCCACCGUUGGCUUUCACCACCAAAUCAGACGAAGAAUUGCUCUUAUCCAUUUGCUCAUCAACCUGUUCAUCUGAACUUUUACUCUUAUCUCCCGACUCCGAUGUCGCUAAAAACGAGUACAGAAACGCAGUAAAUGAAGAAGUGUCAGGCCCAUCAACCGGAGUAGCUCCACUCUCCUCACUCAUUGACCCAUUUUGACUUCCUUUUGACCCCUCCACAUCUUCCUCCUGACAUAUAUAUUACGUAGUCACAGACACACACUCAAAAUUCAAACAAAACUAGCACAUCUAUAUAGCUAUGCAAUCUCACAGUACAAUGUUCCCCAACAACUAACAAAAUGCCUCCAUCAUUCUCACAAUUAUAACCUACUACUAUUUCUAGACAAAUUGAAGAACUGGGUUUUGCAGCCAGGGGUCCAAAACCUAGAAAAGCUUCAAUCUUUGGAGCAAUCAGAGAGUUGGGUUCAAUACAGAACCACCAAACACAGCAUAAAAGUAAAAACCCAGAAAGGGUAUUGGGGAAAGAAAGAUAGAGAAGUUGCUUACAGGAGGAGGAGGAGGAGAGGGUUUGGAGGGUUUGUCAGAGAUGGGGUUGAGCAAUCCAGUAGUGAUAUCAGUGACAAAGUGGGCCGCUUUGCUGCGGAGACUGCGUGGCCUACCCAUGUGUGUCUGAUUUUGACGACCUGCUUUGGUUUAUAUAAGACUGAUCAGAAUCGAUUCCCACCGCUCAUAUAUUGGUCGGAUUAGAAAAGAUUAUGGGUAUAUGAGAUUUAGUUCCUAAUAUUCUGAGUUUGUUUCGGAAAGUUUUUUUUUUUUUUUGGGUUCUCCGGCGGGUAGGGUGGUGGAGAUCGUUGGGCAGAUAAAAAGGGGGAAGCUUUGGAAGGAAGAGAAGAGUGAGGUCAAAGCUACUGUCUUUUCAAGCUACUUGGGGCCUCACCUAAGAAAGUUCGCACCAAAUUUGGAUAGACUUUGGGUAACGAUUUUAUAUACUAGUUAAGUCGUGAAGGUCAACAAGGACUUCAUGGCCCAAUGGAUAAGGCGCUGGUCUACGAAACCAGAGAUUCUGGGUUCGAUCCCCAGUGAAGUCGUUUUUUUUAGGUAAUUUGGGUUGAGGCUAUGUCCCUCUCCCUCCUCCAUCUUUUAAUUUUGAACGAGGUCAUCGGUGAUCUUUAAGUGGGAAUAGGCAAUGUUUUGGAAAACUCGCAUUAUUACGGUAUUGAUUAAAUAAUUAUAGAAACGACAACAUGUUCAGUGACUAUUGGCAAUUGUGACGCGACUUCUCAACGUCCCUUAAUGCUCAAGUUAAUGCAACAUGUCUUCUUGUACGAAGCAACUUCGUCAUAAGGUGUCGGUUUCUUUAAAACCACGACCAAAUUGCACCACAAUGAAAUGUGAUCUUUUUAAAUUUCUUCUUUUUUUUUUGAAUAAUUUAAAUUUCUUCUUAUGUAAGGUGCUUUUUCAAAUUAGGUACUUCAAUUUUGAAUGGUAGAAGAUAGUCAAAAUCACAAUUAUUUGAUAAACAAGGUAUGGCAUUAAAUGUCAUUAUAUCACUUAUAAAUGGAAGUUUCAAUCAUGUACUUUUGAUUUAUGAAAUUUUCCUAUUGAAUUUCAAUCGACCAGAAAAUUCGCCGGAAAUUUACUCUAUCGUCUUUUUAUACAAAAAUGAACUCAAUCUUUUCUUUAACCAAAUUACCAAAAGAAAAUAUACUCUUUCUAUUUAAACUUUACUUUUACCAGGGGAGCCUAGGAGAGCAGAAGGUGCCACAGAUUCAGCACAAGUGUGCUCUGUGCUCAAAUCCAAAGAAGCCGCGUCCAAAAUCUUCAACGUGCUCUUCCGGGUCCCACCGACUAAUGUGUAUCUGCCGCGUCCUAGCUUUCCACGUGGCUCAUCAUCAGAUGUGUACGUACAUUAUCCCCUAUUAUCUUACUCCCACCUGUCAACACCAUCCCUCAUCAUUGUCCUUGUCCAAAAUUAGGAAAAUAGGAAAAUCAUCCCCCUUUUUUUACGGUGGUUAUAAAAUUAUUUUCCUAUUUCAUCCUAUAAAAAGCAAGCCCCCUGGUCUCUUUGUAUCAUCUAUCAGUCUCUCUUCUAGUCUUGUUAUUACAUACACUGCGAAAAAUGGCGACUCUUCAAGUACCAGCUUGUGUUCCUUCUCCUGCUGAGGACGCUGAGCAGCUUAAGAAGGCUUUUGAAGGUCUUUUACUUCAACACUCUUAAUCUCUAUGACUAUCGAUCACUACAUGCAAUCAUUCAUAUAAUCUGAUCUUGUUCUGCGUUUUGUUGGUUUGAUUGAUCUGGUCAUGUGUCUGUUAUGAUCAUCUGAAGUUUUGAUCCAUCUACUUGUGUAUGGUUUUUACCUUUAUGUGAAUUCUGGGUACUGAGUAUGACUUGGAUGUUAUCUUUACAAAUUAAGCUUAGAAUGUCAAUGCUAAUAUGAUCAUGAUGAUGAAGGGUUUUUUGUUUGUCAAUGUUCUUCGAUUCAUUAUUGGUGGAUCAAAGUUUAGAUCUGGAUAGUUUGAUCAGUUAUCUGGUGGAGCCAGUUUCAGGUUCACUGUUGACUGACAAGUAGCUUGAAAUUUGAGAUGUUGAUUUUCAUGUAUUCUGAUAUGGAUGAUCUUGAUCAUCUAAAGAUCGAUCUUGUACUAAAAUUUUUUUACUUGUGAGUUGUGAUUAUGUGGUUUCUGUGUUUAAGUAUAAUGGGGUUGCAACCUCUGUGAAAUUCAGAAUCAUAUAUGACCGUAAAGAUCAAGUAGGAUCUUCUUUCUCUUAGAGUUUUCUUUCAAUUUUGUUGUUAACAUUUUCAUUGGAGCAAUGUAUCAGAUCUGGAUCUGCUUAACAAAUAUUUUUUGUAGUCAUUGAUCACUAUUGACUGUAAACUUUUCUGGCCACUAAUUAUGGCAAAAGCAAGGCCUUAGUGCUAAACCACUAUAUUCUUUAUCUGACUUUUUCUGAUUCAUCCACUCUGAUAUCUAUAUCAAUCGGUUCCUCUGGCACAUUAUUCACAAGUUGACCUCCUUCCUUGAAUAUUUCAUUGGAUCCUAUUUUCUUAAUUGGCAAAUUUUUAUUAUUCUUUUGAUUACUGUAGUUGAGGUGAGUAACCCACUUACUUUGAGCAGGGUAAACUAUAUAUAGAGACAAUUAUGAACACUUGUUUUCUCAAUUAAGAUACUAAGUUUCAUCUUAUAAACAUAAUAAUGGUUGCAUGUAUCACUCCUUAACUCUCAAAGAGUUUCGACUUUCCUAAUUGCAGUAGUAGAGGAGUUGACCUUAUUUAGAUCAUUGCCUCCUAUUCUUAGAUAGAAUAUUUCUGAGCUAACUUUGGUAAUUUGUACGCAGGAUGGGGCACAAAUGAGGGGUUGCUCAUUUCCAUACUGGCUCACAGGAAUGCUGACCAGAGAAGACUAAUUCAGCAGACCUAUACUGAAACUUAUGGAGAGGAUCUUCUCAAGGCACUAGACAAAGAACUCUCAAGUAAUUUUGAGGUCCGAUUUUGAAUAAUUUUUCAUUUAUAGAUGCACACUAUUUUGCAACUAAUUAUAAAGCAGCGUGUGAAUGAUGUAUCUCAUUUUAAAAGGAUACUGAUUGAUUUUUUUUCAUAUUUUGUUGCAUACCAGCGUGCUUUGCUGUUAUGGACACUGCAUCCUUCCGAGCGUGAUGCAGUUUUGGCUAAUGAGGCUAUAAAGAGGUUCACUUCAAGCAAUUGGGUUCUCAUGGAAAUAGCUUGUUCUAGGUCUUCACAUGAACUCCACAUGGUAAAGCAGGCUUACCAUGCUAAGUUCAAGAAAUCCCUUGAAGAGGAUGUUGCAUUUCAUACAUCUGGAGACUUCCGCAAGGUACAACUUUGAACUUCCAAAAUGAUUAGUCAUUUUAAUUGUGCUCUGAAUUUUUUAGUUGGUAUGUUGUAAUGAUUAGUCAUCUUUUGUAUUAUCUAUAUUUAAACAUGUUCACCUACAAAGUCACUUCUGCAGUUCUGCACAUAUAUCCCAGACACUGACCUUCCUUCUGCGUUAAAUUUUUUUUUUUUUUUUCUUCCUUUGCCUUGGUUGCAAUUUAUACAUUUUAAUUUAUCAUUUGUUUUACUCUUGACUCUGUUACAGCUUUUGGUUCCUCUUGUGAGUGCUUUCCGAUAUGAAGGAGAUGAAGUGAACGUUACAGUGGCAAAAAGAGAGGCUAAGCUACUUCAUGAGAAAAUCAAGGACAAACACUACAAUGAUGAGGAGCUCAUCAGGAUCAUCUCUACCAGGAGCAAGGCACAGCUAAACGCUACUUUCAAUCAGUACAACAAUGAGUUUGGAAAUGCCAUUACCAAGGUAACCAUCUCUGCGAACAUUCAGAUAAUGUGAAAUGCCAGGAAAUGUGGAGUUCAAAAAUUGAUAGAUUAUUGUAUUCAGCUAUUUCAUUUGACCAUGUAAACCACAUCCUUAAUUGGAUUGCUGCUUGAGUGAAAUUGCUUGUACUAAAACUGAUAGUGUGGCAUCUAAUAUGCAGGAUCUGAAGGCUGAUAAGGAUGAUGAAUUCCUCAAAUUACUAAGAGCAACUACCAAACUCUUGACCUACCCUGAGAAGUACUUUGAAAAGCUUCUUCGUUUGUGUAUCAACAAGCUCGGGACAGAUGAAGGUGCACUUACUAGAGUUGUUACUACCAGGGCAGAGGUUGACCUGCAUCGUAUUAAGGAAGAAUACCAACGCAGAAACAGUGUUACUCUGGCCCAUGCAAUUCAAAAAGACACUAGAGGAGACUAUGAGAAUCUGCUUCUGGAACUGAUUGGACAUUCAGAUGCCUGAGCUUUGCUGCAAAACCACCCAGAAUAAAGAUGAACAGAGUUUUAAGUUAUUUGCAAUGUCUUCUUUGCUUCAAAAUGCAUCUUUUUUAUGGUUGUGUAGACCCUUGUCUAUUUAUGUUUCUAGUCUGGCAACAGGACAAUUAUGGAUUGAUUGAGUUGAUGUUGUUUAUGGAUUGAGUUCCUGCUGUUAUUGGAUUUAGCCUUGAGUUAUAUAUAAUGAGUUUUAAUCACCCUUGCCUCUUUUUCUCUAUGAAGGAAGUGAUAGUAAACUUAUCAUACUAGUAUGUACGUAGUGGAACAAUCUUGGAAUAUAAAUCGAACUCGUUGCCCAUUUUAGUGAUCCAUAGCUCCAAAGGUCCAAGUUUCAGCUUCAUCAUUAGCUACUCAAAAGCAAUUUAAAACCAGGCAUCAAGCACUAUCAAAGAUGAAAGAGAACAUCCUUCUCGUAUGAAAUCCAAGUUAUGACCCCAUCAAACAUGCUAAACUCAUUACUUUGUUGGCAAAAUUGGAAUGUCAAAAUGAUGUCAUUUUAAGAUACACUCUUGCUAAUCCAGCUUCUGUUGUAGCAGCUGCUGCUACUGCAGGGUCUGCAGCAAUUCUAGACACCACUCAUAUAUUUGCAAAUGCAGAUUAUAAUGGAGGUUGUAAUAGGCAACAUUCUCCUUGUGUUGUACUGAAAAUCAACUUUGACAGGUUCAAAUUAACUUUGUAAUUAGCUAGAGGGCUUUUCAUCGGAAAUUCUGAUGAUGUUCCUCUAGAUGCAGCUACAAAUGAAGAUCCGAACGACUUCCAGUUGUAGAAACACACUUUGAGACGACCUUUCUAAAUUCUAGUGCCUUUCAAAAUGGCUAUCUUAGUUGAGGGCGAUCUCAAUCUUAUCAUUAACUGCGUCAAUAGUGUCAUUUCACCACCUUAAAGACUCAUGAAGAUUGUCUAAGACAAAAAAAGACUUGCACAUAAUUUCAUGGCAAUGUCUUUCAACCAUAUCAAUGAAAAGACGAAUUUUGUAACAGAUGCAGUCGCAGACCUUAGUCAUUGUUAUUUAGACAGUUGAUUGUGGAUCGAUACUAUUUUCUUAUUUCUUAAGGAACCUUCUAAUACCUCCGUCUUUGACUCUCUAAACUUGAGUUGCCUCAAUGACUUUAAUAUUUAGUUUAUUUUGGACUUUUCUUAUUAAAUUACGAAAGCCAAUCAUUCAAUUGAUUUAGCAAAACAAAAAGGAAAAAAAAAUUGUAAUAAAAAAAACAAAAAAGGGAAAGAAAAAAAGUUAGUUAUCAUCACCAUGGGGAGCCUAGAAGGCGCCACAUAUUCAGAACAAGCGUGCUGACUGCUGAGCUCAAAUCCUGAGAAGCCGCGUCCGAGAUUUCCAACGUGCGCUCCCGGGUCCCACUAGGUCAAUGUGUAAAUGCCGCGUCCAGGUUUUCCACGUGGCUCAUCAUCAUCAGAUAGGUACCUACAUUAUCUCCUAAUUAUCUACUCAGCCUAGGGAUGGCAAUAAUCCCCAGCGGGUAGGGUACCCACGGGUAUUCGACCCUAACGGGGNNNNNNNNNNNNNNNNNNNNCUUGAAGAGCUUGACUUUUAUAUGCCAUGCAGUUUCCAGGGUAAGGCCAAGUCCUUUGGCACAUUACGUACUGUCUCUCAAAAAGUAUAUAUGCUCUUAUCAAAAAUCUUAAAUUCAACUUAAGCUAAUAUUCGAGUGAUCGACAUCUUAAGUUGAAUAAUCAUAGAAGACAAUAAAUCAAAACCAGGCUUCAAAUGUACUGGCAUGGGAUGACAAAUUGAGUCAAAAGUUAGGUAUUUGUGAUGGUGAAUCUUAGAUUCUCAUGACCAGGUAUUUUGUUUCAGUUUCUCCCAAGGAAGAAAAUUUCGGUGAUUACGGAAAUUUCGACCCUCCAAAAUAUGGAAAUUUCGACGGAAAUUUCGGGGAAAUAUCGAUUGUAGUAAAAAAAAUGAGAAAAUUGACGGAAAUUUGAAGAAAAACAAGGAAAUUUUAAACCAAACUUUAAGAGAUGUUUGUUUUCUAUAUUAUGUACUAUAUUUGAAAUGAAAACCUUAAAUAAAUAUUGAUCUAUUGGGAGUUUUAGUAAGUUAAAGUGAAAAUGUUAGUGUUGAACCGUUAAUAAUUCUUAAAAGUUUACUUUAAACUUUUUAUUUUAUUUUUUUGUUGGCUGGAAACCUAAAGGGAGGCUAGGCCAUCAAGCCUUAUAUACAUAUGAUACAUUUCACAUAGAAUUACAUGAGUACUUUGAAACCACGUAGAAGACCUAUGAGGUAUAAAAUUUUAAAUUUUCACUAUCUUUUUCGUCUCUCUAUGUAGAGCCUUCAGUGUAUUGUGAAUAAUAUACCUCACUUUUGUAGUUUUGCAUGUAUUGACUAGGGAUGGCAAUAAUCCCCAGCGGGUAGGGUACCCACGGGUAUUCGACCCUAACGGGGAAGAUAUACGGGUAUAAACGGGUAACGGGGAUGGGGAUUCCCAGUAUUCAGAUUCUUAAAUCGGGUACGGGGCGGGUAUGGUAUUUUGAUAUUCGUCCCCAUCCCCACCCAUUAAAGAUGAAAAUAAUAUUAUAUAUAAUUAUAUAAUUUAUUAUUAUAUAUAUUUAUAUAUAAUUUAUAAAUAAAUAUUUAUGUAAAAAAAUUUGUGACUCUCUUAAUAAACAUUUAAUGGACCUUCCUUUUUAUUAUAUAUUAUUAUUCUCUUAAUGAAAUUUACUAGUAUUGUUCUGUUUUAACCAAGACUUGUAUUUUAUUUUUAUUGGAAUGAAACCUUAUUUAUUUUGGUAUUUGAUUUUAAUUUCAUACUUUUAUAUAAUUGUAUUUCAUAUUUUUAAAAAAAAAUUAUUUAAUACAUAAUUGUUAACGGAUACGGGUACGGGUAUGGAAAUGUAAUCCCCAAAGGAUACGGGUACGGGGAAUCCCCAUUAUCUAAUUACGGGUACGGGGACGGGUACGGGGAUGAGAAAUAUAAAAGGGUAUGGGUACGGUAUUUUGAUCCCCAUACCCUACCCUACCCAUUGCCAUCCCUAACUCAGCCUGUCAACACCAACUCUCAUUUUUGUCCUGUCCAAAAUCAUCCCCCUUUUUUUACAGGCGGUAAUUAGUAAAUUUCCUGUUUCGGUCCUAUAAAACCCAAACCCCCCCGGUCUCUCUUUGCACCACCAGUCUUCUUGUUACAGACACUGAGAAAAAAAAUGGCGACUCUUAAAGUACCAGCUUGCGUUCCAUCUCCUGCUGAAGACUCUGAGCAGCUUAGGAAGGCUUUUGAAGGUCUUUUACUUAACACCAAAAUGCAGUCACUUUAAAUACAUACCCUGAUCUUGUUCUGGCUGUUAUUGUUUUGAUUGAUUUGGUCAUGUCUCUGUUUUGAUCUGAUAUGCUUGAUCGAUCAUCUUAACUUUGAUGCUUCUAGCUGUUUUCUUGGUGUUUUUUUUUUGCUUCCAUGUGAUUUUUUGUUCUAUGUGUUAUUGGGAUUGCCAUGUUUAUAAAACUUACAAUGUCAAUGAUAAUAUGAUCAUGAUUCAUAUAGUUUUUUUCUUUUUCUCUCUCUCAAUGUUCUUGGCAAUGAUCCUUUUUGGUGGAUCAAAGUUUAGAACUUCAGAUCUGGAUUUUAUUUUAUAAGUUAUCUUGUGGAACCAGUUUGUGGUUUGGAAGCUGGUGUUUGAAAUGUUUUGUUACAAUCUGAUAUGGACGAUUUUGAUAAUCUAAAGCUUGAUCUGCUUUGUGAGUUGUGAUUUUGUGUUUCUGGGUUUUAAAUGUAAUGGGGUUGCAAACAUUGUAAAGUUCAGUAUGUUUGAUCAUGAUGAUCACGAAUUCACGAUGGAUGUGUUAGCUUAUUCUUUCAGUUUCACUGUUAUCGUUAUUGUUGGAUAAAAGUGUUGGAUCUAGAUCUCUUUGACAAUUAUCCUGUGGAGUGAUAAGUGAGGCUCACUAUUGACUGGAACCUUCUUUAGCAUAUAUUUAAACAAUAGUGGUUAUUAGAUUUAUGGCGAAAGCAAGGCCUUAGUGCUAAACCACUAUACCUCUGUAUGACUUUUUCCUAGUAAUCCGCUCAAAACUAUACUAGUUUCCUUGCUCAUUGUUCACAUGUUGACCACCUUCCUUGAAUCUUUCAUUGGUUCCUAUAUCUGAUUGUGGUAGCUGAGGUGGUUUAACCGCUGUAAGCAGGAAAGUCAUAAACUAUUGACACAAUUAUGGACACUUGUAUUCUCAAUCAAGAUAAUAAGUUUCACUUUAUAAAAGUAAUAGUGAGUGGCUAGACCCUUGAGUCUCAAGAGAUUCAAAGAUUUUUCUAAUAGCAGUUGGAGAGGAGGUGAAAUGAAAAGGAGCUGACUUUUUCUAAUAGCUGCAUGUGUCUAUUGAUUUUAUGGUCUUCUAUUCCUGAACAGAACAUCACAAGCUAACUUUUGUAAUUUGUAUGUAGGAUGGGGCACAAAUGAGGCACUGAUCACUUCCAUAUUGGCUCAUAGGAAUGCUGAUCAGAGAAGAUUAAUUCAGCAGACUUAUGCUGAAACUUAUGGGGAGGAUCUUCUCAAGUCACUGGAUAAAGAACUCUCAAGUGAUUUUGAGGUUAUAUUUUGAUUACUCUAUUCAUUUAGAUAGAGGUAAAGCAGCCUUUUCUAGUUUCAAGUGCACUGAUUUGUAUGCUUGGUUUUUCUUAUUUUGUUGCGCACCAGCGCGCUGUGAUGCUGUGGACACUGCAUCCUUCUGAGCGGGAUGCAGUUUUGGCUAAUGAGGCUACAAAGAGGUUCACUUCAAGCAAUUGGGUUCUCAUGGAAAUAGCUUGUUCUAGGUCUUCAUAUGAACUGCUCCAAGUAAAGCAGGCUUACCAUGCUAAAUUCAAGAAAUCCCUUGAAGAGGAUGUUGCAUUUCAUACAUCUGGAGACUUCCGUAAGGUACAACCUUGAAACUCCAAAAUGAUUAAUCAUUUGAUGUGCUCUGACGUGGCUAGUUGGUAGAUUGAUAUAUAUCUAAGUGUCCAUAUUAUUCAAACAUGUUCUUGAUUAUAAAUUCAAUUAUUAUCCUUCCAGAUAUUCUGCACCUUAAUCUUAGACACUGACCUUCUGGCCUAGAUUUUUUUUUUUUUUUUCCCUCCUUUCCUUGAUUGAUGUUUAUGCAUUGUUUCAUCAGUUAAUCAAUAUGUAUGACUUAACUUUGACUCUGUUACAGCUUUUGGUGCCUCUUGUGAGUGCUUUCCGAUAUGAAGGAGAUGAAGUCAAUGUUACAGUGGCAAAAAGAGAGGCUAAGAUACUUCAUGAGAAAAUCAAGGACAAACACUACAAUGAUGAGGAACUCAUCAGGAUCUUCACUACCAGGAGUAAGGCACAGCUGAAUGCUACUUUCAAUCAGUACAACAAUGAGUUUGGAAAUGCCAUUACCAAGGUAAUAAACAUCUCCCUCUGAUACAUAUGGUCAUGCAAAUAAUUUGAAAUGCCAGGAUGUAUACUCGCUCUUCAUUUGAUUUGAUGAUAUCUUGCUGCUAUUGAAACUGUUAAUGUGGUAUCUAAUAUCCAGGAUUUGAAGGCUGAUCAAGAUGAUGAAUUCCUCAAAUUACUGAGAGCAACUGCCAAACUAUUGACCUUCCCUGAGAAAUACUUUGAGAAGCUUCUGCGUCUGUGUAUCAACAAGCUCGGAACAGAUGAAGGUGCCCUUACUAGAGUCAUCACCACCAGGGCAGAGGUCGACCUGCAUCGCAUUAAAGAAGAAUACCAGCGCAGAAACAGUGUUCCUUUGGACCGCGCAAUUGAGAAGGACACUUCUGGUGACUAUGAGAAGUUUCUUCUGGCACUGCUUGGACAGGGAGACUGUUGAGCGUCGUUCCUAUUCCCAGAAUAAUAAUUAUGAAGACAGUUCAUGUUAUUUGCCAUGGCUGGUCUUUGCUUCUUUUUUUGGACUGAGCUAGUCUUUGCUUGAAUUCAUCUUUUAUAUGGUUGUGUGGACUCUAUACUAUUUAUCUUGCUAGUCGGGCUACAGUAAGAUUAUGUAUCUGAGUUGGUGUUGUUUAUGGAGUUGCUUGGAGUUCUAUAUGUUAAUUUUCAAUUCUCCUCUUUUUCUUUCAGAAAAUAAUAAUCUUACUACAGAAAAUAAUAUUGAACAGUUGAACAGUCUGUAAGCUAACAAAAUCUCUUGAAUUCAUACGUCGUUGCUCAUCCGAGAGCAACAUAGCUCCAGAGGUCCAAGUUUUGGCUUCAACCAGGCAGCAUCAAUGGUGAAGAGAACAUCAUGAAAAGAUAGAAACUAAAUACUACUACGAGUUUAUCCAUCAGACCAAGAAAAGAAUCUCUAAGCUAUUCCAGUAGAAUGAUUCGAGUUUUCUCACCCACAGAAAUCCUAUAUUCCUCUAAUUGCAGUCUUUGUAUAAACUGAUAGAUUCGCUUUUACAGCAAAGGGACAUGGACGGCAAAUAUGAAGUGCUAGAUUCAUUUUCAUUUUAUGUCAAAUGCAGAAUCUAACAAUCUAGUGUUCAAACUAUGGCUUAUCCACCUGAUUCAUACCACACCAAAAAUAAAGAUCUGAACAAUUAACUGCUGGCAUAGUUUAUAAAGAUUGGUCCAUGAACAAGUAAUUAGUAAACACUACAGUAAAAAAAAAAAGAAGUAAUUAGUAAACACAUACUUGAAACUGAUAAAGAAACUUGUAAUAACUAAAAAUAACCCAAUUAGCCAAACCUCAUGUUUUUCUGACUACAAGUUUUGCACUACUCGUCUAUAAAUAUAUCACUACUACCGUUUCAAAACUCAGGAUGCUGAUCAUCACAAGGGUAUGCAAGGGUUUUACAUGUCAAAACAGAGUUCACACUGAGAUCAACUUUAUUUGAAAUGACAGAAAGUGACCAGUUAGAGAUUAUGACAGCUUAAACCAAUGAUAUGCUGCUCUCGCCGCCAGGGGGCUUGCGAACACCACCGAGAUAGUCUCUUGAUGCCGCCUUUCCAUCAGCAAAAAUGUUGCUGCCACUCAUUUCUCUCAGCUUAGCUGUGCUCAGGGGCUUUUCAGCAGAUCCCGGAGAAACAUCUCCCUUAAAUAUGUCAUUGCCUGUCAGCUCUGCAAACUUCUGGUUAUGAAUUUUCUUGGAAGUCUUGACAACAGGGUCCUCAGUGAACAAGAUUUUACUCUGACCACCAGCAGGCUGUGUCAAUGUAAAGAAAUGUUUAAUGUCAAGUUAUAGAGGAAAAAAAAUAUCUUUUGAGAUACUUCAGCAUUAUCCGUUUAGUAUGAUAUGCCAGGGCACAUUAAUAUGAAGCAGCAGAUUCCCAAUUUACUGUUUGAGUUCAAUCUCACAACAUGACAUCUCAUAUCACAACAUCAAAUGCAAGACUUUUUUGACACAAGAACACUACCUAGCUCAUAGUUUUGCAUUAAAACCAGGUUUUAAGAUUCUUUUUGGCCCUCUAACUAGUAUAAUCUUAAGUGCAUUAUGGGGGCGGAUCCGUGACAUACAAGAAUAAAAUCAAAAUUAUAACCAAAAUAUCAACCAUUAGAUCUAUUAACAACUAACGGUUGAAAUUAGUCAUAAAACUAAAUUUUUUUUUCUUUUCUUUUCUUUUUAUUUAAAUCAAUUAAGGAAAUCUAUCUAUUAAAAACAUAAUGAAAAUUGAUGAUUACCUACUCUAAUUUUGGAAUACAAUUAAUAGGAAAUUAAUGGUUUCCUAUUGGAGAAAUUUUUAAGUGCUACGGGAGGACCAUGUGGCAAUCUGACGUGGUCCUACAUUCCAAUCAAAUUUAGACACGUGGAUUUUUUACAACUAAAAUGUAAACUAAUAUUUUCUAUUUUUUGUGAAAUGACAUUCAUGGGUAUUUAGCAAGUUCAACCUAGGGUUUAGGGUUUAGAGAUUAGGGUUUAGGGUAUAGGGUUUAAGGGUCUAGGGUUUAGGGUCUAGGGAUUAGGGUUUAGUAUUUAAAAAACAACAUAAAACCCAAAAUGGUCUUUAACAAAAUAGCUGAAAUAAUUUUUCAUGAAGAAAAUCCACAUGUCUAAAUUUGAUUGGAAAGUAGGACUACGUCAGAUUGCCACGUGGUCCUCCCGUAGCACUGAAAAAUUUCUCUUCCUAUUGAAACUCAUUUACUAGAUAAAAAAGGAAAAAAUAAAUAUCAGAUGAAGUCAUGAAACUCAUUUCCUAGAGAGUACCAUCAUCAUCUACCUCUUCUUCUUCAAAGAAAAAAAAAUUAUACAGAUGAUGUCUGCCACAACACGUUGGAAAACUUAUGAUCAGAUUAUGUAUGGGAGUACUCAUAUCAUCUUGUGCUAUGAACAACAAGAAGCUUUUUAUAAAAAAAACAAGAAGCUUUUGAUAAAAAAAAACAAGAGGUUGAAAUAAGUACAUCUAAGGUGCACUAGAUGCCACUUUCGACUACAGUCAAUUUUCUAAUGUGAUAUUUGAGACUUAAUUUGUUUUAUUUCCUCUCUAGUACAUAAGUUUCAAUAGGAAACAAAUUAUUUCCUCUUAAUUAUAUUCUAAACGGAGAAUAGUAAUCAUCAAUUUUUAUUUAGAUAGAUUUCAUAAUUUGAAUUAAAGAAAAAGAAAAGAAAAGAAAAAAGAUUUAGUUUUAUGACCAAUCUCAACCGUUAGUUGUUAAUAGAUCUAAUGGAUGAUAUUCUAGUUAUAAUUUUGAUUACAUCAAAUGCAAGAUUUUUUUGACACAAGAACACUACCUAGCUCAUAAAUUUUGCAUUAAAACCAGGUUUUAAGAUUCUUUUUGGCCCUCUAACUAGUAUAAUCUUAAGAGCAUCUUUAACAGACUCUCUGCUUUAACUCCUUAGCUAUUUUAGAGAGCGUGUUUAGCUUUUUUGAAUGUUUAGGAGCUCUAGCAGACUAGCCAAACUUAAGCUAUUAUGACUUUUAGCUAUCUCGUUAGCUAUAUUUAGCUAGCGAGAUGACUCAGAUGAGGCUAGCUAUAAUUUAAUACAUUCCUUGUAAGAUAUUUUAUGUGAUAUAUAAAUAUAUUUAAACUAUUUAAUUUCUAUUUGAAGAAUAAUGUUGAUGUAAUACUAACUAAAAUAGAGAGCAUUAAUGCAGCUAUAUUUCUAAAGCGGCUAGCCAAAAUGACAUUUUAGCUAAUUUGACUAAAAUUUAACUUAAAAAUGGCUAGCAUUGCUAAAGAUGCUCUAAGUGCAUUAUAUCUUAACUAUCUGAGUAUGGACAUAUAGGCAGGUACAUUGUUGUUUUGAGUUAUAUUAACAUAAAUUGUGCACAUUUUGGUUAGCUAACUAAAUAAUGUACCCUAUGUAUCACUAAUUCGAAUACAGAUGAUUCUAAUUAUCCCAAGUUAUAAUCCAGAACAAUUUAUAUUCCCAAACUGACCAAAUUAUCAUACUUAAACCUACACAAAGAGACCAAAAAAACUCGCUCACAUUGGAAACUUUGACAGAAGUUCGAAGAUUUCUGGGCGCUGGCUCCCCGGAAUCUUUACCCUGCUUAUUAUAGUCAUGGGUACCAACAGCAUUAACCGAUCGGGGAACAAUCUCUGGGGGAGGGCCAAAGAUGUCAUUUCCACUAAGCUCCUUGUUCUUCGCUUUUGAAAUCCCCUUCUGAGUCUUGGAAUCCAAUUCCGAUUGCAAAGUCCCACACAACUCCCUCUGCUUGGCCACCUCCGGAAUACUCGUCGGCUUCUUCGGGGUCACGUGCUCGUCAACGCUGAACGAGAUUUGACUGAUCCCGUUGACCGCCUGCUGGUAAACCCGACCUGGUUGUUCCGGCUCCGCAUUGCCUUCGCCAGCGAAUAUGCCGCUGCCGGAUAUCUCCUUCAGCUUGUAACCGGAACAGGGCUUCCUGUGUGAACCAAAAACACGGAUCUGAGAAGAAGGCUAAAAUCGGAAAAUAAAAUGAAGAAAUGUGCACUGCCGGAUCUAAAAUUAGAAACCGGAUCUUACUUUUUGUUCAGGCUCUGAGCUUCUUCCUCGGUGAUCUGACCGCCGUGGAGCACCUUGCUGAUCCCAUCCGACGGCUGUAAAAUCCAAUCCGCAGCUCAGUUAGCUACUUUGAUAAACUCAAUCACCGUGAUAGUUGGUUAGUUGGAGUAUGAGGGGGUAAAGAAGUAAAAUUUAACCUGGUGAGAGCGAUGUUUGGAGGGGGCGGUGGCGGGAGAGUCAGAGCGGGGGACCUCUUGCCACGUAAGCAUGUCAGCGGUGUCGCGGCGGGGCUUUCUCACUGGAGUGGCCAUUGUUGUUGCUGAUGUCUAUACCGCUCUCUCUGUUUUAGUAUCUGAGUUUUUUUUGUCUUGGGUUUUUGAAAGAGAGAGAUAUGGUUUGUUUGGUUUUGAAAUUUGAAAAUAAUAAUAAAUAGUGGAAAGGUACGAAAUACCAUGACAUGAUGUCAUUUUCGAAACCAGGAGAAGUGAAGGAUCUGUGACUGUAACGUGUACACGUGGAAGCGAUAUUAUACGGUAUGGAAUACGACACCACCGGAGAUAAUCGAGAGAGAUUCUUAGGUGCGGCACUCGCACCACGUCACUAAUACGACUGUCCAGUCAUUGACAGACACAUAUUAAUUUUUUGUCCACAUCACCACUACAAAAAAGCAAAUCGGAGUCUCCUGUUCUCCGAUCAAAACCCACGUUCUCUCACCUUCUCAUCCUCUACCUCAGUCUGAAUCCCCCUCCCCCCACCAUCGUGACAUCGUCCCCGCCAUCGAUCUUUCUCUCAAGGUCUUCUCCUCCUUCAACCACCGCUCAUUCACUCCCACCCUCGAAACCAACCGGCGAAAGCCCCUCGACCCGCCGCCCGCCUUCCCUUCCCUCAACCCCUCCUCCCUUCGCCGUAGCCCGAAACUGAUCUUUCUACCCGACCCCGGCCUAGUUACUAUGAGCUUAAGCGUGAGGGAUUUGUUUGAGGGUGGGUUACCGUGAGGGAUUGGGGGUGACGCUUUGAGGGGUGGGAUUGAGGUGGAGGAUGGGAUAGGGAGAGCCUGGGUUUUUCCGAAGGAUAGAGAGAGGCAUGAGUUUUGUUUGAUCGGCUGGGUUUUGUUUGAUCAGAGAUCACCUCCGACUUCUCUUUCUUCUUCUUCCUUCCAGCCAUGUCCACCUCAGAAAAGAAAUGACAUGUGUAUGUUACUCAGUGGUCGGUCGUAUGGAUGACGGGGUGCGUGUGCCGCACCUAAGAAUCUCUCGAUAAUCGAACUUGAUCACAUACGGAAACAGAUUAGCUCAAUUUAGAGCAUAGAGGUAGAUUAAUGGAGAUCAAGUCCAAGCUAAUCGAUUUCUGUAUGGACUUGGUUUAAAUCUUUAUCAAAUCUAGUUUACUUAGAGCAACUCCAACGAGUCGUCAAAUGAUAGGGUGGAGUCUCAACAGAAAGAAAUGGCUGGAAAAUUUACUCCAACGGUUGUGUCAAAUCUGACGUGGAUUUGACAACUCUCUUCACAUUGUCAAACUUGACCGUGCUCAAGAAGUUGGCAAAUUAUUUUUCUUGAUUGUUUAAUCAACUCUCUUCUAUUCCCUUCUGUCUUCUCUCCUUCUUACACAUACCCAAAAUCUCUCAUGGCAGAUUUUGAAUAUGUUUUUCUUGACUUCUAAUUUUUGUGGGUUGUCUGAUAUUAGAAUAUAGGCAUGAAGAUUUUUACAAAAGAUAAGAAGAAGAUCUAGGCAGAGAUGGAGGAAAUAGAAGAGAGGAAGAUAGGCGAAGGGAUGACUUUUUUGAAAGGAAAAGAAAUCAGAGAAGAAGAGUUCAUGGAAAGAAAGAUAAAAUAACAAAGAAUUCAAUUAUAGAGGACGACUGGUAGAUAUAAAGCCUUUGUUUGGCAUGGAUUAGUUCUGGUAGUGGAGAAUGACUUUGUCUGAGAAAGAAGAGGUCUAGUGGCUUCGUCUGAGAAGUGGAGAAGAGACAAACUGAUGAAGUACCAGAAGAGUUGUAGAAGGAGAGAAGAAAGAUAAGAUAAAAGUACUACUUUAAUAAAAUAAAAUAAAUAACAAAUGAAUUUAUUUGACAUUUUCAUUGGAGGGGAAGUUUGUCACAAAUAACCUUGUCAUGUCAAAAAUCAAAUUUGAAUUUGACAAAGGUAAAAUAACCACUUCAUUGGAGUUGCUCUUAGAUGCAUUGGUACAGUGGUAGUUCUAACCUAAUUUUCAACUUUACGGGCAUCUUCACUAUCUUGGUUCAUUCAAAUUGUGUCUCGAUAAUUCUAUGUUAAAACAUAAAAAUGUGGGUAACAACAUAUUAUUUUUUGGAUUAAAUUCAGUGCUACCUUGAACUUUAAGUCACUCAUCAGUUGUGUCCCUAUUCUUUUUUCUUCAUCACGUAUAUCUUUGUACUCUCGAAAUCAAUCACGAUUGAACAAAAUUUCAAAAUNNNNNNNNNNNNNNNNNNNNACUCCCAAACCCACUCUUCAAUUCCCCUUCAACCCUAAAAAAACCUACCCUCUCCCGCCUCGCCCUCGUCGCCAUCACCGCCAGGAGAAGACCCCAUUUACAGAUGUACUUCGGUAUCACUUGGGCCAACGGCAGUUCGGUUCGAACCGAAGCAUCGAAGGAUCGGGUCCCCAUCUCGGAUCUCGAAUCCCAAUCGUUAUCUUCAUUAUCAGAUGAGCUCGUGGUGCUGUAGUGAGUAUUGGUCGGAGCUGGAGGAAUACUGCUAGAGGAAGAAGUCGUACUCUUCGAAUGAGAUUAGGAGUGGUUUUUAGGGGAGGCGAUUAAGGAUUUCGAGAUUUUGCAUAAGGGUUAGAUUUUGGAUUUGGUGGUGACGGGAAGAGGGGGGUUCUCGGCAGAGUUUAUCGUGGGUGUAAUUGGAUUUGGUGGUGGCGGGAUUGUGAGAUUUUGGUGACACUUUGGUGGUGGGUGCGGUUGAGUUUGGUGAAAGAAGGCGUAGGAGCCUUUGGGGAAGGUGAAGAUUGAAGUUCUAGGGUUAGAUUUUGCAGAAGGGGAAGUGAAGAAAAUGGAGGAGGGAAGUUGUAGAGAGAGGGGAGAAGGAAUUAAAAGAAAAUAAGAAAUUAAGAAUUGAAGACAAAUUAAAAAAAAUGGAAAAAGAAAAUGACUUAAAAGACGUUUUUUGCCCACCAUUUGGGUUAAGAAUUGAGCGGUGGGCCAUCUUUGUCUCCUCACGUUAGAUGUUUACCUCAUGUUUGGAGAAAUUUUGAAAUUUUGUCCAAUCCUGAUUGAUAUCGAGAGUACAAGGGUACACGUGAUGAGAAAAAAAUAAUAGAGACACAACUGAUGAAUGACCUAAAGUUCAAGGUAGCACACUAAAUUUAAUCAUUAUUUUUUUGUCUAAAAAUAAAAGUGAUUAGACACGUAGAUACAUAUUGAGUUGUCUUUACUAUUGGAUAGCUACUUCAUGAUAAAACCUUAAUUAUAUUCAAGUUUUGUAUUCUUAACACUACUUUUAGCAUCUACAACAUUAAAAAUUUACCAUAUCAAAUAACAAGACUUUAGAAGUCUCAAUAUGAACCCUAUCAUGGGAACCACUAGAGUAACCAAGAUCAGCAAUAACAUCCAUUAUAAAAUUGGCUUCACGAAAGACACGUUUAAAUUAUUAAUGGAAUCAAAACUAAUCACCACAUCUCUAAUGUCUUGAACUAACUUGAUCAAUCUCUAAAAGGUAGAUCAAUUCGAUCAUUCACUACUUCAACUACGAAAUUAGAAUCUCCAUUCACUUCAACUCUAUCUUGUCAAGCCUUUCUCAUUCGCUUUCACCAGACUAUCUCUUAAUGAUAACACCUAAGCAACAAGCACUGAAGCUCUUCUAACUUGGUUGGAUGCUACAUAUAUAUGUUAGUCGAGAUGAACAUCCCGGAAGAGUAAACCACUUGCCGCGGAAUUUCUCAUAACUAAACCAUCAAAGUUGUUUUUUUUAACAAAAGAACUAGGAGGUGUUUAUCACCUAAUAGUGGUACUUGGGUUUUAAAGUUGCACUCCACUAGAAAUAAUAUCAAGAUCAACACACCUCAAAGAAAAAAAAGCUGAUGCCAUGAUAGUUUAAACUUUAAAGGGAAUUAGUAAGUUUUUUUUUUUUUUUUGAUUGAAAAAGGAAUUAAAAGUUGCCCAUCUAAAAAUUGUAUCAUUCUUGAUUUUCCAAACCUGUUGGCAUAUGGUAAGCAGUUUUGCAAACAAAUCAGCAUCUUAAGACUAAGUAACAUAUAGUUCCUUAAAAAGACGUUAAUUAAGAACCCCUCUUCCUAGUAAAUUGGGGAGACAAUAUUUACCAAAUUCCAUACUUGAUUGAUGACGAAGUCACAAUAUCCAAAAAGAUGGUUAGUUGUUUUUUUUUUUUAGAGCAAUCCAUAGUUUUAUUCAAAUAAAAAAGACUACAACACAACGGAAUUAUCAGUGGUGGACAUUCGUUCCCCACUUAUUUCCCCACUACUAGAAACAAUUACGAGUCUAUCAUCGAAGAUGACAUCCAUGAGCCAAUCAGGCCCAACCCGUAACCAUGUAAAACGCCCUUCAACACGGGCUACAAACUAAGCAAUCGAAUGUGUCACAAGAUUAGCACUUCUAGGAGUAUAAGCAAUAACAUCUCUACUAACCUCAGGUAGUAGCAUUCUAAUUUUCUCGAACAAAACUUCAUCCUCAACAAAACACUCCCAUGUCUCAUUCAUCAAGUUAACAGCCUCUAAAUAAUCAGUUUCUAUGCGCUCCACCUGCCAACCUCUUUCAAUCACAACCUCAAUACCUAUCAGUAUUGCCAACAGCUCAGAAACGCGAGGACUGAGGCGUCCUUGCAGUCUUUCUCCCACAGUCAAAACCAACUCCCCAAUGCAGACCUGUAAAUGGACCGGAUCGACCUAGAUCCGGAUCCGACCUGUUAUCAUUGAUAGCUCGGACCAAAUCCUGAUUCGGAAGGUUAAUGGAUACCCGACCCGUUAAUCUGAUCCAUUUAUAAUAAUAAAUAUUUUCAAAUUUUAAAUAAUUUCUUAAUUUUAUCAUAAAUUUUCAUAAAACACUAAUGAAAUGUUAUAACAAAAUAAAAGUUUACAUCAAAAGUUGAAUUACAUGGCCAAAAUACUCCUUAACAAUAAACUAAUAUAAUCAAAAUACUAGACCUAAUAUAAUCAAAAUACUAGACCUCCAAUGUUUUUAGCAAAGAGCAUAAAAAAAAAUAUAAACAUCAAUAAUCUUCAACUUCAUCAAAUCAUACUUUAGAAGCAAUUUAAACGUUUAGGUUAUCCAAAUAAUUAUUAUAUUAUUUAAUAUUUAUCAGUAAUAUUAUAUUUAUAAAAAUAUUAUAAUUAUUUUAAAACGGAUCUGGGUCCUUAACGGAUCGGAUUAACCUCGAUCCGUAUCCGAUCUGUUUAAUAAACAGGUUAACUGAUGCAGGUCCUUAACGGAUUAACGGGUCAAAUUUUAGACAUAAACCCGUUUAAAAACCACAGAUCCGGAGUGGGCCCGGAUCAAGAUCAAGUCCAUUUACAGAUCUACCCCCAGGCUAUUUCUUAGCACUGCACUAGUACCAACACAAACCCAAUUUUCAAACACAGCAGCGUCGCAAUUAAGUUUCAAUGAACUUGGACUAGGUGCACACCACCUACUCCUACCAUGCUGAGUUUCCCACCCAUUAUUCACCUGACUACGAUGCUGCACAACCAUCAUACUAUCCCACAUUAACACUCCUUGCUCAUAUAGUAGAUUAGAAGGUCGAUGAGGCUACUGUCACGCCCCAAUUUUUGAAAAUUUUUUCGAAAUGAACUUUUCAAAAAUUUUGGCAUGAUAUAACUUAAAAUACUAUAAUCCCAAAACUUGUUUCAAUAAAAUUCAAGGAGAAAGUAACUCAAUGCGGAAAGUAAAUUUACACGCAACUCCAAAUUGAGUUAAAUAUUACAUUUUCUUGUUUACAUAAACUUGAGAGUUAAGAAAUGAAACUCUCACAUGAGUUUAAUAUUGUCUAUCCCAAUGUAUAUAUAUAAAAAAUAUAUAUACAAUGAACAACCAAAACCCAACAAAAAAACCUGCCACUAAGCAUCCACCUCAACCCUGCUGAUCCUCACCUGCAAGUCUAACCCCUACACCAAGAAUUGGUGCACCGGGUUGUAAACAACAAAUCCGGUAAGCUAAAAAGCUCGUAUGAGUAAACUCAAAAAUAACACAACAUUUAUCACAUCCAAUAUUCCACAAGAGAGAUUGGAUCAAUAAUUAAAAACCACACAUCCAACACAUUACCCAAGAAAUGUACCCAUGAGUCACAGAUAUUUAAUAAAAUACCCCUUAUGACUUACAACAACACAAUGUGUACCCAUGGGUCCCAGAUACCAUACAGUAUCUCCCAUGACCUACACUGACAGACGGACUAGAGCUCUAUUCCUAACCGUAACCAAUCACCCGGCCAAAGGCUUAGAAUCCGGUUUGACUGUCUAAUAAUCAACACAAAAGUGAUAAAUAGCAUCUUAACUGCAACCAAUCACCCAAUUAAAGGCUUAGAACCCGGUUUGGCUAUUUAUCUAACAAUCAUAAUAUCACAACAUUAUACUCAACAACAUAAUAUCACAUCAUUAUUCACAAUAACACAAUAUCACAUCAUUAUUUUAUAUCCUUCCACAUGGAUAUAUUUACAUGAACAAAUUAUAGAUAUUCCAAAAGAAUAAUCUAUCAAUAAUCAAUAAAAUUAUGAUCACAUGAAUCUCAAAAUAGCAUUUAAAGAAAACUUGUUUUAUCUUACCUAUGAGCCGUUGACGAUCAAGCUCAUAUAUAUUUAAAAUAAUUAAAAGCAUAUUUUUAAAUCCAACAUUAUCAUCAUUAUUAUCAUAUGACCAUAAUAACAAUAGGUUCAAAAGUGAACCUUGGUGAGAUUUACUCACCUAAAUAUCCCGCUGCAAAUUUCACAACCGACCAAGGCAAACUAAACACAACUUCACAAAUCACCUAAAAAAUAGCACAAUUAAAACCUUAGUAACUAAAAUACUAUAGGUUAUCACAAUACCCUUAACUAACCCUUAGUUCAAGGGAGGACAACUUUCCAAAGUCGUCGAACUUAGAGACCCAAAAUGGCUGCCUCUAAUCCUCAAAUCCUAACUCAAACCUCAACCAAGCCUACACAAAUAAACCUAAGUCCUAACAUGCCAACCUUGCUUAAAAUCUAGCCACACUACCACUCAACAAGCUCACAACAGUAAGGACUAGCUAACCACAGGAAACUAAGGCCGCAACUCAGCCGGACGCGCCGCCACGCGCCACCAUAGGCGGCGGCGAGUGGGCCCCAUGCGCCACCCCAAACUUCCGAAUUAGGAGAAACUCACAACAGCAAAGUUGAAGCUUGAAGCAAGGGAAACAACUUUCAUACCUGAGACUUCGACCAAUUUUGGCCGGAAACUGCCCCGAAACCCUAACCCGUAAUCACUCUUCAAACCUGCAAAACCGGCUUCAAAACCUCAAAAACUCACUUCAAUCUAUGCCUAGACACUACUAGGAGGAGGAGAGGAUCAAAACUCACCUAAGGUUGCCCCUUGUCGCCGCCGUAUAUGGCGGUUCCGAUCGGUGGCACAGCAGCCCCCUUUUCUGGUCGAAAGCGUUGUUUUCGGCAUCCCACACCGAGUAGCAGCUGCCCAGCCUUGAAGAGGACACCUGUGGGAGUCGAACGGGACCGAUGGCGGUCCGAUUGGUGGCCGGACGGCGGAGCUAGCUCCGGCGGAAGUUAUGCUCUCGGGAGAGCUCGGGAGAGGAAGGGGGAGAAGAGAGAGAAGAGAGAAGAGAGAAAAGAGAGGGAAGAGAGAAAAAAAGAGAGGCUGACCUAUUUUUAGGGUUCCCAAAAACAUCCCACACACAUUUUUCUACUUAUACUCUUUUCAAACCCGGAAACAAACUUCCUCUAACCAUAACUUCUUCAUACAACAUCCAUUUGAGGCGUGCCGCAUGUCUACGAACUCGUAUCGACAAACUCUACAAAUUUCGUGAAGGAAAUUUUCGAAGAUAACUUAUGAAAAAUAAAGUCAACUUUUGGCCUCUUAAAAGUCAAAGCACCUUAAAUAAAUUCCCGAAACUUCAACUUCGCAUAACCAAAGAAUUUUCAUAAAUAAUCCUUCAUUAAUUAAGGAAAUAAUACAAAAAAAUUGAUAUGAAAAUCUAGGGUAUUACACUCACCAUGUAUUACUCUAUUACGCUCUGCCCAAUGACUCCAAAGUAAAAUAACCAACAACUUCAUUUCAUUCAAAGAAACAACCGUAAUAGCAUGGUCAAAAAAUUCUGAAAAAUCCGAAAACAUACCCGAAACCAGCUUGUCAUAAAAGCUCAACCUCUCCAACACCGCAACACUAUAGGGACAUAAACAUAUUGCAUGCAAUGGUGUUUCGUUAUAUUGCUGACAUCUCGGGCAUAAAGGAUGAUGGGCGAUAUAACAUUGAUAUAAGGACCAUAGACAUGGAAUAAAUCCCAUGGAACAGCGUCAAAGGAAGUGACACAUUUUCGGAGGCACCUUCAGUUUCCAUAAGUGCUUCCAGUAUGCAAAAACAAUCGGAGCAGAUCGAUGCCACUUUUGUGUAGCCAAUCAGUAUGCACUUUUAACAGAAAAUUUUCCAUGUUUAUUGCGAGUAGUCCAAAUCAAUUUAUCCCUACCAUUGUUACGAACCAAAGGAAUACUUAGCACUGCCUCCAUUUCACUAGUAGUAUUAACAUGUUCCAAAGCUUGCAUACACCAAAAUCUCAAAGCCGAUCUUAGUUCUCCCACCUUCAUAUUCCAAUCCAAACCAUUCUUCCAAGCAAUUAUGAACUUAGGUAUAGAUGGGACACAAAGAUCCUCGAAAACCCGAAUACUAUCACCACUACUCACUCUCUAUCGCAGCCCUUCUAAAAGUAGUUCUUUACCCCACAUUAUAGCCCACCAACUAUUGGAGGGAGAUUUGCCAACUUUAGCUUCUAGAAACUGACUUUGAGGGAAGUACUUAGCCUUAACAUCCUGUGAACCAACGACUUAUCAUCUUGCUCCAACCUUCAUCCAAUCUUCGCAACAAGAGCUUUAUUAAAGCUUUGGAACUCCCGAAAACCCAAACUACCUUAAUUCUUAGGGACACAGAGUUUCUCCCACUUCCUCCAAUGUAUACCCUUCUUACCAUUCGACUACCCCCAUUAGAACCUCGCCAAAUGCUUAUUAAUCUCAUCACAAAUCCCAAUUGGAAGCUGAAAUACACUCAUUAUGUAAGUCAUGAUAGACUGCGCCACUACUUUAAUACAAAUCUCUUUUCCGCCUUUUGAUAACAUUUUACUUUCCCAACCCUGAAUUUUCUUCCAGACCCUAUCAGUCACACCUUUGAACAGUUUCUUUUUGCUCCGACCCGUAACAGUACGAAGUCCAAAGUAUCACUUGUGAUCUAGAGCCUCACUACAAGCCUCCUUGAUAUUGGCAGAUGUUCUUGGACUGAAACACACCGCCGAUUUUUCAACAUUGAUUUUCUACCCCGAAUUCCUCUCAAAGACUGCAAAAAUCUCCUUUAGCUUUAAACGAUCACUGUUGCACAAAUUCAUCUUUGAUUUUUUUUUUUUAAGAAAGAUAAACAAUUUAUUAAAUAGGAUCCAAAAUUACAAACCACGGGAAAUAUCGGGAGGGACAAAAAUUCCUCACUCGCCUCUCUGCCUAAACACCAACAUUACGAUAGACAAGAACCGAUAAGGUUUAACUGUAACAUGACAUAUUCUAAAAGUCUCGAUACAUCCUUAUAACCAACCUCAAGAGGAAACAACCUCCUCAAGCAGUAGAUACCAAAACCGCCAAUACAUAUGCCAAAACAACAUCCCCAUUAUAUUGAUAACAAGAACUAACCGAUAAAAGCAAUAGUAUCCGAAAACGACAUCAUAACCAUAACACACUCAACGACACGACCAAAUGACACCAAACCUAACAAAACUCUAAACCCUCGCUCAAAUAGAAUGCCAAAACCCAAAUUCAUCUUUGUUUUAUUUGAACAGUUGAGUAGAGAACCUCUAAAUUCCCAUAUCGUGUUGCAAUUUGGAUUGGGUUGGGUUUUGAAUUGGACUUUUUCAUAACCUUAAUGAUAGGCCUUAGCUUUUGGGGCUUGAACUUAUUAUAGAUUUAUAGUUGCCCACUUGCCCUCUUCUUUCUUCUCUGUAUGAUUCCACUAUAUUAUUCUCUCGGGAGAUAAAUGCAAGCACAUAAACCCCAUCCAAAAUCCCUCACAUGGCUGCUCCAGUUCCACUGACUGUUGAGACCCAACUCAUUCAGUCUUUGUUUGCAAUUGUACUCAAGGGUCAUUGGAGCCACCUCCUGAAUCCCAAGCUUGGGUCUUGUCUCACCUCAUCCGCCAUCCACCAGGUACUCCUCCAACUCUCACUCUAUGGCUACACCCCUUCACUUUCCUUGUCUUUCUUCAAAUGGGCAGAGUCACUACCCAAUUACAAGCACUCCUUGCAGUGCUCUUGGACCAUGGUUCACAUUCUCACCAAACACAGGCACUUCAAAACUGCGCAUCAAUUUCUUGAGAAGAUUGCCUUUAGGGAUUUCUUGUCAUCCCCGUCGGUUUUGAAUGCUUUGAUUCCGACCCAAGAUGACCCCGAUGUGAAUUCCCAUGUUUUGAGCUGGCUUGUGAUAACUUAUGCUAAUUCUAAGAUGACCCAAGAUGCUAUUCAGGUUUUGGAGCAUAUGAGGGUACAUGGGUUUAAGCCACAUUUGCAUGCUUGUACUGUGUUGUUGAAUUCUUUGGUUAAAGAUAGGUUGAUUAGUAUGGUUUGGAAAGUUUAUAAGAAGAUGAUUAAGGGUGGGGUUGUUCCGAAUAUUCAUACUUACAAUGUGUUGAUUCAUGCUUGUUGCAAGUCUGGGGAUAUAGAAAAGGCGGAAGGAUUGGUGAGUGAGAUGGAGUUGAGGUGUGUGUUUCCUGAUCUUUUCACCUUUAAUACUUUGAUAUCGUUGUAUUCAAAAACAGGUAUGCAUUAUGAAGCUUUGUGUGUUCAAAGUAGAAUGGAAUUGGCAGGAGUUAGUCCUGACAUGGUGACAUACAAUUCUCUUAUGUAUGGAUUUUGUAGAGAAGGAAGGAUGACAGAAGCUGUGAAACUUUUCCGUGAUAUCAAAGGUUGUGUUCCUAAUCAUAUAACUUACACUACAUUGAUUGACGGGUAUUGUAGAGUGAAUGACCUCGAAGAAGCUUUAAGAUUGUGCGAGGUAAUGAAGUCUAAGGGGUUGUAUCCUGGAGUUGUUACAUAUAAUUCUAUUCUCCGGAAAUUAUGUCAAGAAGGCAGGAUGAGGGAUGCGAAUAAGCUUUUGAAUGAGAUGAGUGAAAAGAAUGUUGAGCCUGACAAUGUUACAUGUAACACUUUGAUUAAUGCUUAUUGCAAAAUAGGAGAUAUGAUGUCUGCAGUGAAAGUGAAGAACAGGAUGUUGGCUUCUGGGUUGAAGCUGGAUGCUUUUACCUAUAAAGCACUCAUUCAUGGAUUUUGUAUGGUACCAGAAAUGGACAGUGCUAAAGAUCUUUUAUUUAACAUGCUUGAUGCCGGGUUUUGCCCAAGUUAUUGCACAUAUACAUGGAUUAUAGAUGCUUACUGCAACCGCGGCAAUGAAGAAGCAGUUAUAAAAUUACCAGAUGAGUUUGUUAGUAAAGGUAUAAUUGUUGAUGUCUCUCUGUACAGGGCUUUAAUAAGGAGGUUAUGUAAACGAGAAAGGCUGGAUUGUGCUGAAAAGGUUUACAGUCUUAUGCAAGAGAAGGGUAUAUUAGCAGACAGUGUAGUAUUUACUAGUCUAACAUAUGCUUACUUGAAAGCGGGAAAGUCAAGUGUAGUUUCCAGGAUGUUAGAUGAAAUGUUCAAGAGGAGGUUGAUGGUAACACGCAAGAUCUACAGGUCUUUUAAUGCAUCGUAUGCCAGUGAAAGUGACAUCUUAUGUCUCUUUUGGAAUCAUAUGGUCGAGAGAGGCCUUAUGUCAAAAACUGUUAUGAUGACUGAAAUGCAGCAAACAUAAAUCAAUGUUGGCGAUGUCACUUGGAGUCUUAUAGUAGACUCGAUCUUUCAUACCACAAGGGUUUGUGACACAAACUUCCUGUGAAUAUACAUGUCUUGAAAUGUGUUAGACUGUUAUGGACUCGAGGCACUCAAAGUUAUAUGCAAAUGUGAAAGGGUUAGGAGACAAGUUUAUUUCUUCUGCCUCUCAUUUUGGUAUCUAGCCUUUUACUCGCUCUUAUUGCUCUAGACUCAUGGUGCAAACCAAGAAAGCUUAUGGUAUGGGUGGUUUUCCAGGCAGACCACAAUCUUGUAAUGCCUGUUUAUCUUAUGGAAUAAACAACUUCAAGGAGGUGCUGAUUUUGCUCAGAAUUUAUAAUGGCACUGAAAACAACUACCAAAAGCACCACACAGCCAUGGUGUGCUAAGGAUUGCUUGUCUAAGUUACCCAGCAGCUGUGGUCUCUACUUGUUGAAGAGCUGCUUCCGACCAUAGUGUGGCAGUUGCAUAUAAAGUGCAUCAGCUUCAGCUUGGUCUGAACACGAAUGUAUGGGGUUUCUACAAAAUUAUAUUGGUUGUGGGUUUGGAGGAUGCUGAUAUCUUGAUCUACCAAGCAGUUCAGAAUCCACAUCUUGUAAAUGACAGGUAAAUGGAUGUUUUUGUUUUGGCAUAUGUGAAUCUCGAGAUUAAUCAUAUACCCUAUUGCAGUGCUUAUUGAUUUAUUUAAUGUCUUUGAUUAAUUGAUAUUUGUAUGCCUUGUUUUGUUUUAGAUAAAAGAGUAUACAAAACAACUAGGAUGGUACUUGAUGGAACAAUUUCAUUACUUUAUAUUCUCAAAACCCAUUUGGAUUGUAUCUCUAUACAGUUACAAAGAAAAUUUCAAACUGUUAACGUCAACCGACUUGCCUUGGUGCCUUCAUGCUUAGCCUAAAGUGCCUCUAGCAAAGCUGCUAGUGCAAAAAUUUCGUAAUCAGAACAAGUGCAACCACAAUCAUGACCAUCUUUGCAACCACACUCAUCCCACUUUUUUGUCCUUCUCUGCGUCCUUUUCUCCAUUCCUACUUCUGUUUGGACUGCAACUUUGAUAGAUACCUGUAGUUUAGGUGGUUUGCCUUCAAGAGCACGGCCGCUAGUACUUCUUGGAACCAUCAUGAGCCACUUAUCCAAUUCCAUGUUUGGUGACUCGAGCACUUCUUUCCAUGGAACCUCUGCCCUGCCCAGUAGUUGGGAUCCCCCGAUGUUUCCAAAAACAGGCACUGUGCUCCUCCACCGGAGCUCAAAAACCACAGUGUCUUGCACAAACCUAUUGCUUCCAUUACACUCCAAGGAAAUGGACUCGUUCCAGAUGUGAUCAGACUUGGCUGAGAUUUCUCGAGUGUUCAGACCAACUCUUUUGCCACCCCCUGCAGAAAGAUAGUAUCUAACGAACAGGUUUCCCGUGGUCUUGAGGAACUCUAUGUUUUUGGCUUGUAUGAUUCUCAAGUCACAGCUAAGAGAAGAAAGCUCGAGUGAAAUACCCAUUUUGUGUGUGUUUGAGGGAAACUGGAGAUGGAGUUGAUUGAUUGUGUGUUGAAGACAAGUAAUGUGGCUCUUAUAUAUAGUGUCUAGGAUAUUGGAGGGGAAGGUGGCAUAUCUUUUUGAGGAAGCUGCAAUUAUCCAUGUUAAAAAUGUGAUCAGAGCAUAUAGUUACACUAAGUAAGAUCUGCAAUCUUGAUAUUAUAAUGUGAUAUGAUUCAUAUUGGGCAUUAUUAAGGAAGGCAUGGGAGAUUGAGUGGAAGAUAAUGAUCGCUUAUUAUAUAUAAGCUCCUUUAGAUGCUUGAAGAGCUGGAUUUCAAAAAACGACCCUGCUUGAAAGUUGCAAUUAGCAACAUUUUGAGUCCAGUGCUUUUUGACCAAGCAUGGAGUAUAUAACUACAUAUGAUAUACUUGAAAGUGGAAUCUGUAUAUAUGUGGACUGUGGUUUGUGCUUCCACCCACAGAUCCUUUGACUUCAGAAUCUGCACCUUGUGGUCUUGUAUUGUUGGAGCUGUGGGUGGUCUGGUAUUGCUGGAGCUGUUGCUCCAUGGAAAUUAAAGAACACCAUAAACAAAAAGAAAAGAUGCACCAAUUUUAUAUACGCUGGUGACUCAUUGAUAAAGAGACUAGUUUCGAGAUUUUUUUUAAAGCAAACCAGUAUAUCACUAAAGAUAACCAAGUGAGGAUUAUAUUGUGUAAGUUAGUUUUGGACCUCAAAGAAUCGGAUGAGACAUGUCUAGUAGUGAGUCAUGGAAGUUCUGUUGCACAGAAGUCUAAACCAAGAGCUCAGGGAAGCGUCAUUUUGGAGUUGUAGAUCAAGAGAAAAUCUUACUUGCGACAGCCGCACCACGUGUCUUGUGCGACCCAUCAGUCGCACAGCGACACGUUUUUUUUCUUUUUCUUUUUCCGGGCAGCUCUUCUUCUUCCUUCCUCUCUCUUCUCCGGCGAAACCGAUCCCCUCAGCUCCCUCUGCCCAGCCGCCGCCUAACACCCCUCGCCGUCACCUCCACCAUAAGCCUGACAACCUGCCGCCGUCGAGCCGCGCCUCCACCAACCUGUGCAAAUCACACAGAGGAAGGAAGAAGAAGAGAGAGGAAGGAAGAAGAAGAAGGCAGGUGUGAAAAAAUAAAAAAAAACAUGUGUCAAAUGAUGAUUGGGUGCGUAUGUGCCAGGUGGUGCGGCUGUUGCACCUAAGAAUUUCUCGUAGAUCAAUUAAUCUUAGCUUGGCCUGAAGCUCUCCGGAGCUUCGGGGCAAUGCUACUUUGUAGUUGUUAACCAAUUUCAUUACUAUGGUUGGCUUAAUCUUAGCUUCACAUGCAUAGCAAGAGUGAUAAUUUUUCAUUUUCCACGGAAAUUCAAUUGAUUAUAAAAUCAAAUAUGUUGUGAAUAUGUUCGUAGCUUAUGCCAGUACAUAAUACUAAAGUCAUUAUUCAAAUCAUUUGUAUCUCCAUUCUACAAUCCUAGUAUACUAUCAUUGCUCCCACAUGCCUCAGUUUGUUGGUGAGUCGUGUCUUAGUUAAGGUGUUUAACUUACAACUUUGAGGUUAUAGGUUCAAACUUCACAGAUAUAUGUAGAGUGUGUGAGUUAUUAAUAAAAUAUUUUUUAAAAAAAUAAAAUAGUAUACUAUCAUUGCUUUUGAACAACUUCAAUAUAUCUGAUCACAUUAUCUUAGGGUAAAAUACCAAGAUUGCCUUAGAUUCUGCAAAUUAGCCAACUGAACUUUGGAUUUGGGAAACAAAUUGAAACUGAUACCCUCUGCAGCUGCAGAAUGAAUUAAGCACUCUAAGAUAUACUUGAAGUGGCCAACUGGGCGAUUAAAACCGCUGCAACAUGUAGCUAGUAUCAUACCAAGUGCAAAAAGAUACGACUUUACUACGCAAAAGGCUUCGUGAAUAUAACUAAUGUAUAUUCCCUCGAGUAUCCUGAGCAGGAUAUGCCCACUAAUUCAAUUAGUUGGGUUAAAAAAAUAUAAUUGGUCUACAUAAAGGAGAUUUUGAGUUCUUCAGCUUUCGUAUUUGUAUAAUGAGAAGGUUGCACUGGAUCACUGAUCAACCAGUUGGAGGGAGAUUAUGCUUCACACAUAAGAUAUUGUUAUGGCUCUUAUCCUAGAUCCUUUGGAUUAUCUUCCCAUGAGAGAGAUUAACAAUCUUUGAUACUUUUCUUUUGUAUUCAACCUUUUUAAAACCCUGUGAAGCAUAUCCAACAACCUAGCCAGUACUAUUCACGGAGAAUGAAUUGGCUCAAGGCCUCAAGUAGUGUAACCAGUCUUAGCGACAUCUCUCUAGGCAAUCAGAGAGGUCCUAGAUCCCUCUUCCAUCAUAAGAAAAGAAAAGAGAUAAAAUUGAGCUGCAUUUUUAUCAAUAUUAGUAAAUACAUACUAAACUUAGAGUCGCAGCUGCUAAAGUUGAUAAAAAGCUAAACAAAUUCUCUAAAAUAGCUAAGGAGUUAAGAUAGAGACUAUCAAAGAUGCUCUUAGUAUCUGAUUUAGGCUAUCGUGGUACAAAAUACAGGGGAUUAAUUGCUUCCAUGUUCCUAUUAAAAACAACUAAUUUUCUUCUACUUUCGUUUUUAUUUCACUAAUUUUCGGUUUGGCACCCGUUUUCACCGUUUUGUUUUGGCAAGUAAUUUGAAGUUUUUAUUUAUAGCAACUCUUGCCAAGAAUAGAAAUUUAAAAUACCUGGUUAGACCAACUUAUUCGAUUAUCACCUUAAAAACAAAAAAUCAUGCUAUUCCUAUAUAUUGAAAUAAACUCAGAGGAACGGAUCUUCAGUAUGCCACACUUGAUCCGAUGCAUUGCUCUCAUUUGUUUCUUUGUACCGGUUGCUUGGAUUCUUAUGGUCCUCAUCGUCUGGUUCCCAUCUACAAUGAGUUAUACAAUCAUAAACAACAUUAACAUUCCCCAACACCUGACAACAGAUACCGGUAGUACAACAGAUGAAGAACCAUUCCUGCUUUCCACCUGCGUCGAUCCAAGCCUUUCAGUGUACGUAUACACUUUGCCGCCACGGUUCAACGUCGACUUCCUCGACCGCUGCCGCACCAUUGCCGCCACCUACACCUUGUGUCCCUCCGUCGCCAACUCGGGACUCGGCCAGCCACUCUUUGACGACACACCGGGGAAGGUUACUAGCUGGUUCAACACCAUGCAGUUCGCCUCGGAGCUCAUCUUCCAUGCACGCCUGCUCAACCAUCCUUGCCGAACGUGGGAUCCCACACGUGCCAGUCUAUUUUACGUCCCCUUCUACGGCGGCCUCUACUAUCUAAACCAAUUCAAAGAGUCCAACUCCACCGCACGCAACCAGCUUGCGGUGGACUUGGCCAAUUACAUUCAGGCACAGCCCAUGUGGAAGAGGACCAUUGGUAAAGACCACUUUAUGGUCCUAGGGAGAGUCGCAUACGAUUACAUGGGGAUCGAAAAAUUUGACAAAGCCAACAACCUGCUAAUACUACCGGCCGCGAGAAACAUGUCGGUGUUUAUCACAGAGAAAUCUCAGUCCAGCGAGAACCAACAACGUCGGAAGAAAUGGUAACAUGGCAAGACAAGGUGAGGGAAAUGGAGAGGCCUCUCACUUGUUUUCCUUUGUAGGUGGGCCAAGAAAGACUAGGGGGAUGCGAAAGGAGUGCAUAAGGCAAUGUGCUGAGUCGACUCGUUUCAAGCUCUUAAAUUGAGGCGGAUCCGGUGGCGGUAAGAUGUGCCUGCAGCCAUGUGAGGUCCUGAAGGUGAUGACUCAGUCGGUAUUUUGCUUACAAGCGCCCGGAGACACGCCGACGAGGCGGUCGACGUUCUAUUCAGUGCUGAUGGGCUGCAUAUAUACCUGUUUUCUUUUCAGACAAGUCUGCUUACAACCAGUACGCAUGGUUUUUACCUGAAGAUGCGAGCGCGUACUCUGUGCUCAUAGACGAGAAGAGCAAUGCGAGUAAGAAAAUUGAAGAAGAAUUGCUGAAGAUUUCGAGCGACAGGGUUCAGAGGAUGCGUGAAAAGCUUAUAGAUUUGAUUCGGAGCUUGACAUAUGCCCAUCCAAUUGCAUCAAAUUUAGGGUUUGAGGAUGUUGCAGUUGCGUCAUUGGCCAAGCACGUCAAAAAUACUAUAAAUUAGAUAAUAGAAUGUGAGAGUAAAAUUUGAUAUGGAUCAUAGAUAUGUAAAAGUAAAAACGUUAAGUUUUCGAAAACUAUGUUGUCUAGCAGCAUGUUCUAUAUACUAGCUACUCUAAUAGACUAUGCAAAUAUGCAAUCAACUGGAUUCUAGUAACGUGGAUCACAGGAAUGCUUCAAGCAACUGAAACUAUCUACAUACAAACAUAAUAAUUUGGGUUGUUUUUAAUUUAGCAGAAAAUUCUAGUAUACCAUAUGAUAUAGCAUACCUCACAAAAUAUGUGAUUAUCAUUGAUUAAAGAGUCAACUAAAUAAUCAUAUAAUAAUCAUUUACCCCUUAAAAACUCUCAUGUGUCACACAAUUAGACAUAUUUACAAUAAGUAUGUCAUACCAUAUAGUAUGAGUACGAAGACAAACCCGUUUUCAGCCAAGAACAUAUUGUCCACAUAUUCUCCUUCCAAUAAUCGUCCAAUUUGAUCACACAUUUGUACCCACAUGCAUGCGUGUUCCACAAACCAACUCCUUGUUUAAAUUAUAUUCCUUUUCCAUCCGUCUACCCUCUUCUUUUUUUUUUAAUUAUUUCGAUAUAUAUUGUAGUCGUUAUUCUUGUAUUAUUAUGGAGCAUUGCUCUCACAAAUUACUGUAUUCUGUAAUGAAUUAUCUGCUGCAUCACCCUGUAUGUGCCUUCCAGUGGACAGUGGUCUCCUUUUGUCGCAUAUAUCAAAUGGUUUUAUUUUAUUUAAUGGGUCUCCUUAUUUAAUAGGGAAUUAGAACACUUCUGUUGUGGCAUUGUGAUGUGUUAGGUUCUUCCUAACACAAAGGGAUCGUGCUGGUUACAUGGGGCUCGUUUGCUUCCGAUGUCAAAAUGAACUUCUUCCCCUUCCUUUUUCCAACAUGCAUGUUCAAGUCUUGUGUUCCACCAAAGGGGGAAGUACGUAGGAGGCUGAAGAGUUGUGGGCAGGCUUUGGAGAAAGUAUAUAGGCUGAAGUACGUACGUGAUAGCUAGACAGUCUUAGAUGUUGUUAUCUAUAAACUCUUGAUAACGCAAGUUAAAGAAGAGUGAUUGAAAACAAACCUUUUAUAGUCUCAAGUGUUACAAUGUCCCCGGCCGAAUGCAUCCCAAACCGGUAAAGUAAUCCUUAUAUAGCACCGGUACCAGUUAAUCCAAGUCCAACGAGAGAGACACAUGCAUCCUCAAGGCGAUGUCAGACAUAUAUUUUAUUUUUGGUCGAACAUAGAAUUAGCAAAAUCGAUUACUCAUACUAUUUUUCAAUAGUAUUAAUAUGUGGCUAUCUAGUUGCUAUAGCGUCCUCAGUAAGAACCUGCCGACAAUAUAGAAUGGUGAGCUAAACUACAACCUUGAUUUCAGCCGUUUAUUAAGACUCAAGACUUAAUAAUCUUAUAAUAUAGACUGCACUGUACGUAUUCUAGUUUUUGCUUCUUUGGCUUCUUCAUCUUCAUGUUUUCCGGUGAGAAAAAACCUCCAAUCCUUCUCCGGUUCAGCUCUUCCCUUCUUCUCUUUCUAUCAGCUGCUUUCCUCAUCUUUUGGUUCCCAUCGUCUCCCGACACUCUUAUCCAACAAAAACAUGAUCAUGACCACAUUCAACAUCAUGAUUCUCCUCAUGUUAAUCAAAAUCGAAACCAGAACAAUAACAACAGCAACAGCAACAGCAGCAGCAGCAAAAACGACGACGUUCUCACAGCCCCAACCAAACCAUACGUCACAGUUCCGAAGUGCAACCAACAAGUCUCCGUCUACGUAUACACAUUGCCGGCGAAGUUCAACCUCGGACUCCUUCACAACUGCCACGACCUCAACUUUCGUACCGACAUGUGCCCCCAUGUAGCUAACUCCGGACUCGGCCAGCCACUUGCGACUAUAGGCUCCACGUUAGAAACCAACAACAGCAAUAGCUGGUACGCCACCAACCAGUUCGCGGCGGAGAUGAUCUUCCACGCGCGGCUCCUCAACCACCCCUGCCGCACGUACGACCCCGCGCGUGCCACUCUCUUCUACGUACCCUACUACGGCGGCCUUCACGUCUCGAGCAAGUUCCGGGAACGGAACCAAACCGCGCGCGACGAGCUCGACGUCGGCUUGGUCGACUAUCUACAAUUCCAACCCACGUGGCAGAAACAAAAGGGAAAAGACCACUUUAUGGCCCUAGGGCGCGUCGUACGUGAUUUCAAGUCGUCGUGGGUUGGAGCCGGCCGACUCCUUAAACUCGCCGGAGUCGAAAACAUGUCGGUUCUGAUCAUCGAGAGAAACCCUUUCAACGGCUCGAACCAACAUGGCAUACCAUACCCUUCGUACUUCCACCCCUCCACUUGGCACGACAUGUCCACGUGGCAGACUAAGAUGAGAGAAACUCACCGGCGCCACUUGUUCUCUUUCAUCGGAGCGAAGAGAAGGAAGGCGGCGAUCCGGAACAAGUUCAUAAAGCAAUGCGGCGAGUCAACUCGGUGCAUGUUAUUGAAUUGUCGUGGGGGUAACGACGAAGCUAGAAAAUGCCAAGAGCCGAGUGAGGUGUUGAAGGUGAUGAGUGAAUCGGUAUUUUGUUUACAAGCCCCCGGCGACACGUUCACGCGGCGGUCAACGUUUGACUCGGUGCUGGCCGGUUGCAUUCCGGUGUUCUUUUCGCCGCACACGGCGUACAGUCAGUAUCAGUGGUACUUGCCGGAGGAAAGAAGCGAGUAUUCUGUGUAUAUAGAUCAGAGAAGUAAAGCGAGGAAGAGAAUAGAAGAUGAGCUGUUGAAGAUUCCGAGCGAGAAGGUCAAGAGGAUGAGGGAGAAGAUCAUAGGUUUGAUACCGAGUUUGACGUAUGCUAACCCGAAUGCGAGUGAUUUUGGGUUUGAAGAUGCUGUUGAUGUUGCGCUUGCAUCAUUGGCCAAGAAGGUCAAGAAAUUUGUUGAUUGAUUUUGAUUUUGGGAGGUGCUAACUGAAUUUUUUUUAUGUUUUUGAAGUGGAAAACAGUACGUAUUGGUUGAGAAUUUUAUUCGCGUAGCAACAUGAUCUGAAGAUACAUAUAUAUAGUUAAUUAGUUCUACAUCACCCAGUCAAAUAGUGGUUCAAAUUUCUCGUCUACUCAUGUAUAUAUCUAAUAAUUCAUUGGAUGCAGACACAAACAUAUAUAUAUGAUUCUUUAAUUUACUAUGUAAUUUUUCUAAAACUUGUUCAAGAGAAAUGAGGUAUCUUUUAUCCACAAUGAGGUAUCAUUAGAAAGAAGAAGCUUCUUCUUCGCACAUAAACCCUAAUCCUAGGAUAAAUUCUUCGCGCAUAUCUGCCACAACCUAAUCUGUAGAAGCUCCAUCUCAGGAUAGCCAUCAAAGUCUUCACAAACCACCUAAUUAAGACAUACUCAUUUUUGCAUUCGUAAUUGCGCCUGUUAGCUCAAAUUUGCAUUCAGCAUAGUAAAAUGAUUCUAGCUUUGUUGAAUGCUAAACUAUGUACCAAGCGUCUAAGCCAUUUAUCGAGUAAAAUGUAUCAUCUUCAAUCCCAAUUUAUUUCUUGACGGCUAGGAGGGAAACGUUCUGACAUGAUCUCCAGACACAGAGUAGUGUCUGAACUUAAAAGGAAAACUCUAGAGUACCCACCAGUUUUUUAUACCGUGGUUUUUUUAAUUAUUUUUACAAAUAUAAUUAAGGACAUUUGGUUAAAACUUUUAUAAUAAAUGUCCGUAUGUUGUAAUUACGAAGUGCAAACCAAAUUUACAUAUUUAUGGGUUUAAUUAGGGUCGAAUUGUAAAUUUUCAGAUUUGGACCAAAUAGACCAUUUUUCACGUAAUAUGAUUCUUAGUUUUAUAAUUGAGUUAUGUUUUUUGUAUUGAGAAAAUAAUUAUAUCUUUCACAACACUUUUACAAACAUAAAGACAUUUGGUUGAAAAUUUUGUAAUAAAAUGUUCAUAUGUUGUAAUUACGAGGUCGAUCUAGACCAAAAUUACAGAUUCAUGACCCCUUUUACAAAAUGGAGAACGAAUGUGUUGUCGAGAUGAUAAAUUUUCAAAUUUAGACCAAAUAAACCAUUUGUUCUCGUUCAUGUAAUAUAGUUCUUGGUUUUGUAAUUGAGUGGUGUAUUUUGUAUUAAGAAAAUAAUAACAUUUUUCCCAACGCUUUUACAGACAUAAAGACAUUUGAUUAAAAUUUUUGUAGUAAAUGUUCAUAUGUUGUAAUUACGAGAUAUGAACCAGAUUUAUAAAUUUAUGACCCGUUUUACAAAAUUGAAGACGAAUGUGUUGUUGAAAUUGUAAAUUUUCAGAUUUGGACUAAAUAGAUCAUUUGUUCUUGUUUAUGUAAUAUAGUUCUUGGUUUUGUAAUUGAGUGUUGUUUUUUGUAUUGAAAAAAUAAUUACAUUUUUUAUAACGCUUUUACAAAGGUAAGGACAUUUGGUUGAAACUUUUGUAAUAAAUGUCUAUAUGUUGUAAUUACAAAGUCUGCUCUAAAUUUACGUGUUCUGAACGAAUUUACUUAUAUUUGUGUAAUUGUGUUGUUAAGUUUGUAAAAUAAAAAAAAUGAAGACGCCACAUGUCAGAAUCUAAAUGGGUAAAUAAAAAAAAAUGUAUUAGGUAUUGGUGGGUAUGCUAGCCUGUCUUCACAAACCACCUAAUUAAGACAUACUCAUUUUUGCAUUCGUAACUGCGCAUAUUAGCUCAAAUUUGCAUUCAACAUAGUAAAAUGAUUCUAGCUUUGUUGAAUGCUAAACUAUGUACUAAGCGUCUAAGUCAUUUAUCGAGUAAAACGUAUCAUCUUCGAUCCCAAUUUAUUUCUCGAUGGCUAGGAGGGAAACAUUCUGACAUAAUCUCCAGACACAGAGUAGUGUCUGAACUUAAAAAGCAUUGUUGAGGAAAAUGUAUGAUCUAGAUUAUAAACAAACUAAACUAUAAAAUGAUAUCAUCAAAUGCGAUUAGAUGAUAGCUAUAUAUAAGCUUUAUGAAUUGAUUAAAAAUAAUUUCGAGUCUGUUGUGUCAAACUAUUUGUUCAUGUUUGGUAGCUGAGGGAAUAAACUUGUCACGCUUAAUUAAUAUUAUAAUAAUACAAUACGAAUGUCAUAUCUUUGGAUAUCAUUGUGCAAAUUGAGUAAAAUGUACUGUCUGCAAACUGAAGGUGUAUCUAUGGCAACAAAUUAUUGUACUUUACUAUAACUAUGAACAGUAAUUACACGAUGAUAAGAAUCGGAUAAUCACAUCGCAUGAUAAUUCACGUAAAAUCUAGAAACUGUCCUGCGGAAUCUAAAACUCCCAAGUACAAACACAAAAGAAAGAAAUAUAUGAUGUGAUAUGGAUGUUGCAUGCUCAUCAGAAACAAGCAUCCAACAUACAACAACAACACAAAGCAGCACAGCAUCCUUUCCAGAAUCCAUCACCCUUCGACUUGGUCUCUACCGGAACAGGAACAGGGUUUUGGUCGCCGGCAUUGGAUCUUGCCGGAUAACCAGCAGGUGGUGGAGCCGAAUAAGGCGGCUUAGGGUAGGCAGCAACAGAACUAGUUGUGCUUGAACUCAUCCUGAUUAAUAUGAUCACGUACAGAAGGAAUUAGAGAAUGAUGAAUACUUUGCAAGUUUGCAGGGAAGAGGUUUGAGAUAUUGAGAAGAGGAUAGACGAAGGUGUACUUAUAUAGAGAGAAAAGCAGGUGAUAUUUGGUGAAGUGGUUGUUUCUUAGAAGGAAUAUCAAUGGUGGCUUUUACGCAGGCGGCUUCACCGCGUGUCGUGGAGACUGGGGAAGAAGAAGGAAUAACAAAGACGGCGCGAAGAAUACAAGGGCCUGCUAUAACUAUUUUAAUUAGGUAGAAGUAUGUCGUUGCUUUUAGAAUAUCGGAAGGUAUAUGAGCUUCGGUUGAUUUUGCUUCGAAGGCCCAAUUCAUCUCCAUCUUUUCUUUUGGCGUAGGAUGUUUGCGGAGCGGAUGCAGUGCACCACGGUGCACUUGAACCAGCUAACUAGGGUAACGGAACUAUAUCAACGUUAAGUUAGCAAACUUUCAAAAAAAAUAGAAACGCAGUAAAACUACAAUUACCUAUCUUAUUAUAACCCUACUGAGUACUAACUGGAGAGAAGACGACGAGGACGACCAUCACUAGGGAUUUUGGCGAGCUCGGAUCGGAGGCAGUCAGUAAGAAUCGAGGUGAGUGAGUGAAUGACAUCGAGUUGCAGGAAGUGCUUGAUGGCCAAUCAGUAAGAAUCGACGGCGUCGGCGGGGUGAUAAGGGAUCGGAGGUCCCGGAGGCGGAGAGGAGAGUCGCCGUGGAAGGGAAGCAGGGGCCGACGAGGCGUACGUGGAGAGAGAGAGAGAGAGAGAGAGAGAGAGAGAGAGAGAGAGAGAGAGAGAGAGAGAGAGAGAGAGAGAGAGAGAGNNNNNNNNNNNNNNNNNNNNCUAGCGAUAACUCAAAUGAGGCUAGCUAUAAUUUAUUACAUUCCUUGGAAGAUAUUUCAUGUGAUAUAUAAAUAUAUUUAAACUAUUUAAUUUCUAUUUGAAGAAUAAUGUUCAUGUAAUGCUAGCUAAAAAGAGAGCAUUGAUGCAGCCACAUUUUUAAAGUGGCUAGCCAAAAUGACAUUUUAGCUAAUUUGAUUAAAAUUUAACUUAAAAAUGGCUAGUAUUGCUAAAGAUGCUCUAAAUAUAGCUAGCAAGAUAGCUAAAAGUUAUAAUAGCUUAAGUUUGGCUAGUCUGCUGGAGCUCUUAAAACAUUCAAAAAAGCUAAAUACGCUCUCUAAAAUAGCUAAAAGCUAAAAUAGAGAGUCUGUUAAAGUUACUCUAAAUAAGUUAACUCCAUAGUUAUUAUGUUUUAAACAAAAUAACAAAAAAAGAAUAAUAAUUCAUCUUUGCGUUUCCAGAAACUGAAAAAAAAAAAUCUCACUAAAAAGACUUAAUUGUGUAUCCAAACAAAAAAACAAAAACAAAUAAAUAAAAAAUAAUAAAAGUCAAGCAUCGAUAACCUCUCCUAUUGUUAUUGAAAUUAAUUGUCUAUGUAAUAUUUAUUGUAACCUUACCUAUUUUUACCAUAUUGGUUAGAUUUUUUCUUUGGUCUCAAUUAUCUAAUGGUGUUAGCAUCGGUGUUAGAGUCGUGUCAUUGACUACAUUAAAUGAAUGAUUGUGAUUGGUCACUGACUAUUGGUUCACUUGAACCUUGGUGCACUGAAUAACUUUGCGGAUGUUUGAGGAUAGUUUCUUUUGAUCAAUGAAGUAGAUGAAAAUGUCAUCAUCGUCGGUCUUCCGGUCAUUAUUCAUUUAACCUUCCAAGACAGCUAGCUAGGCAGCUUUGCAGCUAUAGGCCCCACCCCGUCUCCACUAGAUCUGUUCCUGGGAAUACCCUAAAAAAGGAACCUUUCCUCUCCCCAGCCGUUUCCGACUUUCCGGUUAAGAAGAUGUGAAAGCACCUCGCUAUAUAAGAAUGGUGCGUUCCGAGGUGUGAAGUGGGAGAAAAGGGAUUUCAUAAUUAGAUUGGGGUUUUGAAUAAGACAACCCUUUCAUUUUUCAUUUUUUUUUCAUAUUGAAAAAAAAUGCCAUGCUUUAAUGUUAAUUAAUUUCAUAUCAUGAUUCCAAGAAUCCAAGAUACAUAAUUCACAUAAUUAAUUAUAACAUCAAAGACACGUUCUAAGACAACAUGUUCCACGACCCAACUCUUUCUUAAACCAUGUCUUAAUUUUCAUCUUACUUCAAUUCCGUCUUUCUCCAAGUUCUAGAUGUAACAACUCUCAGAAGAUUGGGACACGUACAUCCACAAUGCAUGUGCUUGCAAGUCCUCUCCUUUUGUCUCAUUCAAGUUGGUAGGCUUUAGCUUCCUGGCCCCUUCUUAUAAUUCUCUUGCGCGCCCUCCUAAGAAAAAAUCGUGAUCGCAAUUCUUUUCUUUAAACAUUUUCAGCUAUAAAACACUUAUUAUCUACCGGAAAAUAAAUAAAAAGACUAUAAGAGCAUCUUUAGCAGCUUUCCCAUUUUUUCUCCAAAAUGGGGAAGCAAAAGUCAGAUUCCCCAUAAUUUUUUUGCUCCAACUCCAACAGCUUCCCGAUUUUGAGAAAUCCUGCAUUUAAUACAACAAUAAAAUAUUAUAUUUUCUCAUUUAAUACAACAGUCAAUCAAAUAUUCUAUUUCCUCAUUUAAUACAACAAUCAAAUAGUUUGAUGAGCAUAUUUCCUAACGGCUAAUUUCUAACGGUUAGUUCUAACGGCUAAUUUCUAACGGUUAAUUUCUAACGGCUAUUUUCUAACGGCUAUUUUACAACGGCUAGCUGAAUUUUUGUAUAAAUAUAAACAAAUCGUUCAUCACUAUUGCUAUCUCAUUCUCAAAUUCUCUUUCUUUCUCAUUUUUUUCUCACUUUAAAACUAUUUUUCUUAUGGCUCGUCGUUCGUUGGGUAGCCGUUAUAUAGUUGAUACGUUCAUGGAUGACAAUGAUGAUAUAGAUGAAGAUUAUGAAGAAUUGUUACUUGCUCGAAUUGAAGAAGAAGAUCUUACCAACAAGAGUUCAAGAAAAGAUCGUCAUGGUUCUGUUAUGGGUCGCCGUACAAUUAAUCGUGAUUCUAUCGGGGGUCAUGAAAGACUUUACGGUGACUACUUUGCCAAUCCUCCAAAAUAUCUGGCCCGUCUCUUUCGAAGGAGGUUCCGAAUGAAGCAACCUCUUUUCAUGCACAUUCAUGAUCGUGUCGUUGCACAUGAUACUUAUUUUGUUCAAAAGAGGAAUGCAGCUGGGCGUCUUGGGUUGUCAUCACUUCAAAAGGUAACAACUGCUUUUCAAAUACUUGCUUAUGGUGUUCCAGCCGAUUAUGUAGAUGAGUAUGUACAAAUUGGUGAAAGCACCGCUAUGGAAAGUAGGGCUGGGCACUUAGUACCGGAAUCCCGAUCCCGUACCGGUCCCGUCCCGAAAGUUAGCGGGACGGGACGAGAUAGGUUUUGAAAAUAGCAAUCCCGUCCCGUCCCGUCCCGUCCCGUUUUAACAUUACCAUAACGGGACGGGACUAUCCCGAAAAAUCCCGUCCCGUCCCGUAAUAUUAGAAUACUUGAUUUUAUUCAUUUUAUACUUGAUUUUUUAGGUUGCAUGGUGUUACAAUACACUCAACCACACUUAAUUUGGUCUAAAAUAAUAUUUUUAAUUUCAUUCAUGUUCUUUUUUUUUGCUUGUGUGAUUUUGGAUAUUUUUAGUUGUUGUUUGAGGGUUAAUUUUUAAUGUGGGAUGUUUAGUACUUUUAAAGUGGGAUGUAAUUUAGCACCUAUGCACCUAUGUUCUUGUUGAUUUUAGUACUUCUAAUUUCAUCAAUGUUCUUUUUUUUUUGUUUAUGUGUUUUUGGAUAUUUUUUUUUCCAUUAAUUUCAUUAAUGUUGUUCCAAACAGCAUAAAAAUGUCGAAAAUUUNNNNNNNNNNNNNNNNNNNNGAGAGAGAGAGAGGAAGCAAAUGGGGUUUUAGAUUGCAGAGAUCCAAACUCGAAUUAGAGAAGGAGACGGGGAAGCAGAUCGAAAGUUUUGAAGUUUAUAUCGAUUGGACGGUGGAGUUUAGAGGUUAAGCCGAUUCCCGGAGACGACCCCAAUCAUGUUCGGCUGCUCUUCUUCAAAAAUUGGUUAAUUAUGUUUUAUCACCAAUAGCAAUGCAUAUCCCUUCGUUUUUACUUUUUGUUGUCUAGGUUUAUCCUUUUAUUUUUAUUUUUUUUGGAAUUUUAUAUUCUGAUGUUGUAAUUAUCUAAAUAAAAACUUAGAAUUCUUUGAUGUGAUUUCAAAGUCUGGAAUAAAAUUAACUAAAAUUAUUAUACACAUAUUUAAUAUUUAUUUGUUUAUAUACAUAUAUACAUAUAUAUUAUUUUAUUCUAACAAUUUUGAAACAUCCCCGCUUCCAAAAAAAAAUCUGAAAAAACGCUUCAGCACUUUCAAACGUUUCCACUUCCACGUCCCCGCUUCCGUUUCCAUGCAACCUAGAAUGGAGGAGAGAUCCGGGUAGAAGAAGGUGUGUAUGAUCUGGUGUAGCUGAUCACAUGUUACAUAUAUGUAUACCUAAUCUAACUAGCAUAGAUCAAGUCUGGAGAAACUAAACAGUCAAGAUCAGACCAACAAUGUUGAGAUUAUAGAUUCAAGCCUCACUGACAUGUAGGGUGCAUGAGUUUAUAAUAACAAAGUUUUUUUUUUUUAAAAAAAAAAUUAACCGGAUUUUCUUUAUUUUCUUUAAUGUAAAAAUUUCCAAAAAAUCCACUAAAAUUAACUCAGUAUCUAAAAAAUUAUCCGAAAAUAUCCACAAACUCAGUGAUGUCAUGUACUACAAACUACUUAAAUUAAUUAAGGACUACUCUUUUUUUUUUUCUGAAAAAUCACUCCCGAGCACUAUUCUAAUUAUCAAGAUUGUAAAUUAAUUUUUGGACGGUCUUUGCUCAACUCGAAAAUUUUCUCAUGCUCACAUAUUAAUUUAUUUUUAUCCCAUCGACAUGGUUGACAUUAAC